UUUGAUUACCGUCAAUCAAGAAAACGACCAAAUUAAUUUCUCUCCAAAAUUUCCAAAAGCUAGAAAAUUUUGUUAUUUGAAAAUAACAUCAUUAAUUAUAGAGUGGAUCAAACCGCGUUAUUGUCUUUUAUAAAAUUGAUGUCUUUUUAAGAGUCAAUGCAUUUUAUUUACACAAACCAGUCGACAUCAACUUGAACUUCCAUAUUUUUAUUAUUAUGUUAUUUAUUUUAAUCCCCGAUUAUUUGAUUAGCCACUAUAUAUAUCAAGAAAGCGACAAAAUUUAUUUCUCAUGACUUCCAAAAACUAGAAAACAACAUCAUUUAUUAUUUUUUUGCAACCCUAAUUGACAUCAACUUUAACUUUAUUAUGUUAUUAUUUCAAUCCCCCAUUAUGACCUUUCUAAUCCUCCAUUAUGCAUCUUUUAUAGUGCAAAUUUAAUUGCACAUCUAAAUAAAUUGAUUAUUGUCACUCCACCACCAAUAUUUCAAAUAGUCACUAGACCAUUUCUGCCUUUAAUUUUCCCUUAACUAUUGACUGUUUUUAGCAUCUUAAAAUAUACAUUUAUUCCUUGAUUAUGUGAUAAAAUUAUGAAAAUAUCCAUUUUAGCUUAAAUUAAUUGAAAUAACCAUAAGCGUAACUUAAAUUAAUAGAACAAAAUUAUCAAGUGUAUGUUCUAUGUUACAUUUUGAAGAAUUUAACAUAUACAAUGCUAUACUAUUAAUUCAUUUAUCAUUUAAUAUAUAUGUUCAAAUAUUUUAUAUAUUUAUUAAUUGUUAUAUAGUCAAAGGAUGAAUGAUUUUUCAGGUCUACAUGAGUUGGUGCAUCUGCAAGACUCAAUUUUGACAACAAUGAUCUAAGGGGUAAUUUACCUUGGCGUUUGACAAAUUUAACCUCUCUUCAAGAUUUACUUCCAAUCUACUUACUGUAAAUAUCUCCUCAUCUCCUCUCAUUUAUAUGAUAACCCUUGAAGAUCUCACAUUUUCAAACAAUCAUAUUAGGGUUUUUAUUAUUAGCAUCAUCGUGUCAAUAAUAUAUGUUGCAGUAAGAUUUUUUCAGACCAAUUCCCUUCUUCAAAUAAUAAUGGAAAAGUAUUAAUUUAAAAAUAAAAUGAAUAUUGUAAAAUAAAGAACAGAGUUUAUGAAUAAAACUCUUGUAUUCCUUGCAUUAACGUUGCUACAUAUAUAUAUAGAUGUACAACCCUAAAGAAUAGAAUCCCAGGUAGAAAAGCAUUACAGAUUCAUAAUAUAUAUACAAAUCUAAUUGCUUUAAAUAUGAAACCGAAUUCUAUACGACUUCUAUAUACAAAACCGAAUGCUAUACGAAUUCUAUACGUUAAUAAAUAUGCAUUGAUUAUAUCCUAAUUUUCAUCAAUUAUAGCGAGAGUUUCUCCAAAUCAACUCCCUUAUUCAAAUAAUACAGAAAAAAUAGUAAUUUAAUAGUAAAAUUAACAAGUGUUGAUUAUAUAUCCUAAGUUUCAUCGAUUAUGUGAUCAAAGUGGCAUUGUUGAUUUAUUUCUUGUUCAAUGUAAAUUUUUAGGUUAUCUAAAUUUCAAGGAUUUAAAAUCUUUGUUCAUGGAUUACACGCUUAUUAAUUUUUCUGCCAUUGACUGUCAUAUUCUAGACUUAAUGGUACCUUCCUUGAUCGAGGAUAAUUACUCUAUGUUCUCCUCUUAUAAAUUCUUCUUCCAUUAACAUCACUAGGAGUAUGUUGAUCUCUCAGACGUUAACUUCAGUGGAGAGUUUCCAAAUUGAUUGUCACAAAACAACACAAAAACUAGACACACUUGAUCUGUCUAAUAAUUCUCUUUCGGUAAAAUUAAUUAAUUUUAGGGGAAUAUUCGACCAACCUAUAUAAUUUUAGAUUGAUCAUUAAUUAAUUGGACGAAAAAAGUACUUGUGCUUUUGUGGCGACAAUUGAACCAGAGAAGUGAAGCUGUAAAGAUUUGGCAGUAGUAAAUUGUUAGAAAGACAUAAAGACAAGUUCCCAUUAUUAUAAUUUUUUCAAAAAACUUUUUUACAACACAUGCACCUGGCCAAAAAUUUUAUUUUGCUAACUAACAAUAAUUGAUUAGCUGACCGAAUUGACUCCACCUACUUGCUAAAGUAAAAAAAUAGAAAUAGAAUUUCCACAAAAUGGCAAACAUGUAAAAUCUAAUAUUUGGCCGUGUGGAACAAAAUACAAAUGAAAAAAAAAAUAGAAAAAAGGCCUAAAGACUUUUAAAAUGUGUGGAAGUCUUUCUGCCCUUUUAUAAUGGUGUGUUUUUCAAAGGAACAAAUAAUAAUAAUGACACUUCAACGGUUUGUUUUGAUAAUCACACCUAUACUCUUUAAUUUGAUAAAUGGUUACACAAAUUUUGUUUACAAAAAUAUAUUAUUCAUGUUCUGUAUUAUUUUUUAACAUCAUAUUUUUAUUUAUUAUAAUUGUUUAAAGUUAAUUGUUGGGUUGAUAUAUAAUAAAAAUGUAUAAUCGUUCUCUUACUAAACACACAUACUCAUAGUUUCUGUUCAUUUGUCAUCUCAAUCUAUCUCAUUUAUCCUUUGUUGAUAGCUCAAAACGCGUCACUGUAGAAAAUUAUAGCAAAACGACAAAUAUGGAAAAAAUGGGAAGAAAAUUAAUGCAUGAAAGAGUUGCAGAAGACAACCAAAUAAGUCAACUAUACGCUAGUUGGGUGUAUAAAUUGUUAGAUGUGUUAUAAACAAAUAGCAUAGAGCCUUGGUUGGUUACAGAGAUAGAAAAAGUGUGUGUUUUUUAGAACUUAAAGAUAUAGUUAGAAUGGGUGGUUCAAAAUCAAAAAUGGUGAUAAUGUUUGUUCUGUUAUUAAUAAUAUUAGAAGGUGGGUGGAGUGAAGGAUGUUUGGAUCACGAGAGAUUUGCUCUUUUGCGACUGCAACAUUUCUUCAAUGAUCCUUAUAAUUAUCUUCCCAACCGGGUAGAUGAUGAGGGAGCUACUGAUUGUUGUCAGUGGGAAAGGGUUGAGUGCAGCAACACCACAGGCCGACUGAUAGCGCUAGACCUUUUUGGCACGUAUUGGCGAGAGUACAGCUGGUAUCUGAAUGCUUCUUUGUUUACUCCCUUCCAACAACUUGAGUCACUUGAUUUACAUGGCAACAACAUAGCCGGUUUUGUUGAGAAUGAAGGUGCUUCGUCUAAUUCAAUUAAAUUACAUUUCGCUCUCCUAAUUUAAGUCGAAUAUCAAGACUGAGCAGCUAUAUGCAUAUUCAUUCAAUUGACAAUUUUUACAUAUUUUUUAAAAUGUUUAAUUUUGAAAUUACACCAAACAUCAUAUGUGAUCUUUGUUUUGAUUUUACUUGCAGGUCUAGAAAGAUUGAGCAACUUGAAGAGGCUUGAUUUAAGUUAUAACUUGUUCAACAAUAGCAUCUUAUCAUCUGUGGCUCGUCUUUCAUCAUUAGCAUUAUUAUAUUUAAGUGGUAAUAGGUUGGAGGGAAGUAUUGAUGUUAAAGGUACAUAAUAAAAACGUCAUCUCUUCUCCCAACUCUUUCAUUAACAUGCUAAAAUAAGAUUCAAGGCUUUGAAUUCAAUUUUUUUUAUGAGUAAAUAUUAGAAAAAUAGUUUUAAGCAAUUCAUAAAUACAAUUUUCAAUGUUUCUCAUAAUUUCAUCUUGUACUUUUGUAUGUCUUGACUUUAAGAUUAAAAAAAAAAUUACUCUAACUGUGAAGCAAAUACCCCAUGACUAAUUUACAAUUUUGUCCAGUUAAAAAUGAUAAAAUUUAUCAUUUGUUCAUAUUGAUUUAUUAACUCUAUUUUAAGUCUUAAGUCUUGGCGUCUUGGCAUGUUUGCAGAAUUUGAUUCCUUGAGCAACUUAGAGGAGUUGGACAUGAGCUACAAUGAAAUAGACAAUUUCGAGGUUCCUCAAGGUACACAAUUAAAAUAUUAUUUAAUUACAUUAAUUUAUUUCGUUUGAUUAGGGAAGGCCCAAAAUGUACAAAAACAUAAUUAAAAAAAAUAAAGAAACAGAGAAUUCAUAUUAUUUCAAAAAACAAAACGUAAUACUAUUAUUUCAAAAAAAGAAUGUAAUAAAGAUUUGAUUUCGGUUCUUUAAUCUUUACAGCAAUUGAAAAACGAUGUUGCUCUUUUCCUAAAGCAUAAAAUAUGAAAUGAGUCAUAAUUGAAUUAGUCAUUUAUUUUGUUUAGAUCUAAAUUUAGACAAUAAAUUUUGAUUUUUUUUUCAAUCAUUUCCUAAUUAUUAUUAUUAAACAGGUUACAGAGGUUUGAGGAAGCUGAAAAGCCUGCAUCUAUCGGGAGUUGGAAUUAGAGAUGGAAGCAAGUUGUUACAGUCAAUGGGAUCAUUCCCAUCCCUCAACACUCUUCACCUUUCGUUUACUAGUUUUACGAAAACAGUGACAACUACUCGAGGUAAGUAAAAGGUACGGAUGUAGCCAAAUUUAUAAAUUAAUUGUUAAUUAAUUAAUUUUUCCGUAUUAUUAAUUAAGCUAAAUUUGUUGCUCCUUCCUUCUAAAUCUAAACAGAGUUGCACAGUUUCACCAACUUGGAAUAUUUGAGAUUGGACGACUCCUCUCUCCAUAUAAGCCUUCUGCAAAGCAUUGCAUCAAUAUUCCCUUCAUUAAAAAAUCUGUCGAUGUUGGGUGGUAAAGUCAACGGUCUCCUACGCGGUCAAGGUAAAAGAAAAGCUUUGAUUGUGAACUCACUCAAUGGUGUCCUACGUGUUCAACAUUUUUAUUUAUUUAUUUUAUUGUUUAAUGUUUCUGCUAGGUUUUCCUCAUUUCAAGAGUUUGGAAUAUUUGAAUAUGGAUUUCACGCGCAUUGCACUCAACACCAACUUUCUUCAAAUCAUCAGUGAAUCGAUGCCUUCUCUUAAGUACUUAUCACUGUCAGAUUCAUAACAGUAAAAAUUUGUUGCUCAACAUGAUGUGUAUUUUUUUUCAAGGCACUUUGGAAACACAAUUGUUACUACAGAUAUUCUUCUCAACUUGGAGAUAAAUACAAAUAUUAAAAUGCAUAUGAUCACACAUAUUACUUCGAGUUUAGUAAGAUUUCAUUAAAAGAAGCAAUCAAACCACUUAUCAAUUGUCGCAGUCGUUCUAUAAACUAAAAUAGCAAUAUAAUACAAGAAAAAGAACAUAUAGAUACUUGGCAAGAGUUCAUUAAGAAGUCGCAUCACAUUCGGGUGAGGAGUUUGCUUCUGAUAUCUUGCUAGCUGGGGCUUUUUCUUGUCUUUCUACGUAUGCCGAGGGAAACCAACCAGCUUGGCCCUUGCAUUCACCUUCCGACCAUCCAAUAGGAGCAACCUUGAGAAGUUAUAACUAAAACGGUGAAUUAAACAAAAGUUGACCGUUCAAAGACCUAAGGGGAAAACUAAUUCUUUUACGUAGAAUGAGUGAACUAGUUGUGAUCACUGAAAUAACAACAUAACUAUGGAAGCAUAACUAGAUAUAAAUUCACAUGGCUAUAAGGGUAAACUGAGUGGUUUAGAACUGAGCUAGCAACCCUACUAUAUUCUGAUUUGCACUUCAAUGUAAAAGGGAAUAUAUGGUAGGAAGAAAGAAAACCAACCAUCAUUUGUUAACUCAUUGCUUUUCAAUCAAAAUUUUAAGAACAAAAUGCCAUGUGCUUUGAACAUCAAAUAAGUAUAAGCAUUAGUUCUAAAUUCCACAUAUCAUAAGUUGUUAGAAGGAUAAGUUAAUAGCAGAGUAGAAAAAUCUAUGUGUUGGUAUUUAGAGGGGAAAGUACCUGGCGAACCACAAUAUAAUCAUCAAUUGAAAGACUUAGCUUUCCAUUUGCUUGAGCAUCAAAUGGAUGUAUAACCUGCAAGAUAAUGGGAUAAAUAGAACUUUAAAAAAGCAUAACAAAAGCAGCAACAGUAGCAGCAACGUUCAUUGUAACCACUAUGAUCAUGGCCAACAAAGAUAUAUUAGAAACAAAAUUCCAUUUUUACUACGACAUUAAUAUGUACUAUACGAUAUCAUGACGAUUGGGUUACUAAGAGCUAUCAAAGUCUAAUAAGUUCUGUAUAACUUUAUGUAGUUAUUUAAAUUAUGGAUCAGAUUUUAAAUUUGAAAUUUUGACUGCUCUCCACAAAACAUGGCCUAUGCACAAGAAAGUCAUAGAUAAUGAGGAUUACAAGUGUCCGACAUCUUUUGAGUGAUGGAUUUAACAUGAGAGCUUAUGGUCAGUCAAUUUCCUCUGCCUAGCAAUAUAAGCUUUCUCGGCCAGAUUUAUCAUCAAAUACAUAGAUUGCCCCCAAGUCACAUCCAUAUAAACAUAGUUUUUCUAGGUAAACCAAGUAAGGAGUAUCAUAAUUCAGACAUAAUCAUAAAAAGGCCCAUCUAACUUAAGAGAAAAUCUCAAAAAUGGCUACAUCGUCUUGUAUCUAUAAGCAAUAUCAAGACUUUACAUCACCUGCUACAUCGUGAGUGGCUACACAACUUUCAAUGGUUUGUCUUUCUUUGGCAUGCCUAACUCAGCUUUGAUGUUGCUGAGAUAUUGAUAGUAGAGACACAUGAUACUUCUAGCUCAUGCAUUCUAUCUAACUCAUCCAACAACUAUCUCUUUUUUAAUUCAUUAGUGUUUGCUAAACCUCAUGCUUAAAAGUCCUGUUCUCCUAAACAAAGUUUCCUAAGAAUGACUUCCUUAGCACCACAUUUGGACACUUUUAGAGCAAUUUUAUUUUGGGGAAAAGAAUUUUCAAGGUGUUAACUAAUAAAUUUUAAAAAAUAAUUACAAUUUUUCCUACGAUCAUAUGACAAUUUAUCUGGGAUGAAAGGAUACAGAUAGACAUCUUCCACUUUCAAGACUAAUCACUACUUCCGUAGAUGUUGUGCAAUAAUACAAAUACUUGAUCAGAUGGUAGUGAUGGUAGAAAAAAAUUUUAUUGCUCCAAAAUUAAAAUAAGAAUGCAAUAUGUUAAGCAAAAGGCUGUGCAACAUCAAAUUAAUUGAUAAGUUUGUAAUUCAGUAAAUUAACAACUUUCAUGGUAAAAUACAACAAAUUUCUUUUGAAAAAAAUAAAUCUUAAAAGACAGCAUUCAAUUUUGUGCGCAUCUUAUUUCUUAAGAUUUUUCAGGAGGAGGGCAAUAGAGGGACUUUCACCUAUGCAAGAGAGCAGAAGCCUUACUUUCCCUAUAAAGUAGACGUCAUUCUGAUUAAUAUGCGUUUGCAAAUCAGCUCCGUUUGAAUCAGUAUUCUGAUAGACACACGAGGCAUUGACAUCCAUUUCCAAAGUCACAUGUUGCGAGGAGGACUCAUUUGAUUGCUCCUAUACGAUCAUCUAAUUCAAGUAGCAAGGGUUGGAAGAGAAUAAAAAGUCACAAUUAUUCUUUUGCAUAAGUGAGACGAAAAUGAUAAAUGCAAUAUUAUCAACAGUAAACAAGAAGAAGAUGAUAGUGGAAGUAUGCGGUGUGGCUGCCAGGUACUUGGAUUGUAUUGUCGGGUAAGGUAAUAGUAGAGAAUUAUAAGUUUGAACAGAGCAUGUUGGACUUUUGUUGACCAAAUUCAAAAGCCCAAUGGCACGGCCCGGAAGCUUUUGAAUAGAAAAACUUGCUAGAAAGCAUCAGUUUAAAUCACUACUUAAACGCUUGCUUUAACUGCACCACUUUGUACUGUUUUAUGUGUGUAGCGGUUGUGCGGUUGUAAUUCACGGCUGACGCUACGUGUUUGUUAGGUCAAAACUAUGAUACAAUAGUGGUACGGUACCAUUGUUACUUUCAAUCAUUGGAUCUAUAGUUGUACAGUUGCAUUAAUAAGAUCUAAUGGCUGAAAACAACAGUGGUACCAUACCACUGUUGCAACAUAACAGGACCCUAUUAGUUAUUUCAAAGGGAUAAAUAAGAUUGCUUACAACAAACCUACUAAUUUUAUAAAAUUCAAGUAAUAUAGAAUAAAAUAAAAAAAUAAAUACAAAAUUGACUUUUAUUUUUUAUGGUUGACUAUAUUUUGUGUUCUCUUCGGGCACUACUACAAUUCUUCCCUAUAUAUCAAUUACACCACAUACUAUCGACACAAGAAAUGAAAUCUAAUAUCACCCGUUUAGUUAAAAAAUCACUCAUGAAAAAAUUUUACCAUUUUGAUUUGAGGAUCCAUAUUUUAAACUGCAAGCUAAUGUUCAUCAAGAAUUACUGAUGGCCGUUGAGUAGAAAAAUUAUUUUUGGACAAAUUAUUUUUGUUGAUAGAAGAAUUUCUUUAGGGACUACUAAAUUAUUAAUAAAAAUGUCGAACACACCCACAUAUCAUCGACACAAUUGAUUUUGAGGAUCCAUGCUUUGAACUGCAGCCUAAUGUUCAUCAAGAAUAGAGUAUGGCUUGUGAGUAGAAAAUUUUCUUAUUUUGGCCCGAAAUAAAAAGAAAUUAAAUUGGAUGAGAAUCUGCCACUUUCUCAUGAAGAAAGGCAUACGGAGCAUACCAUGGUACCAUACAAAAUAAGGAGCCUCUAUUCUUUGGUUUUUCAAACUCUAAAGGGGCCAAUAUUGCCAAAUUCCCCCUUGAAAAUUCUGAUUACGACAUUAUUCAUCGCUUGAUGCAAUCAAAGUAGUGACAAAGUUAGGAAAAAUAUGAGUCCUAAGUAAUUGCUAGGCAGGGUUCCUGAGAGCAAAAUUGUCCUAAGCAUUAUAUGCAUACAUGGUGCGGUACAUAGAGCACGUUGAAUUCCCCACUAUAACACAAACCCAGAAAGACAAGUAAUAACUCAACUGAUAUAAAGACAAAAAGAAGAUAAAAUGAUAUAGAAAAAAGAAUUCAAAGAGACAGCAACAUACGAUAGACUGAAGCCACUUGAUCUGCUCAUUGAUUGCAGCCUUAAACUUGCAAAUAGUUACUGUACGCUAGUGCUCUAAGAAGUGAAAAUGAUGCCAGCCCUGAUUCCCUUUUGACUUCCAUUUACUGUCAAACAUUCUAGUAAUACAAAAAAUUGUUUAGAUAUCUUGCUAUAAAUAUAGCCGUUUGACUGUCAUAAUAAAGUCACAAAUAACCAUUCAUAUUGAUCUACUGUCACACAGCAUGCUUUAUGCAUACAACAGCUGUAUGUAUACCAACUCCUAACCUUAUCAAUACAUUUGGCAAAAACUUAAGAAGAAAGCUAUUUCUCCAUCUCUUUUUUGAAAUUUCACAAUAACCAGCACAAUGUGAAAGCUAUGUUCUAACCUUAUGAUAAAUGCUCCAGACUCCAAAAGGAUUUUAUAUAUGAGAGUUUGUUGCAGCAGAUAUAUUGACUUAUCAAGUAUGAAUCAUUGUCUGGAUGAACUAUCUUUAGAUAAAAGAAUAUUAGAACCACUGUAGAAUAUCUUUACGCUGCUGGUUCUAACAGGAAUCUGCAUGUGGCAACAAUUGCUAGAUCCACAAUUCCCCAACUUGAAAUACAUAGUUGCACACCAUGAGAUAGUGCUACAAUCUACUGAGAUCUAACUUAUAUGGUACUUUAAGCUACUAAUGUUUGCAUAUUUCUACAUGUUAAAUUAACACUAUCAUCUAUAAUCACUCCAAAACAACAAAUGAUAAGCAGCUUUUGGCCACUUAUUACUAGCAUCCACAAUUAUAAAUAAGAGAUCAUGGGUUUACUUGUUGCACCUACUUAAUUAUCUGCAGUUGACAUCCUGAAGCAAGGUUUAAAUAGUGACUGCUUAGAACCCUUGUAGUUGGAUCUUGACCUCUCCCAUUGUAGCCAAGAUUGGUUACUCUGGUAAUGAAUCAACACUCUCCUGCUCAGGGCCAUGAAGAUCUGAAAGCUCAGCACUAGUGGAGAACUUCAUCAAUCUCUUCUUCUCAGCACACUUGAGACAAGGCUGCAUUACGAGACCAAUCACCACAGCACCAACGCUUAAAACUGCAACUUUUAAAGAAGAAAGAGCCAACACAACACAACACAACACAACACAAAUCAAUAUGGUUGGAGGAAUACACAUGAUAAUGGCUCCAACAGUGCCAGUGGGUAUCUUGUAGGGACGAGAUGCAGCAGGAUAUUGUAUCCUUAACCAUACAAAUGCUAUGAACUCCAUAACCAUUCCAAAACAGUACAGGAAGUUCUCUGCAGCUACAAUAUCUCGAAAGCUCAGCCAUGAUAGCAAAACCACACCAGAUGCUGAGAAUAUGAUUCCAAUCAAAGGAGUCCCAUAACAAGACCUCUUAGCAAAAAACUCAGGUAGCAUUCCACACUCAGCCAUCCCCAAAAGUUGGAAAGAGUUGCUGCUCAUCUCAGCCACAAACAUGCCCAUAUUGGACAUUGCUGCAGCCCCCUGGAUGCAUUAUCUCAACCAAACUCCUCCAAGCACUUUAGCGAUAUCUGAAAAGUAACCAUCGGUCCACAAGUCGCGAUCUAAUGGAAUAGCUCCAGUUCCAACUAGAAGGGGAAAGAAAUACCCAAAAAUGACCAAGAUCAAAGCAUAAAACAAAGCCUUUGGAAGAGUCUUCUUGGGGUUAUCCACCUCUCCAGCUAGUGUACUUAUUGAGUCCCAGUAGUUGAGAUUCCAAAACAGGGUGUUCAAAUACAAAUUCCAAUCCACUUCACCUAAAUUUACUACAAGCCAUCUUGAAGGCUCUAACUUGGGAAGGGACACAAGUCCCAUAACCACAAAAGGAAGGAGUGAGAAAAUCCCUAAAAGAACAGCAGCCCAUCCCACAAUGGUUAGACCCCUAUAGUUCAUGAAAGUGAGAACAAAAGUCAAAGCUAACGCCGCAAAGGCUCUAGGUAACCCAUUGCCCAACGCAGGGAUACCAGACUUCAAGUAGUCAAGAAACAGAACUGGGUAUAAAGCAUUAUCAAUAACCCCACUUAGCCAUUUCAUCCAACCUUGCUGAAAACCCCAAUAUGGGCCUAAGGCAGAUGAAACCCAAACCACAUAACCACAAUUUUCAGAAAACACGGUACCCAUCUCGGCAGUAAUUAAAGCUUCAGGGACACUCCAUAUAAUCGGAAACACCAAGAAACCAAGAAGUGCUAAAAGAGGACCAGCUGCCUUUACACUAUCCUCAACACCAAACGGCCCCCCAGAAACCUCAUAGAAUAUAAGGAAAAUAAGUGGCAAGAUUGAUACUUUUUUAGUGCCAUGGACUCUAGGAGAAGAUGGUUGGUCAUUGAUAUUAACAUAUUCAACAGCAUCAGACUGCCCCAUUUCUACUGAAACUUGCCUAUUUACAGUGUUCCUCAAUUUCUGCAUCAAGUUUUAGCAUAACUAUCAAAAGGGUAUCCGCAUGUAAAUUAUGAAACAAAAUGAGCAUUUACUUUUUAAAAAAAAAUCAAAAAACAGAAAUGGAUUUCGCAGAGCACAUGAAUUUAAGUUCAACAUUAAACAGGCGCUUAAGAAAACAAAAGGGUCUGUUCGUAAAGCCAUCAGAUUGCAAGAUUGAACAACAUUAACGGAAUCAAUAGAAUAGAUGUAAAGAGAUCUGAAAAGAAAAUAAAAUAAAAGAUGAAGAGAGAUAAAACGAACCAUCAAAUAAGUGCAUGCAGAGCAGAGAGGCAGAUACUAGAGAAGCUCCGUCAUGUUAGAGAGAGCCUAAAUCAAUCAGAGCUCACUGAGUUUCUUUUCAACCGACCGGCAAAUUUGGAGUGGCACAAAAUAAUAUUUUUGCUUUUAAUUUUUGGAACACUUUUGAAUGGAAUUUUUUGUUUUUAAAAAAGGUAAGGGAGAUUAGGGCAUCAUAAAAAGAUUUUUUAAAUAAAAUUUUAUUAAUUAUUUAAAAAAUUAUUUUAAUAUUUAAUAUUUUAAAAAAUAUUUUAAUUAAAAUUUUUUAAAUAAAAAAUAAUUUUUUUUAAAUUUAGAGAAUUAAUUUUUUUUAUAAUUUUUUUUAUUAUUUUUUAUUGAAAAAAAAGAGAUAAAUACUUUAAUUGUUAUUAUUUUUUUUAAAUAAUUAUUUGAUUAAAAUAAUAUUAAAUUAUUUUUAUUUGAAGAGUUUUUUAAAAAAUAUCAUAUUUUUUUAUCCUUCUAUUUGCCACAUGAGUAAACAAAUAGAUAUUUAAAGAAUAAAAUUUAUAUAAUCUUUUGGAAAUGCUCUUAAUAUUUAUUUAGUCUUAUAUUUUUUAAAAUAUUUUUAAAAUAUUUUUGUCGUUAAAAUAUUGAUAUUAUUAUUAUUUUUUUAUAUUUUUUAAUUUAUUUUUAUAAUAUUAUUUUUAUAAUAAUUUUUUAUUUAGAUAUUAAUAAAAAAAUAAUUUAAUUAAUAAUUUAAUCCUAAAAUAAAUAAACACGUGUUUGGUUUUGGGCCUUUUCUUUUGUUCGUUUAAUAUCAUCUGGCUCGCUGAUUUGUGACUAAUUAUCAACGGAAUCCCGUUGGUUUCUAAAUUGAAAUAAUAGAAGGUCAUGAGACUAUUUACUCCAUUUAGCACUGCAGACUUAGAGUAUAUUGAAAAAGCUUUGUCAAAUAGUAGUAAUAGGGGCAUAAGAAAUAAAUUAUAGCUAUCACAAAUUCGUUAGGAGAAUUUCAAUUUUUUCCGUCAAUAAUGGCUAUGAAGCAAAAUUACCUUAGGUUAUAUUGCAACACUAAUACUUCAAAUCCUGAUAAGGGGUGAUAAAAUUAAGGUUGUUCAAAUCCCUUAAAAUGCUCCUUUGUUUAGUUUAAAAGUUGUUCUUAAAAUGGAAACGAUGACUUAUUUAGAAGAAAUGGUAAAUUUAUAAUUUGUAAUAUUAUUUGCACAAACAAUAAUAAUGAAGUGUUAAUUACCACUUAACAUUUUUAAUUAAUUUCUAAAUUUAAAACAAAUAUGAAAGUUGAUUGCUUCGAAGGUUGGAUCGACAAAUUGACAUUUGAAAAGAGAAGUAGGGAAUGUAUAUUCUGAUGAAAGGGACAAGAUUAAGUAAGGGGACAAUAUUCUCUAUUGGACCUACAAAUGGGGGGAAAGAUAUAUAUAUAUAUAUAUAUAUUCUUAUUUGUGGAUUGGGCAUCACGUGUAACUAAUAUAAAAGGAGAAAAUUUAGCAUGGUUUUAACAUAUAUAAGAAGAGAAAAUUAAUUGUUCAAACAAAUUAGAAGCAAAUUCUUUCAUAUCUUUCUUUAUUUUUCCGCUUACUUUCUUAGCAUCCAAACAAGUUAAAGUUAAAACGCUGUUGAGCCAACAAUAUGCAGGCAUCAAUAAGCAUAGUAGUUUUGUAUAUGUAUUCUAUACGAUAUUCUGGGGAUGUCAAUUGUAGAACAUUUUGUGGUAACUUUUUUACAUUAAUUAAUGUUUGAAGAACUUGUUAAAAAGAAAAUGGUAAUUUUAUUAUUUUGAAAGACAAAAAAAAAUAAAAAUAAAAGAGUGAAAGUGGCGUUACCUCAUGGUCAUUAGAGACUUGUUGCAAUGAUAGCUCAAAAUUAAAAAUUUGUGAAGAAUUAGUAGACAACGACGAUACUAUAUUUAUAUAGUCACCAACAUGUUGAUUUUUGUUUAAUGUUUGAUCGAUAGAAACUUUUGUCGUCGUCGUCGCCGUUGUUGAAUUCAUGCUUAGAAUACCACAAGAGAAGAAGAAGGGAUGAAAGGGAAGAGAAGAAGAGAGAAGUAGUGGAUAGCAAAUAUGAUAUGCUAGCUACACACAGGCCUUAGAGAGUUUUUUUUUUAAUAUUUAUUGUAUUUUUGUUUUUGUUAUUGGUUUGUCAUAUGCUUCCAAGGCAGCAAUGUGUUACAUCAUAAAUUGCACCUUUUAGGGGAGGUGGUAAAAAACAUGAGAGGAAUGCAUUCUAGCGCAUACAUGCAGAAAGAGUUUCCAAAUUUUCAAAAGUUUGUUAUUUCUUCCACCUUUUUUUUGCUUAAAAUAAAUUUUAAUUGUAUUUUGCAUUAACUUAGAGAAAAAAAAAAUCAAGUUCUAUGCAUAAACGCAUACAUUGAUUAGAAAAUGAGUUUUAUGGACACAAAGGGACAAUAUAAGAGAUUCUUUUUGUUUAUUAGAAGUAACAUAACUAGUUAGUGUAACAUGUAAUUAUAAGCUACCAAGAAUUUGCACUGAUGAUAAUUAACGGUAUAGAUUUUGAGCUAUGAAUGUCUUGUGGCUAGUUUAAUUGGAUUUUCGAGUUUUCAGCAGAUCUAUUUUAAUGAUUAUUAAAUUAUUUUCACUUCUUAUGCUUUAAUAAAAAAAAUUCAAUAUUUUUUGCUGUAUUCUAUAUUUUAAAACUUAAUUUUUAAUUCUUUAUAUUGCAAACCAAACUGAGUCAAAUAGAGUAUGCUCGAAUUUUUCCAAUGCCUUCAAGAAGAAUUCAUUUUAUUUUUAUAUAUUAAUUUAACACAUGUAAACCGGGCCGUUGGAUUGCACAUAAAGCAAAUGAUCAAACCGUUACAAGACCGGCCCAGGCCCACCGACUCUAUUUUCUUUCAUUUGACCAUUAAAAAGCUUUUGGCCACCCCCACCAAAUAAAUAAGCUCUUGUUCUCUUUUGUUUCCCUCUCAAAGGAAAAUAUCUGAUCACCGGAUAAUGAUUCCGGUGACACAAAAGAUCGAAACACCCCCCUAAAUUCCCUAAAUUUACAAUAAUACCCCACCAUGGAUGAUUCCGUUGAAAUGCCGCCUUACGAUGAAAGGCCUAAAAAGGGUUUUAACUUCACCUCCAUGCGCUUGAUCUUAACCCUCGUUUUCCCAAUUUUAACUUGCUUUUUGUUGGCAUUUUUUAUUGGAAUCGUAGCUGUUUUAUUCGGCGAAUCAUCAGUUUCCAGUUCCAUUUUUGUCCCUUCCUAGUGCAAAAUAGUGUCCAGCAGUAAGCUUUUUUUAACAUUUUCAAUUUUUUUUCCAUUUAUGAAGUCCAAAAAUUUUAUUAAUUUUGAUUUUUUUGAAUGAUUUUGCAGGUGUUGAUAUAAGGUCAUCAAAAGUUCGUGAACUUGGGGUGUUGAAUUAUAAGGCGAAGCGUGCGUUUUAUCCAUUUGAAGCAAUUAAAUUUCGCUGUCGGUAUGAUUACUAUUGGGCUUCUAUCUUCAAGGUAUUCAUACAUUUUCCCCUGUACUAUAAGCUUCUUAGUGGCGGUCUUGUGAGCGGAAGUGAGCGGUGUGGCUGACAGCUUCUUGAAAAUUAUGAACAGAGCAUGUUAGACUUUUGUUGACCAAAUUCAAAAGCCAAAUGGCACAACUCAGAAGCUUUUGAAUUGAAUAACUUACUAGAAAGCUCCAAUUUUUUGUUGGCUACAGUAAAAGGAUGUUGUUUUAUUCUUCUUAUACUUUACGCUUGCAUCAGCUUAAAUCACUUCUUAAACGCUUUGCUUUAACUCUACCGCUUCAUACUGUUCUAUAUAUGUAUCGGGUAUGCGGUUGUAGUUCAUUGCUGAGACUACGUGUUUGUUUGACGUGGUAGUUACGUUCCGAGUCUGUUAAACAUUCGGUGAUUAAAGUAUUAUCAGUUAUUUCAAAGGGGCAAAUAAGAUUAGCUACAACACACCCACUAGUUUUAUAAAAUUCGAAUAAGAUGGAAUAAAAUAAAAAAAUAAAUAAGUAAAUUGACUUUUAAUUUUUGUGGUUGAAUAUAUUUUGUAUUCUCUCAGGGCACUGCUGUAAUUGUUCCUUAAAUGUCAGUCACACCCACAUGUUACAGACACAAGAAAUGAAAUCUAAGAUCACCUGUUUAAUUAAAGAAUCACUCAUAAAAAAAUUUUGCCAUUUUGAUUUGAGGAUCCACAUUUUGAACAACCAACUUAUCUUCAUCAAGAACAGAUCAUGGCCUUUGAGUAGAAAAAUUAUUUUUGGACAAACUAUUUUUAUUAAUAGAAGAAUUUCUCAAGGGACUAUUAAAAUUACUAAUGAAAAUGUCAGACACACCCACGUACCAUCGACACAAUUGACUAUGAGGAUCCAUGUUUUGAACUGCCACUUAAUGUUAAUCAAGAACAGAGUAUGGCUUGUGAGAAGAAAAAUUUCUGAUUUUGGCCUGGAACAAAAAGAAAUUAAAUUGAAGGAGAAUCUGGUACUUUCUCAUUAAGAAAGGCAGACGGGGCAUACUAUGGUACCAUACAAUACGAAAAGUCUCCGUUCUCUGGCUUUUAAACUCUAAAGGGGGCAAUAUUCCCCAAUUACCCCGUGAAAAUUCUGAUUACGACAUUAUUUAUUGCUUGAUACAUAAGUAAAAGUAGUGACAAAAUUAGGAAAAAUAUGACUCAUAAGUAAUUACUAGGCAGGGCUCUUGAGAGCAACAUUGUACUAGGCUUUAUAUGCAUACAUGGUGUGGUACAUAGAGCACGUUGAAUUCCACACUAUAACAUAAACCCAGAAAGACAAGUAAUAUCUCAACAUAUAUAAAGACAAAAAGAAGAUAAAAUGAUACAGAACAAAGAAUUUCUAAGAGACAGCAACAUACAAUAGACUGAAGCCAGUUGAUCUGCUCAUUGAUUGCAGCCUUAAACUUGCAAAUGUUUACUGUAGCCUGGUGCUCAAAGAAGUGAAAAUGAUGCAAACCUUGAUUCCCUAUUUACUUCCAUUUACCAUCAAACAUUCUAUUCAUAAGAAAAAAAAUGUUUAGAUAUCUUGCCGUAAAUAUAGCCAUUUGAUUGUUUUAAUAAAGCCACACACAACCAUUCAUAUUGAUCCACAUUGCCACAUAGCCUGAUUUAAGCAUACAACAGCUGAAUGUAUACCUGACUCCUAACCUUAUCAAUACAUUGGCGACAACUUAAGAAGAAAACUAUUUCUCCAUCUCUUUUUUGAAAUUUCACAAUAAAACAGCACAAUGUAAGAGCUGCAAUGAAAAUGGACCGUCUGGAACUAUGGCGGAAGCUUCAACUAGUGUAGUGAUUUGACCUUCUUAUUAACCUGGCAAGAUCAAACACUGCCCUUGAUCUUGAACAGAUCAAUACGAUACGCACAACUUAUGAUUGAAUCCAGAAACCAUCAAAUCUUUAGCAAGAAUAAUUAAUCAGAAUCAAGAAACAAGUUUAAUGAAUAUAAACCUAUAAUUGGAACAAACACAGCCAAAGAACCCAAGAAUGACACAACGUACACCAAGGGAGAAGCUUUCCAGUGAGAUUAUAUUGAUGAUCAAAGAAGAAUCUUUUUACAAAGGUAACAAAAGUGAUUUCAGAGAAUAAGCUAUGACCCUCUCUCUUUUCAAUCUCUGUCUAGUUUGUUAACAGUGAUGACCCCAAUCUGCUUCGUUAGCCAGGUUCAUAACUGCGUCAGUGACAAACUAGCAAACCUAGAUUGAGCAGACUAACGACACGUGCAUAACGGCUUUAACGAACUUGGUUAAAGAACUGCUCACAUGUUCGUCACGCGUGUUGCUUAAAUGAUAGCCAAAACGACUUCAACCAGAUGCCGUUUUGAAGCUUAUGAAUUAUAAGUGAAAACACGUGCUUGUCUCGUGACAUUUAAAUGCAACAACAAGCCCAAAACACUGUCGUUUCACUAUGUUGAGUUUGCCAUCUCCAAGCUUCACAACUAGCAGCGAACAAGAUGAUAAUUUAAUUGACAUGGAGAGCUUUUAUAUCACUUUUACAACAUUCUAUAUAAUUGUGAUAUUGGGAAUCGUCGGUGCUGUAUAUGUGAACCCUCAUUGGCGACACUGGUGGUUUUAUCUUUGUUAAAAUAUGGAUGACUUUUCGUUACUAUUUUGUUGUACAUAACCUUAUUCCUACGAGAUUUAAUCAUUGAAAUUAUGUUAGUUUCAUUAGAAGGCUGAGUGGUUAGUGCUGCUACCCUCCAAUUUGGAGGGCAGUAGUUUGAACCCCCACAAGCGCAAUGUGGGGGUAUUUCCUUCUUUAAUUACAUUGUAUAAUUGAGUAAAGGUAAUUUUCUCUCUUACCCAAGUGUGAGUGGAGUAGACAUCCCUCGAUGGUUAAAACCUGGGCAGAGCUUCAUAAGUAUUGAUGUAAGUUGGUCCCAGUAAUAGUCUGAUUUGUAAAUAUCAGUUAUAGUCUCAUGUUUCCUUCCUUAAUUAUAUUGUAUAAUUAAGUAAAGGUACUCUUUUCCCCUACCCAAGUGUGAGUGGAGUAAAUAUCCAUCGAAUAUUAGUGAGGGUUAAAAUCUGGGCAAAGCUCCAUAAGUAUUGAUGUAAGUUGAUCCCAGUAAUAGUAUGAUUUGUAAAUAUCAGUUAUAGUCUCAUGUAAUAUGAGUUGUAAUUUGAGCAAUAGUUUCAUGUAAUUAAAAAAAAUGUUACUUUCAUUACAUUUUUCUUCGUUAAAAUUCUCAAGUAUCAAUUAUGUUUGCUUAAGAAAUAAAAUUUUGUCAUUAAAGUUGUAGUAGUAUUUCUAAGCAUCUCACAUUUUCAAUGAUUUUUCAUAAAUCAAUUAAUAUGUCGUACCAAUAUCAUGUUUAGUUUUUCAGACUAAAUAAUCAAGAAAGCAAACAAAUUCACAGUUUAGAGGGGUAAACUAGCUUUUAGAUUUUAGAACUAGGCUAGCUACCUCACCAAAUUCCAGUUUGUACAGUGAACUACAAGAUUGAGAAAAUAAUGUAUUUAUAGUUUAAUUGAAUCAUGACAAACAAUGUAGUCAUAGCUCAAUCGGACAUGAUCACGGAGAGGCAUAUUCUUUUCAAGUUAAUUUGAUCCAUUUAUAAGAAAUGAAGUGGAUCGAAGUUAAAAGUUCAAAUAAAAAAUCCUUGUUCUUGAGUUUUACGACGUCGUUACUCCUUCAAGAGGCUGAUUAUGCAAGUGAAUGGAGAAACAUAAUGCAUUUAUAAUUUUUUUAAUAAUUAUAAAAAUAAUUAACCAUAACAAAUCCCUUGCGUAAAUAAUAAUCAUUAUUUAAAAGGUCCAAAGAUGGUUAGUGCACAAUCAAAUUUUAAGCCCCUACCUCCUCGGCCCAAGAUUCAAACUUAGAUGAUAAGCCAAAUAAAAUUAUUUGAAAAUCAUUCAAUCAAGUUCCGGGGCAAAAAUACAAGAUCCUUAUUUACAUGAUAUAUAUGAAUUAAUGUAAUUUAUUUGAAUUGUCCAAAUUCAUUAGAGAUAAAACUAUAAAAUAUACCAAAAAAGUUAGAAGGAAGGCUGUGUUGGGAUAUUUUACAAACUAUAGGGAUCUGGUGAGAUUUUGAGCCAAACUGUAGGGAGUUGAAGGCAUUUGCCCAAUAUGUUUAGACGUACACUAACCGUUAUUUGAUCUUGUUGUUGGUCCCGGAUGAGCUGUAGUCUUAUUUUAAUUUUAUUUAAACUCACCAUAAGAUUCGCGGAGCUCCUAACUAACUUAAAUGACUCUGCAGAGCAUGUCAACACAUACCAUGUUUAACCGUUUUAUUUGUAGAAGAAUUUAUGAUUUCCCAUUAGCAUUAUUAUUGAAGUGGGGCAGGUCAAAUCUCAAUUGCUUGAAAAUUUUAUUUAUUAUUAUUAGUCUUGAAGUGGGGUGGGUAACGGUUCGCUCAAUUCGAGGGGAAUCAAAUAUAUCAUCCAAGGUAGAAUUGUGGAAAAUUAAAGCAAAAUAAGAAAUAUGGAAAGACAAGAAGAAAGUUAAGGCAUGAAAGACAUAUACAGUUGAAAUUGAUAAUCAUGUUUCUAUUUUGUUAACUAAUCAAAUGGAAAGCUGAACUGUAAACAAACAUUAAAACGUGUGGACCAAGCUCGCUGUCCUACAAGUCUACAAUAAUAAUUGAGUACUUUGAUUCAUCCUUCUAUGAAUUUCUACCCAUAUUGACUCCACCGAAAUUUCCACAAAAUAAAAUUAAAAAAAAAAACUGAAUUUCCACAAAAUACAAAACCCGUUGAACUUAAUUUUUGGUCAUGUGAACUAAGAUGUAAAUUAUAAAAAAAAGUAUAAAAUUAAAAAAGAUGAGAUUUCUAAAAUGUGUGGAAAGUGAUUCAUGAUUCACUGAAAUUACUUACCCCAGAUAUAAAGGUAAACCUAUCUAAUUUCAUUAAAAAUAGUUGAAAAACAUUAACUAAUAGAAAGCUACGGAAAUUAACCCCCCACAAAAAUGACUUUUUAUAGAAGAAUUUAUGUUUUUUAAAAUAUGUUAUCAAAGUGUAUUUGAUCAAAUCUGAAUUGCUUAGUAUGGUUAGGAUUUUGUGAACAUCACUAAAAAGUGAAAACUAUGAAUGAUAGGGGUGAUGCUUGCAAUAUGAAUAAAUAAUGGACUGAUUCAAUUUCUGAUUACAUUUAUAUAUUAUUGAUUAUUUAUGAAUUUUCAGACUUGUUAUGAUGUAUAACUAUGUGAUUUUGAAACUUGAAACCGUGGCAAACAUUGAAAGGAAUUAUAACUUGAAAGCAUGACUCACGGGGUAUGUCAUGAUUCACGUGCACAAAAAAGGUAGAAUUGUGGAAAUUUACAACCCAACGACAAGUACGGAAAGAAAGGAAGAAAAUUAAAAGACUUUGGGCCUAGCUGCGUGUAUAAAUUAUUAGAUUACUUUUUUUUUUAUAAGGGUAAUCAUCAAUUUACUCCAUAAAAAUCUUUAAUUCAAUUAAAAUUUAUGGUAUUUUAUAUAUUAAAAAUUCUAAAAUAAUUAUGUAUUCACUUGAAUAUAGUUUUAGUUAUAAAUGUUAAAAUAUUGUGGUAUUUAAUAUAUUAUUUAUUUGACAUUCAAAUUUAAUAAGGAUACAAAUGUAAAAGUAUAUAUUUUUCAGCUUUUUAAGUUGAAAAAAACAAACAACUUAAUACUUAUUUUUUGAGAUUCAGACAAAAAAAUAAACAUAUUAUUCAGAUUCAGACAUUCAGAUCUAUUCAGAAUUCUCACUAAUUCAGAUCUAUUCAGAUUUCAGAUAAAAAAAAAAAAAACAAAACGCCACCUAAGUAUAGUUAGGAUUGUGUGAACAUCACUGAAAACUAUGAUUGAUAGAAGUGAUCUUGGCAAUAUGAAUAAAUAAUUAACUGAAUCAAUUGAUUUAUAUAUUAAUGAUUGUUUAUGAAUUUGCGGACUUGUUGCGAUAUAAUAAUAGCAUAUGAUUUUGAAACUUGAAACAGUGGUAAAUAUUGAAAGGAAUUAAUUUGAAAGCAUGAUCCGUGGGGAAUGUGAUGAAUCGUGUUUACAAAAAAGGUAGAAUUGUGGAAAUUUAUAAUAGAACGAUAAAUAUGGUAAAAAGGAAGAAAAUUGAAAGACUUGGGGCUUGGCCUGGGUGUAUUUUCUAACAGUCCAAUGGACAAAAUUAUAUUUGUAUACUUUCUUUUCAGGAAAAAGUUAUUCUCAUCCCUAGGUUUCAUGCAAUAGCUCAUUCCAUCCUUAUUUUUUAAAUAAUAGACCAAAACAUUCUUCCGUUAACUCACUGUUAGUUGAAUGUCGUUUGUUAGUUAUUCAUUAAGAGUAAAAAAUGAUUUUCUAUCAAAGAGAAAAUUAGAAAAAUAAAUAAAAGUUGACAUAUAACUAAAAAUGAUUUUAUCUAAUCCCACUAAAUAAGAAAUACCAAAAAAGAUGAAAAUUUUAUAUUUCAAGCAGUUCUUUUUUCACUUAUUUCUAUUUUGGCGGUAUGAAAGCCCUAUAAACCCUAGAUCUAAGUACCAAAAAUAUUGCAAUUUUCUUAUUCAUAUAAGUAUACUCUCUAAUUGCACUAUAAAAUGACUUGAAUUGAAUUGAAGAUAAAGAAUAUAUUCAGCACAUACAAAGCACAUAAAAAUUGGUGGCAUUUUUGAGUUUUUCUUCCAAUGAUUUAAAUAUAUUAUUUUAAUUACAGUUUGUUCCUUAUGACAAUUAUUAAAUGGCUAUAUCAAACUAUAUCAUCGUUGAUUUCAUUUAAAAAAAAAAGUUAAUGAAUUUUGCAUACUUUGUAGUGUUAUUUAAUUGUGUAAAAAAAUUAUUUUAAUAUAGUUUGUAUCACUUUAAUGAAAAAUUCUAUUUUGCCCUCAAUGAAUUACUAGUUAACAGUUUUACACUAACGGUGAAUUAACAUAAGGAUAUUUUAGGCUAUUGUUUGAAAAGGAGGGAUAAAAUGGGCUAUUACAUUAAACUCUAAGGAUGAAAAAUGCUUUUUCCCCUUUCUUAUCAAUCAACUAACUGAUAAAAGUCAAAACUCAUAUUUUUUUUUCCUUGUUUCAAUCCCCUCUCAAUCAAAAAAGUUUCAUUGUCUAAGCAAUGAGGAAUAUGGCUAGAAAGAUUGUUAUUAGAAAGAUUUAUCAAUAGUAAUUGGUUCACAAUUGAACCGUUUUAGAUUAUUGUGAGUCAAUAUAGGUCCUGUUUGGAAUUGAAGUGUUGCAGCUCUUAAGUUAUAGAUGCUUUGGAAAAAAAACUAAAAUUAUGAAAUAAGAGUUAAUAAUAUAUAAUAAAUAUAAAUUUUAAAUAAUAAUUGUGACAAAAUUAUUAAAAAUAUAAUAGAUUUUUGAUAAUACAAGUAAAAAAAUCAUAACAACAUAGCUUGCAAGCUACAACAGUUAGUGUUUAACAAAUACUUUAAUACUGUGGCUUUUAAGUUACAGCUGUUCAAUACCUCAAUUCCAAACGCACCUAUAAAAUGGCUUGCUUCAAAAGUCUAUCAACCCAACUUGGAAUGCUCUCAUUCAAGUGGCUAUAACUAAGAUAAAACUUCGCUAAGGAAGAGUAAUUAAAAAAUGUAACUUUAACAUGUCCAUAUAGCAUUUUUGUUUACAAGUGAAUUUGUGUGAUAGAGAGAGGAUGUAAGCAAGAUAGUAAAGUCCUAAAUAUAUUAUUGUGUAUAAUGUCUAAAAUUUAAAGAGAAUCAAGCUGAUAAAACUCCAUUGAAAUUAGACCUUCAAGAAUACGGUUCUUGGGCAUUAUAAAAUGUUGUAAUGUUGAGAGAUUACCCAACCAUUAUGGAAUCCUACCAAGAUGAUUGUUACCACUAAGAUACAAUCCUUCUAGUGAACAACAAUCAGAUAAAUUUUUUGGGGAUCUCUCUUACAAAGUGAUUACCAUCCAAUCGCAAUUUUGAAUGAAAAUAAAUUUUUUUUAUUGGGAGUUUAACCUUAACAUUAAAUUUAGACAAUGAAUUUUAACUUUCUACAGUUAUUAAGCAGAUUACGGACAUUUGAGGAAUUUGAAAACAUUUCAUCCAUCGAAAGUUAAAAUUAGAGAUGGAAGAUAGGUGCUACAGCUAAUGGGAACAUUACUUCCUGUCCCUCAUCACACUUUAUUUUGGGUCUAAUAAUUUUACGGUAGCAUUGACCACUGCUCAAGGUAAGUAAAACUUACAAAUGUGUGGCAAAAUAAAUAAUUAAGUACAUAAACUGUUAACCAAUUUUCUUGAUAUAUACAGCUAAAGUAGUUGUAUAUUAGUGUCCUGAAACAUGUUUAUUAUGAUAGACACCUCCACCGUACCUCAAACAAAUCUGUCAUUAUUAGUGUCCUGAAACAUGUUUCGGCCGUCAAAGUCAUGAGAGGGUUGAUGACGCUACUACGUAUGAUGACACACCAGCCGACAGUGUAGUAACAGCUCAAAAACAAAAUCUACCAAAAUCAACGGAAGUUAAUAAAAAAAUAUUUUAUUAAUAAAAAAACUUAUUAUUUGUGGAGAUAUGUGUAUUUGAGUCUGUGGACUGAAAUGGAAAAUAUGAAGAAGUUCAGAGUCGUUGUGCAGAUUGACUUCAGUUGAGCGGGUCUAAUAGAUAUUUUAUGCUGACGUGGCACGAAUUAGUUAUAAUCUGUUAUAACGAUUCCAGAAAUAUCGGUAUAAAUAGAAGUUGAUGAGCAGUGCCUGUUGUACGAUCCUUUUCUUCUUCAGCAGUUCGUCAAUUUGCAUAGAAUCUGUUUCACUUAUGUUUGAUUAGUUGUUGAUCGAUAACGAGAGUAAAUUUUUCCUUCAAAUCUUGCUGGUUCGUGCCCCUGUUUCAGUUUUGGGUUUUUUUUUUUUUUUAGUUCUGGUUUCUUAAUUCAAUUGAAUUUCUUGGUGCUUAAUUCAUCAAGAUUCAGUGGAAUUGACUUGAAAAGGACUCAAUAGACUCAACAUUAUUUAACGACACUCGGACCGUGGGGUACCGUAAUCAUAAUAUUAAAAGAUUUAAAAUUUUAUGCAUUUAUUAAUUGUUAUAAUCUAAAAAAAAAUUAAUUAAUUCAGGUCAAUCUGAGUUGGUGCAUCUGCAGAGCCUUUUUUUUUUUUCCCCUUAUUGACCAUAACUUUCGACUUAUUAAUAGUUAUAUCAAAGGGUGUGGGUGUUUUACCUCAUCAUGUCUUCAAGCGGAAGAUGAAGACUAUGCAAGUGAAUACAGUGCAUUUCAACAUAGCAUAUUUAACCGUUUUAACAGUUAUUUGGACCGUCUUCAGAGCUAACAUCAACAUACUCAUUCAUAUGCUUAAUAAUGAACGAAUAGUCAUGGAUCGAUGUUUUGCAGCAAGAGCAACUCGACACAAUCUGGAUUCAACCUCCUCCUUUCUAACAGGGUGAUACGCCGCGGAGGUCGUCAAGGAUUCCAAAGCCUAGCAACAAGUAUGCUGGGUACAUUUGAAUUAUGCAUGGAUGCUUGGAAGUCGAACGGUCACAUGGCUCAAGACUUAUGCAUACGUUACAUGCAACAUGCAGCACGUUGGAAGAAUGGUCAUUGGAGCAGUCUACAUGGAUCAUGGGGGGGAUUCGGUCAACAUGGGAUCACUUGCUGAUUUAAUGGAGAUUUAUCAUUUGGUUUAAUUCAUUUUCGGUUGUUUAGUUAAGCUAAAAGAAUAAGUUAAGUUGUUAGCUUAGGACCUGCCUACAAUCUCGAGUGAUAGUUAGAUUGUUUGGCUAAGUUGUUUUAAGUAUAAAUAAGCUCCAACGGACUUGAAUAAAGGGCAUUGACUAUUAUCCAAAAAUCAAAUAUCUUGUGGUCUUAUUUCUCACCCUAAGUAGAAAUAUAUUCAACCACUUACGCUUUGACUGGGACCCCUAUCAGUGGUAUCAGAGCGAGGUUACUAUGUCAACCAACAAGGAACGCAUAGAGCGUGUGGAAGCCGAGAUCGGAAGCUUGCAAGAUGGAAUGAAGCGUAUGGAACUAGGGCUUACUGACAGAUUGCACCGCCUAGAAGAAACAAUGAGCAAACUGGUAGAUUCACUUCCAACUUCAAAAGGGAUGCCAAGUCACAACAAUUCUGAUCACGUUGGAUCCUCACAGCCUAGCCGUGGAGAUAGUGAAGGGAGCCGCCAUCAGCUAGCAUCAAGACUUACCAAACUGGAGUGUCCACGAUAUUCCGGCGACGACCCAACGGAGUGGUAUAAUAGGAUCAUGCAAUUUUUCGAGUACCAGAAAGCAACCAAUGAACAGAAAGUCUCCUUAGCUUCUUUUCACCUCGAAGGAGAGGCCAACCAAUGGUGGCAGUAGAUGCGACGAACUUAUCAAGAAGACGAAAAAAUAGUAACGUGGGAAAUUUUUGUGGAGGAGCUUUGGGCACGGUUUGGCCCUACUGAGUGCGAAGAUUAUGAUGAGGCGUUGUCCAGGGUUAAGCAGACAGGGUCACUACGUGAUUAUCAGAGGGAAUUCGAAAGGCUUGGGAACUGGGUACGAGGCUGGACGCAAAAGGCCUUGGUCGGGACCUUUAUGGGAGGAUUGAAGCCGGCAAUCUCAGAGGAAAUUCGGAUGUUUCGGCCCAAAACUUUAAAAGAAGCUAUAAGCCUCGCACGUAUGAAGGAUGAUCAAUUAACGCGACAAAGGAAGUUGCUACGACCACAGUACCUCAACCGUACACCACCAACACCAACAAACAAUACCCGUGCCCAACCAACGAGACCCAUCAAACGGCUGACUUGGGACGAAAUGCAGCGGCAUCGAGUAAUGGGACUUUGCUUCAAUUGCAACGAUCGGUUUACAGCAGGUCAUAAGUGCACCCAACCUCAGCUAUUGCUCCUUGAAAGUGAGACAAUGAAUGAUGAAACUACAUAUGAGGGAAUUCCUGAAGUCUUAUGAACAAAACCUGACACUAAAGAGCCUACCGAUCCAAAAAUCACUUUCUAUGCCCUCACUGGAUGGGCAGCCCCAAGAACCAUGCGGGUCACGGCAACGGUAGGACCAUAUGAGAUUAUGGUUCUGAUCGAUAGCGGUUCAACUCACAAUUUCAUCAGCUCCCGAAUGGCCAACAUGUUACGGCUGCCAAUCAUUCCCACAGCAGGAUUUUUGGUGCGAGUGGCAAACGGAGAAACGCUAUCGUGCAAGGGAAAAUUCGAACGGGUUCAGGUAUUAUUACAAGAAGUUCCAUUCACUUUGACUCUUUAUUCACUUCCAAUUACAGGGUUGGAUAUGGUGCUUGGAGUCUAGUGGCUUGAGAUGCUAGGCUCAGUGGUUUGCAAUUGGAAACAACUUACCAUGGAUUUCACUUGGGAGAACAAAAGUUGCCGGUUACAAGUCAUCGGGCCUCAAUCAAUCCAAACAGCAUCCUUGACCGAAAUUACCAAAGAGCUGAGACAAGGGCAGUCCGGUUUUGCUAUUUGUUUCCAUGUGAAUGUAGAAGACUCUCUCAACACAACAACUCCAGAUAUGCAAGACUUGUUAAAGGAAUACAACACUUUAUUUCAAAAGCCAACAAAACUGCCACCUAGACGAGAAAUCGACCAUAACAUCACAUUGAAAGAGGGAACUGAGCCAGUCAACGUACGGCCAUACCGUUAUGCCUAUUUCCAGAAAGCCGAAAUUAAAAAACAAGUCCAGGAGAUGCUGAAUUCGGGACUCAUUCGGCCUAGUACCAGCCCUUUUUCAUCACCAGUACUACUUGUCAAAAAAAAAGAUGGAAGUUGGCGAUUUUGCACCGACUAUCGGUCUCUCAAUAACGCCACUGUUAAAGACCGAUUUCCAAUCCCUACAGUCGAUGACAUGCUGGACGAGUUACAUGGAGCAGCAUACUUCACUAAAUUGGACCUAAGGGCCGGAUACCAUCAGGUACGUGUAAACCCAGCCGAUAUCCACAAAACGGCUUUUCGUACAUACAAUGGACAUUACGAAUACUUAGUAAUGCCGUUUGGCUUAUGCAAUGCACCAUCGACAUUCCAGGCCAUCAUGAACUCUAUCUUCCGUCCCUAUCUCAGGAAAUUUAUCCUUGUUUUCUUUGACGAUAUAUUGAUAUACAGUCCCUCUUGGUGUAGCCACCUUACUCAUGUUAAGCAGGCAAUGGAGGUUCUUAAACAACAUCAAUUUUUUCUUAAAGCAAGCAAGUGCACUUUUGGCCAACAAGAACUCGAGUACCUUGGCCACAUAAUUACCAGCCAAGGGGUAAAAGUAGAUGAGACAAAAAUUGCGGCCAUGGUCUCCUGGCCUCAACCGAAGAACAUCUCAGAGUUACGGGGAUUCCUUGGCCUUACAGGUUACUAUAGAAAGUUCGUCCAAGGAUAUGGAGUUUUAGCUCGGCCACUCACGAAUCUUCUAAAAAAAGGACAGUUUGAAUGGAAUGCAGAAGCGGACAAAGCUUUUAUCAAUUUAAAAAAGGCAAUGACAAGUACACCCACAUUAGCCAUGCCUAAUUUUAAUGAAACUUUUAUUAUUGUGACAGAUGCAUCCGGUGACGGCAUCGGCGCAAUACUCCAGCAACAAGGGCAUCCCAUCGCAUUUAUGAGUCGUGCCUUGGGAGUCACAAAAAAAUCUUAGUCCACAUACGCAAAAGAGAUGUUGGCGAUUAUAGAAGCUAUCCGUGUGUGGCGACCUUAUCUGGUGGGACGAAAGUUUAUCAUCCAAACCGAUCAACGCAGCCUUAAGUACCUUUUGGAACAAAAAAUAACGACACCCGAAUAGCAACAGUGGCUGGCCAAAUUGAUGGGGAUUGAAUAUGAAAUCCAAUAUAGGCCCGGCCGUGAGAAUGUUGCCGCCGACGCCCUUUCACGACGACCUGACAGUUCUGCUCUUAACAGUUUAUUUGUGGCGCAGGUAUCUAUUUGGAAUGAAAUAAAAACGGCUGCCCAAGAUGAUGAUUACAUGCAGCAAAUUACACAUCAGGCUCUGACUCAACCUACUGGCCCUUAUUUCAUGCGUAACGGGCUAAUUUUCUUCAAGGGCCGAGUUGUAGUUCCUCUUCGACUCCGUCAAUCUUUAAUUUUUUAAGCCCAUGACACUAAGAUGGGAGGUCAUUCAUGAGUUCUACGUACUUACAAACGUUUGAAACAACAAUUCUAUUGGCCUUCAAUGUUUCAAACGGUUCAUGACUAUGUAGGUAAAUGCGAGAUUUGUCAAAAAACGAAAGCAUCAACCCUUAAGCCUGCGGGUCUCCUCCAGCCCUUGCCAAUUCCUUGCCAAGUGUGGGAUGAUAUCACGCUCGACUUCAUUGAAGGGCUGCCAAACUCACACGGUAAAAAUUCUAUUCUAGUGGUGGUGGAUCGGCUCAGCAAGAGUGCACACUUUAUGGCCUUGACUCACCCAUUCACAGCAAAAACAGUGGCUGAGAAGUUUAUUGAUGGAGUGGUAAAAUUACAUGGCAUGCCGAAAUCAAUAAUCAGUGACCGAGACCCUAUUUUUAUUAGCAAGUUUUGGCAGGAGUUUUUUCAUAUGUCCGGUACACAACUCAAUAUGAGUUCUGCGUACCAUCCGCAAACCGACGGUCAAACGGAAGUUAUUAAUAGAUGUCUUGAACAAUACCUGCGAAGCUUUGUUCACCAAUGGCAGAAGCAAUGGAACUCUUACCUACCUUGGGCAGAAUACUGGUACAACACAACGUACCAUGAGUCCACAAGCAUGACUCCUUUUUUGGCUUUGUAUGGGCGACAUCCACUGGUAGUACCAAUGUAUCAUGUGGAAUCUUCUCCAGUGCACAAGGUAGAUCAAGCUUUGUUGUCUAGGGAUGAGCUGCUGCGACAAUUAAAACAGAAUUUGAAAAUGGCAACCAAUCGCAUGAAACAAUUUGCGGAUACAAAAACGCGCGACGUGGAGUUUAAGGAGGGUGACAUGGUAUUCCUAAGACUUCCACCGUAUAGGCAGACUACUGUAUUCCGUCGUGCUCAUCAGAAGUUGACCAGCAAAUACUCUGGGCCAUAUCCAAUUCUGCGAAGAGUGGGACAAGUGGCUUAUGAGCUUAAACUACCGACGGGAUCUCGAGUGCAUCCGGUAUUUCAUGUGUCCUUACUCAAAAAAUACGUUGGUGAGAUGCCUCAAUUCAGUGCAGAUCUUCCAUAUGUCAAUGACGACGGAGUACUCGUUUUAGAACCGGACAAAAUUAUUGAUGUUCGUUGGCUUAAAAGAGGUGGCAAGUUGGUGGAACAAAGUCUUGUCCGUUGGAAACGCCUUCCACAUGAGGACGCAACAUGGGAAGAUUCAGAGUUCCUGGCAAAGCAAUUCCCUCACCUGACCCUUGAGGACAAGGGUCCUCUUCGUGGAGGCGGUAUUGAUACACCGCGGAGGUCGUCAAGGAUUCCAAAGCCUAGCAACAAGUAUGCUGGGUACAUUUGAAUUAUGCAUGGAUGCUUGGAAGUCGAACGGUCACAUGGCUCAAGACUUAUACGUUACAUGCAACAUGCAGCACCUUGGAAGAAUGGUCGUUGGAGCAGUCUACAUGGAUCAUGGGGGGGAUUCGGUCAACAUGGGAUCACUUGCUGAUUUAAUGGAGAUUUAUCAUUUGGUUUAAUUCAUUUUCGGUUGUUUAGUUAAGCUAAAAGAAUAAGUCAAGUUGUUAGCUUAGGACCUGCCUACAAUCUCGAGUGAUAGUUAGAUUGUUUGGCUAAGUUGUUUUAAGUAUAAAUAAGCUCCAACGGACUUGAAUAAAGGGUAUUGACUAUUAUCCAAAAAUCAAAUAUCUUGUGGUCUUAUUUCUCACCCUAAGUAGAAAUAUAUUCAAUCACUUACGCUUUGACUGGGACCCCUAUCACAGGGGAUUUCGAUUUGAGUUACUUUGUGCUCAAGCAAAUUCACAUCAUAGUUUUGAUUCUUUAGAUAUGAAUUCAUCACAUUACAUAUAUCAGAUUAAGUGUAACAAAAUUUUUAAUUUACUGCGAAAAGAAUAUGCACUAAACAAUGAUUUCAAGACGAUUUGACUACCAAAAGCAGCUGUCAGAGUGCACUAAAAAUUUCUGUAGGAUAUUUUGUAGCUGUUUAAUAUGUUAUGAUGGGCAUAUAAUUCUCAAAUUUUGAUGCCUCUCAGCGAAAAAUAUAUCAAAGUUUAGAUUAUGUGUUCGAGCUUUAAUAAAUGGUCGGAAAAAAAGCUGCUGUCAGAGUGCACUGAGUGAAUAAUAAUAACGACAAUAAUAAUAAACUAAAAAACAGAAUUAAUUACUAUUGAAUGGUCGGAAAAAAAUUUGAAAACGUGUGAACUCCAAUAAUCACCCCACAAAUUCAGUGGCGAAUUUUGGAGAGGGCAAGGCCGGGCUUCUCAGAAAAAAAUUUAUUUAGUUACAAAAUUAUCUUUAUUGAAACCUAUAUAAAUUUUUUUUUAUAUUAAUUAGUUAUGUUACCUCUUCAAUUAUCAUCAAAUUUUUGUCUGUUCAUCAUUUGGUGAAUAAAUGUGUGUCUAAAUAAUUUCAAAUAACAUUUAGAACAAAUAUUUUGAGAGGUAAAGUUUAUUUUGUCUCCCAUUAUUAGGUGCAUCUAUAAUUUCUUAUUUACAAAAUUAUAUUGUACGAUAAAAAUUUAUUGAAUUAGGGGGAAAAAAAAAGUUCAGCUCACUCAAAAACAAAAAAUGGUAUUAACUUCGCCACCGCACAAAUCUAGAAUAAUAAUUAUUCCUUAUCAUGCUGGGGAUCCUUUACUUUCUAGCCGUAUUGACAGCACCAGGUAAAGCUUUGUAAAAUAAUAAGUUACUCAUUAGUGGUUUUUAAUCUUUUUAAUUCUUUUUACCGCACACCUGAUCAAGAAUUUUAUUUUGUUAACUAAUCAAUUGCAAAGCAUAUAUAAGUGUUGAACGGUACGCAAGAUUGGAAAAAAAAAUCUUAAAAAACGUGUGGAUUCGGGUGGCCACACCAGAAAUCUAUUACAAUAAUUAGCUUUGAUGCUGGGAAUCUUUUAAUUUCUGGCCGUAUUGAAAUUUUUAAAAUAACAAGUUCCCCUUCUCGUUUUUUUUUUUAUAAAUAUAUAAGCUUAUAACAAUUUUAGAAUAAUGACUCAUUUGUAGAAGAAUUUAUGAUUUCCCAUUAAUAUUAAUAUUGAAGUGGGGUGGGUCAAAUCUCAAUUGCUUGAAGAAUUUAUUUAUUAUUAUUAAUAUUAUUAGUAUUGAAGUGGGGUAGGGAACGGACCAGCAGUUCACUCAAUUCGUGGCGAAUUAAAUAUUACCAUCCAAGGUAGGAUUGUGGAAAAUUAAAGCAAAAUGACAAGUAUGGAAAGGAAGGCUGAAAGUAAGGCAUGACGAAAGGCUUUGAGAAGGCUGAAGACUUACCAAAGAAGUCAACUGAAAACUAGCUGGGGCCUGAGUGUAUAAAUUGUUAGAUGCGUUUGUUAUAAAUAACAUAGAGCCCUUUUGUUAUUUAUAGUUAUAGAGAAAGAGAGAAUGUGUGUCUUUUAAGAGUUAGAGAUAUAGCUAGAAUGGGCGGCUCAAAAUCCAAAAUGGUGACAAUGUUAGUUCUCGUAUUGGUAAUAUUUUGGGUGGGGGGGGGGGGGGGGGGGGGGGGGGGUUGUGAGGGAAGGAAGGUCCACAGGCCGAGUGGUACAACUACACCUUGGCCUUACUAGGAAUAUCGAUCUGGGAGAGUGGUAUCUGAAUGCUUCUCUAUUUACUUCCUUUCAACAACUUGGUAACAAAAUAGCCGGCUGCAUGCGUUGAGAAUGAAGGUCCUUCAUUUAAUUUAAUUUACUUAAUUUCUCCCUCCCAAUUAAUGUCUAAUGGAGCUCAUUCUUUGGUUUUACUUGCAGGUCUAGAAGCAGGUGUCAUCUAACAGCUGCUUUGAUAAUUUCCCACCCCUUCAUCUUUGAUGGAAAGAUGAAAUAAAAACAAAAUGGUGAAAAUGGUAUUGGUACCUGAGGCUAUGUAAUCUAAUUCAACAACUGCACCAUCAAAACGAUUACAUAAGUCCCAGAAGAAUCAAACAUUAGUUUGCAAAAUAUCAAUUGCUGGAGGUUAGAUUCUAACUUCCGCUCUUGAUUUUUAUGGGCAUGUUGUAUUGUACUUGCAUACGAAAAUCAUAUUUUAGUUUACUUACACUCAAUGCUUGGAUUAAAGUUUCAGGUGGGGAAAAUUGAAGGAGACUAAAAUGACUCAAAAAAAUAGUUGAAUGAGUGAGGGUUUUGUCUUCAUUUGAGGAGCUCUUUAUAAAUUUUAGGAUUUUUUUUCCCGAGAAAAUUUAUGCCAACUUAUUCUUUGCUUCUUUUCUGAAGGGACAAAUGCAACUGAAAGUGUAUUCUUGAAUUCUCCAGGAUAAGAGACAUAUGUUUAAUUAGAUUCUCGAGCCUUCAAAACAAUAUAAAAUUUUAUAUAUCUGAGCAUGAUGGUGUUUGACAUGACUUAAAAUUGUUUAAUUUACUCUCACGUACAAGAAUGCCUAGUUAUAUUGUCGCUCAGAGUCCGAGGUUAAUCCAUAAAGAAAUGAUUUAAUUUGUUUAUUUAAGAUUAUCCCAAAAAAUAAAAAUAAAAUUUAAAUAUAUGUAAUUUAAUUUGAAAAAAGUUAUGAAAUUAAAUUAUUUAGAGUCAUGGAUCCACUCUUAGUAAUAAAUACAAUUUAAUAAAUUCUUUUUAUUUUUAUUUUAUUGCCCAAAAGAUUAAUUAUAUAAAUUAUAAUUAUUUUUCCAUUAAUUUUAUUAUGGAUUAAGUACUUAAUGUGCCAAAACUUAACUUGUCUACAAUAUGUCAAAAUACCAUUUUACCAUACUUUAUGCUAAGAUAUUAAGAAUUCAUGUGCCAAACUCCCAUGUUUGUCUACAAUAAAUCCAAAUUUCAAAACAUAAAAUAUGGAUCAAAUUAAAUAAAAAAUAAUUUAAUUUAUAUAAUUAAAAAUAGAAUUUGAUUAAAUCAUAUUUUUCUACUUAGAGUUUUACCUCACCCUAACUAUUAGUAUUUAGCUAAACAUAUUUGAAAUAAAUGAAAUUAUUAAAAUUGAAAAAUACAUAAUUAAAAAAAUGGUAUUUGAAAAUUAGAAAUAAAACUAAUUUUAUUUAUUGAAAAUGUAUUACAAAGAGAGAUGAGAAGAAGAAUUUGAGGGAAAAGAAGAGAAGAAAAUGUGUGGAGAGGUGUGUGAAAUUAUAUUGUAAAGAUGUUACACAAACAAAUGAAUAAAAAAAAACUAAAUGAAAAUUACACAAAUUAAAAAGAAAAUGAAAAUUAAAUAAAAAAGAUAAAUGUGUAAGAAAAAAAUGCGCAAUAAAAAUAAAUAAACUGAAAAGUAAUUAACUAAAAUUAAAAUAACUAAAUAGGCGGUAAACAAAGUAAAUGCCAAAAAUAAAAUAAGUGCGAAAAUUAAAUUACAGAAAUUAAAAGAAGAAAGAAAGAAAAAAAUAAUUAUCUCAAAGUGUAAACUCUUUUUCUUUUUCUUUUCAAAUUUUAAAUAUUACCAGCCAAUUAAGUGAUUAAUUCAAAUUAUUAGGCUUUAAUAGUAAUUUUUAAAAUCAAUAUUCAGUUUAUUGAGUCCAAAUAAGGUCCAAAGAAGUUCAAGUUGUUGGUCUAAAAUUGAGAAUUUUGGGAAAUAUUGGCAACGGACCUAUUCAAAAAGCUCUAUAAUUUUGUGGUCAAACUGCAAUUAUGAGAAGAAUGAUCCAAAAAUUAGAAUUUUUGGGGUGAGUGAGAUUUAGAAAGAUUUUGUGGAUAUAACAUAAUUUAAGAAAGAAAAAGGAGGUAAAUGAAAAUUUACACAAAAAGUAUAAAAAGAAAGAAAAAAGAAAACAAAAUAAAUACCUCUCCCAGCAAUGGCGGUAAAAACUUAACACGACUUAAAAGCAUUUAAUUUACUCUAAAGUAUAAGAGUACCUAGUUAUAUUAUAUCGCGAGAAGUCCGAGAUCGAUCUACAGAAAAAUGAUUUAAUUUAUUUAUUUAAGUUUAUCUAAAAAAUAAAAAUAAAAUUAAAUACAUGCAAUUUAAUUUGAGAAAAACUAUGAAAUUGAAGUAGUUAGGAUUAUGGAUCUACUCCUAGUAAUAAAUGUAAUUUAAUAAAUUCUUUUUAUUUUUAUUUUAUUGACCAAAAGAUUACUUGUAUAAAUUACAAUUAUUUUCCCAUUAAUUUUAUUAUGGAUUAAGUACUUAAUGUGCCAAAGCUUAACUUGUCUACAAUAAGUCAAAAUACUAUUUUACCAUACUUUAUACUAAGAUAUUAACAAUUCAUUGUGCCAAACUCCCAUGUUUGUCUACAAUAAAUCAAAAUUUCAAAAUAUAAAAUAUAGAUAAAAUUAAAUAAAAAAUAAUUUAAUUUAUAUAAUUAAAAAUAGAAUUUGAUUAAAUCAUAUUUUUCUACUCAGAGUUUUACCUCACCCUAACUAUUAGUAUUUAGCUAAACCUAUUUGAAGUAAAUGAAAUUAUUAAAAUUGAAAAAUACAUAAUUAAAAAAAUAGUAUUUGAAAAUUAGAAAUAAAACUAAUUUUAUUUAUUGAAAAUAUACUACAAAAAGAGAUGAGAAGAAAAAGUUGAGGGGAAUGAAGAGAAAAUAAGGUGUGGAGAGGUGUGUUCCUCCCCCCACUUCUCUAUUUAUACUAAUACAUGAUUAAUCUAUACCACACAAAUAAAUAAAACUAAUUACAUCUUAGGCAUACAUUUGUCCCACUAACAAAAUAUAAACCUAAGUUAAUCCACUUAAGCACAUCCAACACAUUUCACUAACAAUUACCACACCUAACAUGAUAAAAACUUAUAAUUUCACAAUUACCACAUUUACUUUUACAACAAAAACCACGAAUCUUCUCGACAAUAACCUAAUUUCUCGGACUUUCGGAAUCUAAAAAUUUAAAUAAUAUUAAAUUUAUCUAAUAUAAUUAAAUGUAUUAAAUAAAAUAAUGUUUCAUUUUAUAUUUACCCUCCUUUUAUUAAAUUUACUAUAAUUAUAUUUAAUAAAAUAAAUAAUAUUAUAUAUUUAAAUAAUAUUAGUUAUAUUUAACUAAAUUAAAGCAAAAUGACAAGUAUGGAAAGGAAGGCUGAAAGGAAGGCAUGACAAAAGGCUUUGAGAAGGCUGAAGACUACCAAAGAAGUCAACUGAAAGCUAGCGGGGGCGUGAGUGUAUAAAUUGUUAGAUGUGUUUGUUAUAAAUAACAUAGAGCCCUUUUGUUAUUUAUAAUUAUAGAGAAAGAGAAUGUGUGUUUUUUAAUAGUUAGAGAUAUAGCUAGAAUGGGUGGCACAAAAUCCAAAAUGGUGACAAUGUUAGUUCUCGUAUUGAUAGGGGGGGGGGGAGAGGUCGAGUGAGGGAUGUUUGGAGCAUGAGAAAUUUGAUCUUUUGCGGCUGGAUGUUUGGAGCAUGAGAAAUUUGAUCUUUUGCGGCUUAAACAUUUCUUCAAUUCCCCUUAUACACUUCAAAACUGGGUAGGUGAACAAAGGGAAAGGGUUGAGUGCAGCAACUCCACAGGCCAAGUGGUACAACUACACCAUGGCCUUACUAGGAAUAUUGAUCUGGGAGAGUGGUAUCUGAAUGCUUCUCUAUUUACUUCCUUUCAACAAUUUGGUAACAAAAUAGCCGGCUGCAUGCGUUGAGAAUGAAGGUCCUUCAUUUAAUUUAAUUUACUUAAUUUCUCCCUCCCAAUUAAUGUCUAAUGGAGCUCAUUCUUUUGUUUUAUUUGCAGGUCUAGAAGCAGGUGUCAUCUAACAGUUGAUUUGAUAAUUUCCCACCCCUUCAUCUUUGAUGAAAAGAUGAAAUAAAAACAAAAUGGUGAAAAUGGUAUUGGUACCUGAGGCUAUGUAAUCUAAUUCAAAAACUGCACCAUCAAAACGAUUACAUAAGUCCCAGAAGAAUCAAACAUUAGUUUGCAAAAUAUCAAUUGCUGGAGGUUUGAUUCUAACUUCUGCUCUUCAUUUUUAUGGGCAUAUUGUGUUGUACUUGCAUCCGAAAAUCAUAUUUUAGUUUACUUACACUCAACGCUUGGAUUAAAGUUUUAGGGGGGGCAUUGAAGAAGACUAAAAUGACACAAAAAAAGAGUUGAGCGAGUGCGGGUUUUGUCUUCAUUUAAGGAGCUCUUUGUAAAUUUUAGGAUUUUUUUCCUAAGAAAAUUUAUGCCAACUCAUUCUUUGCUUCUUUUCUGAACGGACAGAUGCAACCGAAAGUAUAUUCUUGAAUUCUUUAGGAUGAGAGACAUACGUUUAGAUUCAUCGAGCCUUUAAAACAAUAUCAAAUUUUAGAUUGCUGAAAUUUUAUAUAUCUGAGUAUGAUGGUGUUCCAAUUAUAAGCUCCAGGGUGCAACUUCACUAAGGUUUAGAAUACCUUCCUAUAGAAUUGAGAAAUCUCCAUUGGCAUAAAUAUCCUUUGAAAAUAUUGCCAUCAGAUGUUGAAUUGGAGAACCUGAUUGAACUCAGCUUGCCUUGUAGUAAGGUUAAGCAAAUUUGGAAAAGAGAAAAGGUAUAAUGUAUUACUAUUACCAAAGUAUCUAUUUUUCUUUCUUUAAGUAUUUAUAAUGAAUAACUUUGAAAUUGAAUGAUGCUCAUUUAGUAUAGUUGUGUAUCUUUGGUUAUAGGAAGCUGUCAAGUUAAAAUCUAUAGAUCUUCACCACCCUCUGUAUCUCAAUAGGAUCCCAAAAAUACUAAAUCUUAAAAAAAUAAAUCUUUCAAAAUGUGAAAGCAUGCUUACGUUACCCGCGUAUAUCCACAAUUUCAACUAGCUCAGUAUGUUGUGUUUCAUGGGAUGCAAAAUUCAUUUUGUUUCUCAUGAAAGGAUUGACUUGUUCGGAUGUAUUAGGGUUAAUAAACCAACUAAUCCCAUAAUUUGUUGAUGUCGGGUCCUAACAAAUUACUGCAGUAUAUUGUAGAUCAAUACACUAUUUGAAAACGUAUUUGAUCCACACAGUGAAUGUUUGAGGGUGCAUUUCUCGCGAACCAGCCAUACCCUAAACGAGGAGCCGGUCUCCUUGUAAUUGAGCAGGCAGGUGAAGUCUGGUAGCAAAUAUCCAAGAGCAGGAAUUCUAUGCUCAAUCACAAGGACAUCCUCUUUUGGACUAUAAUUCGAACAAGGUUCCUGCUAGGAGCCGAGAGCCUUUCCUGCUGGAGAGCGGGGUCGGCAGGCCUAGUCUAUAACGGUUAGCGAGACGUGCACUCCUAUUCGAGAAUCUAGGCACGAAACCAACUCAGCUGCAACUACGACAUUCAGGCAUCCACUUCCGUAAGCUGAGGGAGGUGAUGGACGUGGAUCGUAGGGCGUCGGAUUUGUAAGACGGCUAUAAAACGGUAAUCAACGAAGGUAAAGGGGUUAGACACUUUUACACUAGAACUUAAGAAAUAAGACCAUUUACUAAAAAAGGAGAGAAACACUCAUAGGUGUUCCACUGCCUAAGAGAUCAUGAGAGAGCCACGAGAUCAGUGGCCGAGUUUCCCAAAAAGUAAACCUAAAUUUCUGACUUGAGCGUAGGAGGAUUUUUCCGGCGUGCUCUGACAAGUUUUUGUGUGCGCAUGAGUCUGCUAAGUCAUACAAGGCAUAGCUUUGCUCGGUUAGAAGAGUUACGUGAAGUAUCCUAGGUUGGUCGUGAGUUCGGGAGUUAAGGAGAGAUCCUGGUUGCAGACGAGCAGACACCAGAAUCUCGCAUCAACAGUGAAGAUGAUUCAAUAUUAAGCAUGUCAUAUAAUCUAGAAGUGGAUAUUGGACCAAUUUGAUGAUAAUGAAUUUCUUUCAAUCUCAAUCUUUUUCUUUUUAGCAACAUGACUAGUAAUUGUGCAAAUUUAAACUCUGAGAAUGAUUUCUCAAUCGGUUUCUAAAAUGAUGACCAUGCAUGUAUACGUGUGUGUGUGUAGAGAGAGAGAGAGAGAGAUCACACGUGUGUGAUUUCCUUUUGCCAAUAGGAUAUGCAGAGAGCUUGAUCUUACCCAAUAGCGAAACAAACUUCCUAAUAAGUGAAGGUAUAGUAUAAAUACUUAUACUUUCAUGUUAUUUUGUUCAUCGGUAGCUUGAUUAUUUUAUAUGCGUCUUCGAUUUUAAUUUUCUUUCCCUAUAAUCGCUAUUAUCUUUGAACUGGUCAUGAUUUGCCUAUUAGAUUUCUCAUGUUGUUUUGAGGUGCAAUGGAUUUUGAAUUUAGUGACGAGCAGUGGAAGCCAGAAGGCAAAUUAUGAAAAUGGAUAAAGAUCUAUAAUUAGCUGUUAUGGGAUGUCACAUAUCAUAUUGAUGGUAACAUUAUAUAUAUGUACAUAUAAUUAAUGGGGUUGGCUCACGAGCCCAUUAAUAAUCGUAUAUUAGCUUAUAUACUUCAAACAAUGUACUAUGAAGUAAUUUCACAAAUACUUGUUAGCUUAUGUGGAGCUUUAUUGAAUCAGUAGUUCACAGUUCAAUAAAAUGCAGGUUUGCUAUUUGAAGUACAUGGUCAUGGUGCGUACAUUCUUCAUAAGGCUAACUACUAAUUUAUCAUUGAAACUUGAAAAAUGUGAUAGAGAGAUGUAGAUAACAGCCGCAAAACACUGAGAUUGAAAAUCAGGGCUACUAAAUUCUAUUAAAAGCCCUUAAAAUAGACAGCGAUCAUCCUAAAAUAUUAAUUGCAAAGUUAUGCACUAAUAGAACUAUUGACUACUUAUCUUUAGCAGAAGGUAUAUUUUUAACUACAGCUUUCUGCUUUGUUCUAAGAACUAGGCAAAAGUGGUAUAUCUUCAAUCCAAUCAACAUAUAUACCACUUAUUUUCCCCUUCACUUCUGUCCAUUUUGAUUUGCACUUCAUAUCCUGCACUUGCUGCUUAGAAAUAGUCUUAGUCUGGACAUUGAAAGUAGAAAAAGUACUUGAAACAAUCAUUGGCACAGCCCGAGAUUCCAUUGAAUCGUGGACUCCAAGCUUUCAUAGUUCUAUAAAGAAAAUGACAAAACAUCAUACAACUGGCAUUCGGCUUUUAACAUUUGCACAACCUGAGCGCGUUAGCAAGCCCCUUAUUGCGUUCCCAUUGAAUAGACCUACUUCUGUUAUCCACAGAAGAUCCACCUCUCAAAAUGUUUAUCACCAGGCUAUUCUUAAACUGAGCCUAAACUGAGUAGAAACUUCCGCACAUCUCUCAGCAUUUACAUGAAGAAAGCGACAACUAUCCUCAUCUCUCAGCACAUCUCUCAGCAUUCUACAAAGUUGCAUUUCACUAAGCAAUCUAUCCUCUCCAUUCCUAGCAAAGUGACAUUGAUUCCCGUAUUUGUAAUCGCCUAACUUGGGUUUUGGGCAUAGCGUGGUCUUAAAAUUACCACCCAAUACUUUGUUCAGUGCCACUGGCAUCCACAAGCUCUAGCCUUGUUAGCUGAAUCAUAUUCAAUAGGACAGUGAGACAGCAUUUCACUGACAUAUUCAAUUUGACUACUUAUAUUGACGCAAAUAUUAGAAUUUGAAAUCACUUCUUUUAUUGGAAUAUUAUAUUAAAAUGACCCCAAAUGAAAGUUCUUGAAUGGAAAUGAUUUUUAUUUAAUUUUCCAACAGAUUCAAGAAAACCCAGAGAACAUUAAUUUACACAGUAAUAUGAUUAAGAGCUGAGAACGUACAUGUAGUAAAUGUCUAUCAAAAAACACCCAAGGGUUUCUUUAAAAUUAGAAACUAGUAAACAAAAAGAAAGAAUCAUUUUACAUUUUUAUCAACUUUGGGGUGAGUGAGGAGUGAGAAAUUGAAACCCUAAAGUAAUGACAACAGUAAGAUUCAGUAUGAAGUGAAACCCCAAUUUGAAAUGUAGGCAUGAGUUGCUGAGUCAGUAGAUGAAGCUGUAAAUAGGCAUUCGGUUUCCUUCUUUUCGGUUUGGAGGGCCAUGGAAUAGUGUAUUGGAGUGGGCUCCAAGUAAUAGCCUCUAUCACUGGAAUGACACAUCUAUAAAAUGUGAUACAUGGGGAAGGAUUGGACAUUAUAUUCUUAGAUUAGCGCCUUAUUUAGGGUGUAUAUUAAGCAGAUUAUAUAUUACAUGGAGAUGGAGUUUAUGAAAUAGAUUAAAAAGAAAAGGAAAUUUUGGUGCCUAAAGUUUGCCACUUGGAAUAUUUCGGUGUCUAAAAAUUCACUCACCACUUAUUUCAUGUUUGAUUAUAUGUUGAAAAGAUAUUAAAAUAGUAUAAUGCUAUUAAGGCUUAACGUAUAUUUUUUAUUAGUAGAGUGUAGAAUUUUUAAGAAAUAAAUUAUUAAAUUAUUAUAACUAACAUAUUAUUUUAAAGUUGUGUUAUGAAAAAAAUGAAAUAAAAAUGUACAGUAAAUAAGAAUAUUUUAAAACUUUUAUCUUUUUAAAAUUAUUUUUUAACAUAAGGUGAACUAUUUUUUUUUUAAAUCACAUAUUCUAGUUAAAAUCAAAUAUGUAUUUAUAUGAAGCUUGUAAAUUUUUUUUUUAGUACUGAUAUUUGGAUAUUACCAAUAAAAAAAAAGGUAAUGUGCAUGCUGAAUUAUUUUUGUAGCACACAAAAGGACAACACCGUUUAUGUUAUCAUACUAUCACUUCUGUUAUGAUAAUAUUUUUUUGUGGCCAAAUAUCUUCUUUUUUUUUUUAAGUAAAAGUGUGGACAAAAUGCAAAUCAGUUUUUAAUCCUCAAUCUCUCCCAAAAUAUAAAUUCGUAGGUACAUGGGUUGUUAAAACUAUAGCUGACAAAAAGUUACUAACAAAAACAGAAUGUCCAUUUUAUAACUUUCUUAAAAAACUUUCCUUAACUUUUUUAAAAAGUUACCAAUAAAAAGUUAUUUCUAAUUUUUAUUUUGUUAUAAUUUUUAUAACAAAAUUCGUAGUUCGUAGUUAACUAAACUCUUCUUAUUCCCUUUCUCAACUGCCAUACCCUAACCUUGUUCCCCACACUAAACCACGCUCAAUUAAGGCCAUCAGAUUCUCCCGGGCCCACAUUAAUCCAACUGCUCACAGAGACCGACAGCCUCUCUAUCUCCAUUUCAAGCUCCCUCUUCAACUGGCUUCUGCUACCGUCCUACUCUUUCUCGGCUUCGGAGUCCGUAUUUGCUCGGCCUGUCCCACGAAGCUCCCUCUCACUCCAAUUGUCGCCCCACAAGACCAAUUGCUUAAUCAAGACACCGAACAAGAAAAGGAUGAGAAGUUGAAACAAGAAUUUGAGAAUUGGAAAUAAAAAACGUACGCAUUGACCGUGCCUUUGAGAGUCGUUUCUCUUCAGAACUCAGUGCCUCAAUCUUGGGUUAAGGAUUUUAUGCGAAGUCAGGGAAAGAGAUUGAAGUUUCAGAUGAAUUUGUGUGCUAGCAUUGAUGGGAUCUUUAACAAUUUAUCUGUGCCCUUUAACAAAGUUAAGGCUAAGUCAGCUUCUUAUAUGGCUGCUGAUUUGGUUAGUGUUGGUGAUUCAUGGCUUAGUUUUGCCAUUAAAAAGAGAUUGAUUGAGCCAAUGGCUGGAGCUGAAGACCAAGAUUGGUUCAAAUGCUUAAGUCACAAAUGGAAGGUAACAUCUUUGUCUUUGAUCCUCGAGGUAAAAUAUGGGCGGCACCGUACAGGUGGGGCACAACGGUGAUAGCCUACAAGAAAAGUAAAUUUCGAAAGCAUAAUUUGGCUCCGAUUGAGGUAAUAAUUUUCUUUAAACUCAUUUAGUUUUAUAUCAAACAAAAUCAAGACUGCCUUUCUUUUCAAUAUUUUUUAUGAUAAUAUCUUUAGAAGCAUCUCAUUGACGGGUAACAAUGGCAUCCCUGAAAGAGUCUAUAAACUCAAUGAUAUUAUCUUCUACAAAUGGUUCAUUAAACUUUGUCGUUGUACUCAAAUGUACACUCAGAUCAAUGAGAAGCUAUGCUACGUUAGCAUGUAGUGAUGGCACUUAAUAAGUGAGUUGCUAGGAUGUGAACUAGAAAAAUUAAAUAUUGUCUCCUUGGGUAUGCUAGCUGGUAAGUCAGGGUUAAUAUCAGAGCUUAAGAUAGUAUAACCGUGAGAACCUAUUGACUGCCAAUUAAAAUAUCCAUUGAAAUGUCUAGGGAGUUAUGAAGGUGGAGGUAACUUCCAAUUUCUAAGGCCACAGAGUAGACAUCAUCCAGGAUCCUAAAAUAUCCAGUUAACCUCCUGCUCGAUGCGAUUAAUAAAUUUGGUCAAUGCCACUGAAACCUGCUAACUGACGUCACAAUGCGACAUGAGCACUUCAAAAUGGGACAGAUGGUCAGUAGCACUAAAUUUUUCUUGCCUAAGAUUGAGCAAUUGGUCUAACUACUAAUCCCUAUUGUAGGUUGAUCAUUAUUUUUUCAAUUAUGUUCAGUUUGACCCAAAAAGUUGCAGAAUCUUGAGCUGAAUAUUGUCACUGAACACUGUCAAUGUUGUUUAGCAUAGCCAACUAACUUGAUGUUAAAACAAACACACAGUGUGUCUCAUGUCUCACAAUUCAAAUUAUCAUCUGUAAUGAUGGAGAAUUUUUCCAAUGUAUGAAGUAUGCUUUGAUACGUGGGUUACCUUGGAGAAGAUAUCUCAAAAUAAAGAAUAUGGGGAGAAAACAGUUCAGUAGUUUAUUAUUCUGUAGUCAAGUUUUGUCUCGAAAAUGGUCAAAAUUUAAAUGAAUAAGGACAGGGAAUCUUCAUUCUUUUUUCCCUUUUUUAUACCAAGAUAUCUCUCAACCUUUAUAUAAUCCCCACUGGAUAUCUGCUUCUAAUAAUUAAAAUAAAAAUUUCACCGCUCUAACAAUAAAAAGUAACAUCUUUAAUCAAAUAAUUUACAGUUCCUCAUCACCUUAGUGUGAGACUAUCAGUACAUUCCAAAAACUUAAUAAAACUGGUUUGAUCCUGUUUAUUGAUGUUUAAAUGUUGUUCAUUGUGACAUGUAGAAAUGAUGAGGCGAAGUUUAUUUGGACAUCAAUUAGUAAGAUCUUGUUUGAAGUUGUUUUCUGAAAUGAACUGCCCAAUGGUAGUUUUUUGGGGGCAUUUGAUGGCUCUUUUUUUCCUCAUUUUCAACAUGUGCCUGCUUGGAACAGGAAGGAUUAGGCUGCAGAGUUGUUAUAUAUUUUUAGAUGCUCUGGUCAUUGCACAAUUUGUUCACACUGGAAAUUAGAAUGAGAAAUUUGUUGAUGCUGUUUUGAGAGAUCUGCAUUCUAUGCACAAUAACGUGAUUAAUGAAAAUGCAUUGUAGGACUGGAAAGAUCUGUGGCAGCCUGAGCUCGCAGGAAGAAUUUCAAUGGUUAAUUCUCCCCGAGAGGUUAUUGGUUCAGCUUUGAAGAAUAGGGGAGCAUCAUACAAUUCAAACGAUAUUGAUUUGCAAGUUGCUGGUGGGAAGAUUGCUGUUCAGCAGAAUCUGGCAUUACUGGCAAACCAAGUACUCUUACAGAAAUGAUAUCUGGUCAUUGCAUGUUAUUGCCUGACAACUGAUUUUGUUUGUACAAGUCUGCUUCUUCAUACAUAUGAAUGCAUAUGUUAGUGUUUUCUUCUCCUUUUCAUACAUAUAAAUGCAUAUGUUAGUGUUGUCUUUUCCUUUUCAUACAUAUUAAUACAUAUGUUGGUGUUCUCUCAUGAGAUGGAUGCAAUAGAGGCUUUUGCUCCUAAAUUUAGCUGAAGAAAUGGGAAGGGAUGUGAGAUUCUGUCUCAUUAAAUUAACAAAAACCCAAAACAAUGAAAAUCCAUAAUAAUGUGGUGUGGGUAAAUUGGCUCCAUUUGGUUCGUUUCCUUAAUGUGACUGCGCGAGCAAUAGAGACUAACAAAAUGAAGUGACAACAAGAAGUCAGUGUCCUUUGAUGGAUGCAUUUUUAGGCAGAAAUAGGUUUGUAAUUGACCAAAUUUGCCUGGCAUGCCAAUUUCAAAAAAAUUAAAUUAUGUGGUUAUUGGCUGUAAUGAAGGGGGAUAGUCGGUGCAAUCAGGUGGAUCCUGGAAAGUUCAACAAAGUUUGGUAUGGCGUAGUGAAAUUGGUUUGUGCAACUCAGGAGUCUUUCAGGUGAACGAUGAUAGGUUUUGAUUUAUGAAUAUUAUAAAUCUACUGUGCAUAUUAUUCUAGCAGAAUCAUCUAUAAGUUCUAGUUAUUGAAAUUGUAUACUUUGCCCGGUUUGAGUUAAGGGCACAUGUAAUAUGAAAGAUAGUUGUCGCAUCUUUUAGGUUACCUAACAUUUGAUCAAUCCUAUUAUGGGGGCUUCAAGAUGUCUAACAAUAUGUAGAAUGCCCAUGCUCCUCCCCAUUGUUUAUCUUAUACAAUAAUUUGUUUUAGAUGCUAAUAUCUUUGUCGAUACUGGUAACAAUAUUACAAUAUCUGCCUUUAUUGGGUUUUACAUAGGUUCGACUGUUUGACAGUACACACUAUCUGAAGGCAUUUGCAAUUGGAGAUGUAUGGGUUGCUGUUGGGUGGAGUAGUGAUGUUCUUCCUGCUGUCAAACGUAUGUCUAAGGUUUUAUGAGAAACGAAAGAUGAGUGUUUGUUUGAACAAAGUUGUUGCCAAUCUUGCAGAGUUCGAAAAGAAAGAUCACGGAGCGAAUGCCACCGAUUUCUUCAUCAUUUUAGCCUCCAUAGUUGAAGUUUCCUCAUUUGAAGCUGUUUAUGCAUACGCUUUUUCCCUGCUCUAGUACAGGAAAUUGAAGAAUUAACCAGAUGUGAUAUGCUGAAAGAGGGAAGUUUUCUUCCUUGAAUGUGGCCUUUGUGAUUUGUCUUGAAGGAAUAGGAUGAUCACUGGCAAAAACCCUAUCAAGGUAGAUUUUAUGAUGUUAACAUAUUAUUAAGCAUUUUGUUACAUCAGCAAUGAUGCUUUCAUAGCAUGAAAGUGUCUAAAUUUAACUGAAUGAUCUUGAUUAAUCAAUUAUGAGUUUUAAUCGAGUAAAAACUAAAUACAAUAAUCGUUGACAAAUACUGAAAUUGGGUAAAUAUGAUCUUGAUAUUGAGAAUCUGAAAACACAACCCACACAGGGAAUCACCCUUCGCGUGGGGAUGGAGAUGUUUACUGCAGCGAUAUUGCAUAUGUCCACUGCUCUUUGGGUUAUGGUGCGACUUGCGAUUUCAAGGUUUCCCUGAAACAAUGAAAAGAUUGACGUACCCUGCAAUGAAUGAAAGCGGCUGGACUAAUUCUGAUUACCUAAUUGACUCAGGAUCGGCUGGCAAUAAUGACAGUUUAUUAACAAUGCACAGUCCCGAGUACUUUCCAGGAUCAGAUAUUACGUGGUCUAAUGUUGAUAAUAAUAGAUUAUCAAAUGACAAAUCGUUGUUCUUGGGUGUUGAUUUCAGAAAUAAAAUACGUUCUGAGAGAUGCUGGUCUACUAUUGCAAGCCCCCAGAUUUAAGAAUCUUUUGAUGAUAAUUUACCACCUGUAACUGUGCCGGAAGAUUCACCUAGCACUGAAAAAGAUGAUAAUUUAAUUGAUAUGGACAGUUUCCAUAUCACUUUUAAAUCAUCUUAUGUAAUUGUGAUGUUAGGAAGCAUUAGUGAUCUACAUGUGAACUAUUAUUGGCGCCAUUUGUGGUUUUAUUUUAUUAAAAUAUGGAUGACUUCCCGUUACUAUUUCGUUGUAGACAAUCUUAUCAAUUAACAUAUAGUUUAAAAUCAUUAUGAUCUAUUAAUUUUCAUGAUAUUUAACUGAGUUAAAACUAAGUGCAUUCAAUAAAUCUUUCUUCCUUUAAAAAACUGUUGCGCUUUAAUUUUAGUGCUUAAUAUUUACAGAACUCUGGUACAGGGAAUUCGAAAUCAAACUAGUAACUACAGAUUAUCUAAUUGCAAGUUUUUGUCCAUAGUUGCAGAUUUGUAGUGAUUAUCUAAUUGACUGAGGUGACAACAAUUUUUUUUUUAAUUUUCAAUAGCAUAAUGUGGAAUUCAAUAAUUAAAUUCUCCUUUUUAAUUUGUUUCCAGUUAAAUUAUUAAUUACUUAAACUUUGUUUUAAGUCUUUAAUUUUAUGUCUUGGCCUAUAUGCAGGGUUGGAUUCUUGAGCGUGUUGGACACGACCAACAAUGAAAUUGACAGUAAACAAACAUUACAACACGUUGAGUGUCGACUCCAGUAGCUGCCCUACAAGUCUACAACUUUACAAACAAUAAUUGAGUACACACAUUUGAUUCUCGGGACCCUCCAAUGAAUUUCUAGCCCCGUUGACUCCGCCGACAAAAGUUUUGGAAAAUAAAAAAAAUUCAUAGAAUUCCACCAAAUACAAAACGCGUGGAAUUUAAUUUUCGGCCAUGUGGACCAAAACACAAUUUAAUGAAAAAAAAGAUAAGAUUUCUAAAAUGUGUAGAAAGUGAUCCAUAUUUUACUGAAACAACUUGUUAAAUUUUUCAAGGAUUUAGAAUAUUUGAUCAUAAAUUACGCCCAUGUUAAUUUUUCCGCUAUUGACUAUCAUUUUCUAGACUCACUGUCACCUUUCUUGAUGAACGGUACUUAGUCUCUCUUCUCCUCUUAUAAAAAUUAUAUUAAUUGAUUUCUUAUUAUAAUAAAUAGUCUUUAAGAACGUAUAGAUUUAUUGUUUUCGUGACCAAAUUAUGCCUGCUUAAGGUUGAGACUAUUAAUAAAAUUAAUAUUUAAUGUUUAUGUUAAAAGAUAUAAGAUUUUAUGCAUUCAUUAAUUGUUAUUAGCUAAAGGAUUAAUUAUUUUUUCAACCCAAUCAGUUGAUGCAUCUGCAAGAGUUUUUUCUUUUAUUUACCAUAAUUAUAUUCCGGGUACAAUAAAUUAUCUUUGGUGCUUGGAAAAUAUGACUUCUUACUUCAAGUUUGAUGUGUCUCUCUCCGUAAGCUUACUGGAAAUAUAUCCUCAUUUACUGUCAUUUAUCUAAUAUCAAAUGAAAGAUCUCACUUUUUCAAACUAUCACUUCCAAGUCUCAUUGUCACUUAGCCAUUCUUGGACCAUUCAAAACCAAUCUGUUGAAAUAAUCAAAUAUAUGCAAAAUUAGAGUCACGAUUGUUGGUCCCCCAAAUUCUAAUUAUAUAACUUCUAUAUAUCUCAUUGUCAGGUCACGAACUUGUUGGCACAUUUCCAAAUUCCUCUUCCAUCAGCUCUCACACGUUAAUUUUUAGGUUAUCUAAAUUUCAAGGAUUUAAAAUCUUUGAUCAUGGAUUACAUGUUUAAUUUUUCUGCCAUUGACUGUCAUAUUCUAGAUUUAAUGGUACCUUUCUUGAUCAAGCGUAAUUACUCUCUCGUCUCCUCUUAUAAAUUCCUCUUCCAUUAGCUGUUAGCCUAUAUGGCUAUAGAUAUUGAUUUUGAUGAUAACAAACCACAUGUGUUGAUUAAACAAAGAUUUAUGAAUUGUGCAUUUAUAAUAAGAAAAUGAUGUUAUGGAAUUAAAGUGUUUUUGGACUAAAGUGAAAGUAUUUUAAAACCUUUGAUAUUAUUUUAAAAUUUCAGAUUUGGACCUAUUUGAAAAUAUUUAAAUAUUUUGGGUCAUUCUAUAUUUUUACAUGGUUUGGGUGAAAUCAUAAUUUCAAUUUGAGUGUGUGAGACACUUGAGUGAAGAGGUUGGGAGAUAAUCUCUUUGUUGUAAGGGUUCAUUGACACAUUGAAGUCAAUUGUAAACGUUUGAAGCCUUAAAAAAACUUGGAUAGUGAAAUCCUCAAGUUUGAAUCGCUUGGAGGCGUGGACGUAAGCGGGGAUUGCCGAACUACGUAAAAAUUCGUGUGUUUGUUUCUCUUCUCUCUUGCUCAAUUGUUAUUGUGCUUUUAUUGAACUUAUUACUUUUGAAUUUAUUAAUGCAUUAAAUUGGAUUGUUAUGUGGCUUUGUUAGGAUAUUUUUUAAAAUACCAAUUCACCCCCCUCUUAGGUUGCACACUUGUAUUUCAUUAGCAUUACUAGGAAUUUGUUGAUCUCUAAGAUGCUAACUUGAGUGAAGAGUUUCCAAAUUGAUUGUUACAAAACAACAAAAAAACUAGACACACUUGAUCUGUCUAAUAAUUCUCUUUCGGUAAAAUUAAUUAAUUUUAGGGGAAUUUUCGGCCAACCUCUGUAAUUUCAAAGUGAUCAUUAAUUAAUUAAACGAUACAAAUAUCUAAAGUGAUUAGAUGUUUGCUGACAAUACAAGUUCAUGGCUUGAAAUUUGAUCUCUAUCGAUUGGUUUACAAAUGGACGCACUUGUGCCUUUGUGGCGAUAAUUAAACAGAGAUGUGAAGUUGUAAAGAUUUGACAAGUUCCCAUGAUUAGUAUUUUUUUUCAAAAACUUUUUUACAACAAAUUCAUCUCGCCCAAAAAUUAUAUUUUGCUAUCUAACAAUAAUUGAGCACUUGGCCGCAUUGACUCCACGUCUCCACCUACUUUCUAAGUAAAAACAUGGAAAUGUAAUCUCCACAAAAUGUCAAACGUGUGGAAUUUAAUUUUUGGCCUUGUGAACCAAAAUGCAAAUGAAAGAAAAAGAGAGAAAAAAACAAGGCCCAAAGACUACGAAAAGAUAUAAAAGUCUUUGGGCCUUUUUAUAACGGUGGAUUUUUUAAAAGGAAAAAAUAACAACACUUCUAUGGUUUGUUUUGAUAAUCACAUUUACAUAUACUCUCUAAUUUUUAAAAUGGACACAUAAAUCUUUUUUUUUUUUUUCUACAAACGUAUAUUAUUCGUAUUUUUUAUUAUUUUUAAUAUCAUAUUGUUAUUUUUUUUAGAAGAUAUUGUUAUUUAUUAUAAAUGUUUAAAGUAAAUUUUUAGGUUGAAAUAUAAUAAAAAGGUAUAAUCGUUCUCUUAUUAAACACCCAUACUUUUAAUUUCUAUCCAUUUGUCAUCUCAAUCUCUCUCAAUUAUUCUUUAUUGCUAGCUCAAAACGCGUUGCUGUUGCAAAUUAUAGCAAAAAGACAAAUAUGGAAAAGAAAAAAGGGAAGAAAAUUAAUGCAUGAAAGAUUUGGAGAAAACAACGAAGUAAGUCAACUAUAAUCUAGUUGGGUGUGUAAAUUGUUUGAUGCUUUAUAAGCAAAUAACAUAUAGAGACAGACAAUGUGUGUUCGUUUUUUCAUAGUUAAAGAUAUAGUUAGAAUGGGUGGUUCAAAAUCAAAAAUGGUGAUAAUGUUUGUUAUGUUAUUAAUAAUAUUUAAAAGUGGGUGGAGUGAGGGAUGUUUGGAUCACGAGAGAUUUGCUCUUUUGCGACUUAAACAUUUCUUCGAUGAUACUAGUAGUUAUCUUUACGAUUGGGGAGAUGGUGAGGGAGCUACUGAUUGUUGUCAGUGGAAAAGGGUUGAGUGCAGCAACACCACAGGUCGAGUGAUAGUGCUAGACCUUUCUAGCAUGUAUUGGGGAGAGUACAGCUGGUAUCUGAAUGCUUCUUUGUUUACUCCCUUCCAACAACUUGAGUCACUUGAUUUAACUGACAACAAAAUAGCCGGUUGUGUUGAGAAUGAAGGUGCUUCGUUUAAUUUAAUUAAUUUACUUUCUCCACCCUAAUUUAAGUUGAAUAUCAAGACCGAGCAAUUAUACACAUAUUCAUUUAGUCGACAAUUUUGACUUUUUUUUAAAUGAUUAAUUUUGAAAUUACACCAAUAUCUAUGAUCCUUUUUUUUUAUUUUACUUGCAGGUAUAGAGAGGCUAUCAAGAUUGAACAACUUGAAGAUGCUUAAUUUAAGUGAUAACUCGUUCAACAAUAGCAUUUUAUCAUCUCUAACUCAUCUUUCAUCAUUAAGAUCAUUAAAUUUAUUUUGGAAUAGAUUGGAAGGAAGUAUUGACGUUAAAGGUACAUAAUUAAAACUUCAUCCCUUCUCCAAGCUCUUUCAUUAACUUGCUAAAAUAAGAUUCAAGGCUUUGAAUUCAAAUUUUUUUAUGAUUAGUAUUAAAAAAAAACAGUUUUAAGCAAUUUAUAAAUACAAGUUUUAAUGUUUCUCAUAAUUUCAUCUUGUACUUUCAUAUGUCUUGAAUUUAAGAUUAAAAAAAAAAAACUCUAAUAGCGAACCAAACACCUCCACAACUAAUUAUUAUUAUUAUUAUCAUUUUUUUUUUAUUUGUGGUGAGGUUUGAAACAUUCAACUCAAUUUGUACUUAUUACAGAAUUUGAUUCUUUGAGAGAUUUAGAGGAGCUAGACAUUGGCGAGAACAAGAUUGACAAAUUUGUGGUCUCAAAAGGUACUAGAACGACUGCAAAAAAUGUAAACUUCUACAAAUUAGCUAGAUUCUUUGCCAUUUGGUUUAUUAUUUUGCAGGUUUGAGGAAGUUGAGGUAUCUCAGUUUAAGUGGUAUCAAACUCAAUCAUAGCAUAUUAUCUUCUCUGACUGUCUUUUCUUCGUUAAGAGAAUUAUAUCUAGAUGAUACGGGAUUCAAAGGAACAUUAGAUAUUCGAGGUAAGUCUAAGCCCUGCUUUCUCAUUUUAUAUAUGCCAGCUAGACUUGUGUAUCAUCGACAUAAUUUAAUAUUUAAUUUGAUUAGUCUGAAGGAAUUACAUGCUAAUUUAAACAUACUUUUAUUUACUCUGUCAAUCAAUUAAUUAAUUAAUUACUAUUUGGCUUGGUUUGGAUGAAUUCUCAUGAUGUUUUAAUUUCUUUAAAUUAAUUAAUUAAUUAACUCUGUUUUUAAGUCUUAAGUCUGGGCAUGUUUGCAGAAUUUGAUUCCUUCAACAACUUAGAAGUGUUGGACAUGAGUUACAACAAAAUCGACAAUCUUGUGGUUCCUCAAGGUAAACAAUUAAAAUAUUAUUCAAUUACAUUAAUAUAAUUCAUUUGGUUAGGGAAGGCCCAAAAGGUACAAAAAAAAUUAAAUAAAGAAACAGAGAAUUUGUAUUAUUUAAAAAACAGAAUGUAAUAAAGAUUUGAUUCUAGUUCUUUAAUCUUUAAAGCGAUUGAAAAAUAAUGUUGCUCUUUUCCCAAAGCAUAAAAUACGAAUUGAAUGCCAAUUAACUUAAUCAUUCAUUUCGUUUAGCUCUAAAUUUAGACAAUGAAUUUUUAUAUUAUUUCAAAAACAGGACGUAAUAGAAUUUAAAAAAAAAACAGAUUGUAAUAAAGAUUUGAUUCUAAUUUUUUAAUCUUUACUGCGAUUGAAAAAUGAUACAGCUCUUUUCCCAAAGCAUAAAAUACGAAUUGACUCCCAAUUAAAUUAAUCAUUUAUUCCAUUCAUCUCUUAAUUUAAAUAAUGAAUUUUGUUUUCUUAAAUCGUAUUCUAAUUACUAUUAAAAAACAGGUUACAGAGGUUUGAGGAAGUUGAAAAGCCUUUAUCUAUUGAGAGUUAGAAUUAGAGAUGGAAGCAAGUUGUUACAGUCAAUUGGAUCAUUCCCAUCCCUCAACACUCUUUACCUUUCGUCUAAUAAUUUGACGGAAACAGUGACAACUACUACUCAAGGUAAUUAAAAGGUACAAAUGUCGCCAAAUUUAUAAAUAAAUUGUUAAUUAAUUAAUUUUUCCGUAUUAUUAAUAAAGCUAAAUUCGUUGCUCCUUCCUUCUAAAUCUAAACAGAGUUGCACAAUUUCACCAACUUGGAAUAUUUGACAUUGGACGAUUCCUCUCUCCAUAUAAGCCUUCUGCAAAGCAUUGCAUCAAUAUUCCCUUCGUUAAAAAAUUUGUCGAUGAUUGGUUGUGAAGUCAAUGGCGUCCUACGUGGUCAAGGUAAAAGAAAAGUGUUAAUUGUGAACUCGCACAAUGGUGUCCUACGUGUUCAACAUUUUUAUUUAUUUAUUUUAUUGUUUAAUGUUUCUGCUAGGUUUUCCUCAUUUCAAGAGUUUGGAAUAUUUGAAUAUGGAUUUCACGCGCAUUGCACUCAACACCAACUUUCUUCAAAUCAUCAGUGAAUCGAUGCCUUCUCUUAAGUACUUAUCACUGUCAGAUUCUACUCUUGGCACUAACAGCAGCAGGAUUCUUGAUCGAGGUUAAUCAGAUGCUCCCACCCUCCCUUCUUAAUCUAUAAUAUUAAUUUUCAAUUCAAUAUUUAAUUACACAAACGAAUCACUUAUUAUAAAAGAAUAAUACGCAUUCAUUAAUUUUUAUGCUGUAUUAAUUGAUGAAUUUAAUAAAUUUUCAGGCCUCUGUUCGUUGGUGCAUCUGCAAGAGUUGCGCAUGGCUGAUAAUGAUUUAAGAGGUAGCUUGCCUUGGUGCUUGGCAAAUAUGACAUCCCUCCGAAUAUUAGAUGUUUCUUUCAAUCAACUUACUGGAAGCAUCUCCUCAUCUCCCCUCGUUCAUUUGACAUCCAUUGAAGAGCUGAGGCUUUCAGACAAUCAUUUUCGGAUCCCAAUUUCACUUGAACCACUUUUCAAUCACUCAAGACUCAAGAUUUUCCAUGCUAAAAAUAACCAAAUGAAUGCAGAAAUAACUGAGUCACAUUCUUUGACCGCCCCAAACUUCCAAUUACAAUCUCUCUCAUUGUCUUCCAGUUAUGGAGAUGGUGUCACAUUCCCCAAAUUCCUUUACCAUCAACAUGACCUGGAGUAUGUUCGUCUCUCACAUAUAAAGAUGAAUGGAGAAUUUCCAAAUUGGUUGUUGGAAAACAACACAAAAUUAGCAACUCUUUUUUUGGUUAAUGAUUCUCUUGCAGGACCUUUUUGGUUGCCAAUUCAUUCACACAAGCGGUUAGGAAUAUUGGAUAUAUCCAACAACAACAUCCGAGGCCACAUUCCAGUAGAAAUUGGAGAUGUUUUACCAAGUUUAUACGUUUUCAACAUUUCCAUGAAUGCUUUAGAUGGUAGCAUUCCCUCUUCAUUUGGUAAUAUGAAAUUCCUCCAAUUGCUGGACUUAUCCAACAAUCAAUUGACUGGUGAAAUCCCCGAGCACUUGGCCGUCGGUUGCGUCAACUUGCAGUUUCUCAUGUUAUCAAACAACAGCCUAAAAGGUCACAUGUUCUCUUGAAAUUUUAACCUGGCCAAUUUGAUGUGGUUACAAUUGGAGGGCAAUCACUUCGUAGGAGAGAUCCCACAAAGUUUGUCUAAAUGCUCCUCCUUAGAAGGAUUGUAUCUUACCAAUAAUAGUCUCUCGGGUAACAUUCCAGGAUGGUUGGGUAAUCUCACAUGGUUAAUACAUAUUAUAAUGCCCGAGAAUCAUCUUGAAGGUCCUAUUCCAGUGGAGUUUUGUCAACUUUAUUCGCUUCAGAUUUUGGACAUUUCAGACAACAACAUAUCUGGAAGUUUGCCAUCCUGUUUCCAUCCUCUCUCUAUCGAACAAGUUCAUCUUUCAAAAAAUAUGUUACAUAGACAGCUAAAAAGAGGUACAUUCUUUAAUUGCUCUUCCCUUGUGACAUUAGAUCUUAGUUAUAACCUCUUGAAUGGCAGCAUUCCGGAUUGGAUUGGUGAGCUUUCUCAGUUAAGCCACCUUAUCUUAGGUCACAAUAAUCUUGAAGGUGAAGUGCCAGUUCAAUUGUGCGAAUUGAACCAACUACAAUUGUUAGAUCUUUCUAAUAAUAGUCUUCACGGUUCUAUUCCUCCAUGCUUUGAUAACACAACACUUUAUGAAAGUUACAACAACAGUUCUAGUCUUGAUGAGAAAUUUGAAAUAUCUUUUUUCAUCGAAGGCCCUCAGGGAGAUGUAGAAAAGUGAAUCCGUGAAAAAUUUGAGUUCACAACAAAGAAUAUUGCGUACAUUUACCAAGGAAAAGUGCUUAGCCUCCUAUCAGGACUUUAUCUUUCUUGCAAUAAGCUAAUCGGUCAUAUUCCUCCUCAAAUUGGAAAUUUGACAAGGAUUCAAACAUUGAAUCUAUCAUAUAACAACUUGACAGGAUUGAUCCCAUCAACAUUUUCAAACUUGAAGCAUAUCGAAAGUUUGGAUCUUUCCUACAAUAAAUUAAAUGGGAAAAUCCCUCAUCAACUUGUGGAGUUAAAGACAUUGGAGGUUUUUAGUGUGGCAUACAAUAACUUAUCGGGCGAAAUUCUAGAAUGGACUGCACAAUUUGCAACAUUUAACAAGAGUAGCUAUGAGGGAAAUACUUUUCUUUGUGGAUUGCCAUUGCCCAUUUGCAGAUCACCAGCAACUAUGUCGGAGGCUUCAAUUGGCAAUGAACGAGAUGAUAAUUUAAUUGACAUGGAUAGUUUCUUUAUCACAUUUACAACAUCGUACGUAAUUGUGAUAUUCGCAAUUGUUAUUAUUUUAUAUGUAAAUUCUUAUUGGCGACGUAGAUGGUUUUACUUUGUUGAAAUGUGGAUAACUACAUGUUACUAUUUUGUUGUAGACAAUCUUAUUCCAACAAGAUUUUGUCAUUGAAAUUAUUUAGUAGUUUAAUUACGAUUCUUUAAGUACUAAUCAAGUUUGUAUAGGAAAUAAUUUUUUAUUAAAAUUGUAGUAGUAUUUAGCAUUAUAUAGCUUCCAACUUCCAAGCACUUCACAUUUGUCUCUACACUUACAAAACUGAGUGAUCAUGUUUUGCAGAUCUGGAUUUGGAGCAGGAUGGAUCCAAACCCAUAUCUGUCCACCAUAACUUAUAGCUUCCCUAUACUGUGCAGCAUACUUAAAUAAGAGAACCAUCUCCAAUGUUAAAAGCAUUCACUCUAUAACAUUCAUUUAGAAACUAUAUUCAGAAUAAUUUUAUAAUUAAACACAAGAAAUGAAACACCUAGAUACACUUGAUCGCCUAUUUUACUCUAAAAAAUAACGAUUAUGGUGCUAUCAUCAUCUUCUUCACUAGCAACAUUAACACCAAAUCGAUGGACCCAUACAUUUCAUCAAGAAAGGUAUAUAUCCAAUAAAGUUGAAGCCUAACAAAAAAAUCAGGAAGAUUAAUGCCUCACCACAACAAGGGGCAUAACAACAUCAAAGUAGAGAUUAAACAGUAUUCUCAAAGCUAAAACUCUCAAAUCCACCCACCAGAAUUUCAUAUCUCCUCAACAAUUUUAAGAACUAAAGAUAAUUAGGAUUUAACAUUAGUUUUUUAUAUAUUAGUUUCAUAAUUUACAAAUCAAUGAAGAUGAAGAUUAUGCGAAUAAAUUCAAAUUAUACCAUACAUUCUCUAGAUGUUACCAAAAAUUUCUAAGUCAAUCCCACAUAUUUCAUAAUUUUAAGACUAGAAAAUUCACUAGUUAGAAGUUUCAUUACCUUCAAGUGGAAGAUGAAGAACAUUAUGCAAGUGAUUCAGAUUAUAUCAUACAUACUCCAAAUGCAACUAGAAAUUAACAAGUUCAUGUGCACAUAUUUCAUAACAUUAUGAUUGAAAAGUUUCACAAAGAGAAAUUCUAAAUUCAAUCUCUUGCAUGAAGGCAGUUUGAUUGAUUUGAGUUACUUUAUGAUCAAGCUACUAAUAUAACAUUCAAGUCAGGGAGAAAGUAAAUUAAAAAUGGGAAGAAAUAACAGUAAAAAUUUGUUGCUAAACAUGAUGUGUAUUUUUUUCAAGGCAAUUUGGAAACACAAUUGUUACUACAGAUAUUCUCCUCAACUUAGAGAUAAAUACAAAUAUUAAAAUGCACAUGAUCGCACAUAUUACUUGGAGCUUAGUAAGAUUUCAUUAAAAGAAGCAAUCAAACCACUUAUCAAUUGUCGCAGUCAUUCUAUAAACUAAAAUAGCAAAUAUAAUAUAAGAAAAAGAACAUAUAGAUACUUGGCAAGAGUUCAUUAAGAAGUCACAUCACAUUCGGGUGAGGAGUUUGCUUCUGAUAUCUUGCUAGCUGGGGCUUUUUCUCGUCUUUCUAUGUAUGCCGAGGGAAACCAACCAGCUUGGCCCUUGCAUUCACCUUCCAACCAUCCAGUACGAGCCACCUUGAGAAGUUAUAACUAAAACGGUGAAUUAAACAAAAGUUGACCGUUCAAAGACCUAAGGGGAAAACUAAUUCUUUUAUGUAGAAUGAGUGAACUAGUUGUGAUCACUGGAAUAACAACAUAACUAUGGAAGCAUAACAAGAUAUAAAUUCACAUGUCUAUAAGGGUAAACUGGGUGGUUUAGAACUGAGCUAGCAACCCUACUAGAUUAUGAUUUGCAUUUCAAUGUAAAAGGGAAUAUAUGGUAGGAAGAAAGAAAACCAACCAUCAUUUGUUAACUCAUUGCUUUUCAAUCAAAAUUUUAAGAACAAAAUGCCAUGUGCUUUGAAUAUCAAAUAAGUAUAAGCAUUAUUUCUAAAUUCCACAUAUCAUAAGUUGUUAGAAGGAUAAGUUAAUAGCAUAGUAGAAAAAUCUAUGUGUCAGUAUUUAGAGGGGAAAGUACCUGGCGAACCACAACAUAAUCAUCAAUUAAAAGACUUAGCUCUCCAUUUGCUUGAGCAUCAAAUGGAUGUAUAACCUGCAAGAUAAUGGGAUAAAUAGAACUUAAAAAAAGCAUAACAAAAGCAGCAACAGUAGCAGCAGCGUUCAUUGUAACCACUAUGAUCAUGGCCAACAAAGAUAUAUUAGAAACAAAAUUCCAUUUUUACUACGACAUUAAUAUGUACUAUACGAUAUCAUGACGAUUGGGUUACUAAGAGCUAUCAAAGUCUAAUAAGUUAUGUAUAACUUUUGUAGUUAUUUAAAUUAUGGAUCAGAUUUUAAAUUUGAAAUUUUGACUGCUCUCCACAAAACAUGGCCUGUGCACAAAAAAGUCAUAGAUAAUGAGGAUUACAAGUGUCCGACAUCUUUUGAGUGAUGGAUUUAACAUGAGAGCUUAUGGUCAGUCAAUUUCCUCUGCCUAGCAAUAUAAGCUUUCUCGGCCAGAUUUAUCAUCAAAUACAUAGAUUGCCCCCAAGUCACAUCCAUAUAAACAUAAUUUUUCUAGGUAAACCAAGUAAGGAGAAUCAUAAUUCGGACAUAAUCAUAAAAAGGCCCAUCUAACUUAAGAGAAAAUCUUAAAAAGAGGGAUGCUGAGCUAUCAGUCUUGUAUCUAUAAGCAAUAUCAAGACUUUACAUCACCUGCUACAUCGUGAGUGGUUACACAACUUUUAGUGGUUUGUCUUUCUUUGGCAUGCCUAACUCAGCUUUGAUGUUGCUGAGAUAUUGAUAGUAGAGAGCAGAAGCCUUACUUUCGCUAUAAAUUAGACGUCAUUCUGAUUAAUAUGCGUUUGCAAAUCAGCUCUGUUUGAAUCAGUAUUCUGAUAGACACAUGAGGCAUUUACAUCCAUUUCCAAAGUCACAUGUUGCGGGGAGGACUCAUUUGAUUGCUCCUAUACGAUCAUCUAAUUCAAGUAGCAAGGGUUGGAAGAGAAUAAAAAGUCACAAUUAUUCUUUUGCAUAAGUGAGACGAAAAUGGUAAAUGCAAUAUUAUUAGCAGUAAAUAAGAAGAGAACGCUCCAAGGAAUAGAUAGAUGCAGACAAGCAAGUUAAAAUGCAUAGUCCCAAACCUCCGCAUACAACUUCUCUAAAAUAGCAAUAACGUGUUGAUGAUAUAUUUUCUCAGCAUCUACCUGCAAAGGCCCGAGACCGGGAAAACAACAAUAAAACCACUAGCUGAAGGAGAAAGCAAAGAAAAAAAUACACUUGACAUAAAUCUUGACAAGAAGCACAAUUUAAGACAUAACAAACCCCAAUCAUAUUAUUUUUGCUAGUCACACGCUAGUCUGUGCUAGUGAUGUAAGAAGUCACAAGGUCUCUUCAACAUUUGAACCAAUAAAAUUAUUAAGUCAUGGAUGUCACUAGCAAUGAUUUUAAUAUAAAACAUUAAAUAUUUCAGAGUUGUAACUUUAAAAUGGAUUCUUUUAUUCAAUACCAUAGAACUAAGUUUCCUUAUGAGAAGAUAGUAGUUUCGAUAAUAUUUUACAUAUAAUUUUUGCGAUACCUUCGUCUCGCACUACCAGUGAUACCCUCACUCUUNNNNNNNNNNNNNNNNNNNNNNNNNNNNNNNNNNNNNNNNNNNNNNNNNNNNNNNNNNNNNNNNNNNNNNNNNNNNNNNNNNNNNNNNNNNNNNNNNNNNUGUUGAAAUUUAUCUAAGUUCAAAAGUAAUGCAGAGUGGGUUUCUAAACUCCAUUCCACUAGCUACUUCCUUUAAGAAAAAUUCCACAUCAUUGGUUUGAAUUUUAACUGGUGGCAUAGGAUCAUAUGUCUUAAGCUUGAACUUCAUUGUGAUUUCGAAUUCCGAAGUAUUUAUAUCAAUAACUUGAGCUAUCUUCUCCACCAAUUCGGCAUAUGUUGUCGAUCGUGGUAUCAUUAUCCCUUUAGCCUUGGAACCUUUGAAUUUAUACUCGUCAUUUUGCUCAAUCCAUUCACCAUUGAAGAGAAUAAGCACACGUACCAAAACCAUAUAUGAUGAUACAAUAAAAACAAUAAUAUCAAAUUUCAUAUACAAGUAACUACACGACCUACACAACUACAUUACUUACAUGACCUACAUGACCUACAUGACUAUAUUACUUACAUGACCUACACGAAUUAUACGACUUACACGACUAUAUUACUUACACGACUUACAUGACUAACUAUAUGACAUACACAGUAUCAAAAGGAAUGCACGACGCGAAACAUUUUCGCCAUAAAUAAGUUAUAAACAACCUAUAUUGCAUAUAUUUCUAUAUAUAAGAAAAAAUGGUGAAAAUAAAACAUUAUAAUGUGAAGAAAAUUUCUAAAUUUUCCUAAAAAUAAAAAAACUUAAAACCCAACAACAUUAACAUACCUUAUUGGGUUGUUUAAUAAGUAAUGCACAUUAUUUCAGUUAAAAAAAAGUGGGUGUUAAAGAAAUGAAUACAUAAUCAUAUUUGUGUAAGAAGUUAUGAGAGAUUUUGAGAGAUUCUAGGAGAUUUUGAGAGAAUUUCGGCAGCAAGAAGAGAUUUGGGUGUUAAAGAAAUAUGAAGACAAGGAAGUUGAGUGAAUUUGAUUCAUUCAUUAAGGGCAUUUUAGACUUUACUCACAUUUGUUAGGGUAUCCAUGAAAACAAAAAAGGAAAGGGGUAUUUAAAUAAUUUUAAAACUAUUAAAGGGUAUUUAAUUAAAAACCCUAGGAGAAGAUGAUAGUGGAAGUAUGCAGUGUGGCUGCCAGGUACUUGGAUUGUAUUAUCGGGUAAGGUAAUAGUAGAGAAUUAUAAGUUUGAACAGAGCAUGUUGGACUUUUGUUGACCAAAUUCAAAAGCCCAAUGGCACGACCCAGAAGCUUUUGAAUAGAAAAACUUGCUAGAAAGCAUCAGUUUAAAUCACUACUUAAACGCUGCACCGCUUUGUACUGUUUUAGGUAUGUAGCGGUUGUGCAGUUGUAAUUCACGGCUGACGCUACGUGUUUGUUUGUACUGUUCUAUUCAGUGAUAGAGUAUUAUUAGUUAGGCCAAAACUAUGUUGCAACAGUGGUACAGUACCACUGUUGCUUUCAUAGCUGGACCCUAUUAGUUAUUUCAAAGGGAUAAAUAAGAUUGGUUACAACAAAUCUACUAUUUUUAUAAAAUUCAAGUAAUAUAGAAUAAAAUAAAAAAAUAAAUACAAAAUUGACUUUUAUUUUUUAUGGUUGACUAUAUUUUGUGUUCUCUUCGGGCACUGCUACAAUUGUUCCCCAUAUAUCAAUUACACCACAUACUAUCGACACAAGAAAUGAAAUCUAAUAUCACCUGUUUAGUUAAAAAAUCACUCAUGAAAAAAGUUUACCAUUUUGAUUUGAGGAUCCAUAUUUUGAACUGCAAGCUAAUGUUCAUCAAGAAUCACUGAUGGCCGUUGAGUAGAAAAAUUAUUUUUGGACAAAUUAUUUUUGUUGAUAGAAGAAUUUCUUUAGGGACUACUAAAUUAUUAAUAAAAAUGUCGAACACACCCACAUAUCAUCGACACAAUUGAUUUUGAGGAUCCAUGCUUUGAAUUGCCGCCUAAUGUUCAUCAAGAAUAGAGUAUGGCUUGUGAGUAGAAAAUUUUCUUAUUUUGGCCCAAAAUAAAAAGAAAUUAAAUUGGAUGAGAAUCUGCCACUUUCUCAUGAAGAAAGGCAUACGAAGCAUACCAUGAUACCAUACAAUAUAAGGAGCCGCCGUUCUUUGGUUUUUCAAACUUUGAAGGGGCCAAUAUUGCCAAAUUCCCCCUUGAAAAUUCUGACUACGACAUUAUUCAUCGCUUGAUGCAAUCAAAGUAGUGACAAAGUUAGGAAAAAUAUGAGCCCUAAGUAAUUGCUAGGCAGGGUUCCUGAGAGCAAAAUUGUCCUAAGCAUUAUAUGCAUACAUGGUGCGGUACAUAGAGCACGUUGAAUUCCCCACUAUAACACAAAUCCAGAAAGAGAAGUAAUAACUCAACUGAUAUAAAGACAAAAAGAAGAUAAAAUGAUAUAGAAAAAAGAAUUUCAAAGAGACAGCAACAUACGAUAGGCUGAAGCCACUUGAUCUACUCAUUGAUUGCAGCCUUAAACUUGCAAAUAGUUACUGUAUGCUAGUGCUCUAAGAAGUGAAAAUGAUGCAAGCCCUGAUUCCCUUUUGACUUCCAUUUACUGUCAAACAUUCUAGUAAUACAAAAAAUUGUUUAGAUAUCUUGCUAUAAAUAUAGUUGUUUGACUGUCAUAAUAAAGUCACAAAUAACCAUUCAUAUUGAUCUACUGUCACACAGCAUGCUUUAUGCAUACAACAGCUGUAUGUAUACCAACUCCUAACCUUAUCAAUGCAUUUGGCAAAAACUUAAGAAGAAAACUAUUUCUCCAUCUCUUUUUUGAAAUUUCACAAUAACCAGCACAAUGUGAAAGCUAUGUUCUAACCUUAUGAUAAAUGCUCCAGACUCCAAAAGGAUUUUAUAUAUGAGUUUUUGUUGCAGCAGAUAUAUUGACUUAUCAAGUAUGAAUCAUUUUCUGGAUGAACUAUCUUUAGAUAAAAGAAUAUUAGAACCACUGUAGAAUAUCUUUACGCUGCUGGUUCUAACAAGAAUCUGCUUGUGGCAACAAUUGCUAGAUCCACAAUUCCCCAACUUGAAAUACAUAGUUGCACACCAUGAGAUAGUGCUACGAUCUACUGAGAUCUAACUUAUAUGGUACUUUAAGCUACUAAUGUUUGCAUAUUUCUACAUGUUAAAUUAACACUAUCAUCUAUAAUCACUCCAAAACAACAAAUGAUAAGCAGCUUUUGGCCACUUAUUACUAGCAUCCACAAUUAUAAUAAGAGAUCAUGGGUUUACUUGUUGCACCUACUUAAUUAUCUGCAGUUGACAUCCUGACGCAAGGUUUAAAUAGUGACUGCUUAGAACCCUUGUAGUUGGAUCUUGACCUCUCCCAUUGUAGCCAAGAUUGGUUACUCUGGUAAUGAAUCAACACUCUCCUGCUCAGGGCCAUGAAGAUCUGAAAGCUCAGCACUAGUGGAGAACUUCAUCAAUCUCUUCUUCUCAGCAUACUUGAGACAAGGCUGCAUUACGAGACCAAUCACCACAGCACCAACGCUUAAAGCUACAACUUUUAAAGAAGAAAGAGCCAACACAACACAACACAAAUCAAUAUGGUUGGAGGAAUACACAUGAUAAUGGCUCUAACAGUGCCAGUGGGUAUCUUGUAGGGACGAGAUGCAGCAGGAUAUUGUAUCCUUAACCAUACAAAUGCUAUGAACUCCAUAAUCAUUCCAAAACAGUACAGGAAGUUCUCUGCAGCUACAAUAUCUCGAAAGCUCAGCCAUGAUAGCAAAACCACACCAGAUGCUGAGAAUAUGAUUCCAAUCAAAGGAGUCCCAUAACAAGACCUCUUAGCAAAAAACUCAGGUAGCAUUCCACGCUCAGCCAUCCCCAAAAGUUGGAAAGAGUCGCUGCUCAUCUCAGCCACAAACAUGCCCAUAUUGGACAUUGCUGCAACCCCCUGGAUGCACCAACUCAACCAAACUCCUCCAAGCACUUUAGCGAUACCUGAAAAGUAACCAUCGGUCCACAAGUCGCGAUCUAAUGGAAUAGCUCCAGUUCCAACUAGAAAGGGAAAGAAAUAUCCAAAAACGACCAAGAUCAAAGCAUAAAACAAAGCCUUUGGAAGAGUCUUCUUUGGGUUAUCCACCUCUCCAGCUAGUGUACUUAUUGAGUCCCAGUAGUUGAGAUUCCAAAACAGGGUGUUCAAAUACAAAUUCCAAUCCACUUCACCUAAAUUUAAUACAAGCCAUCUUGAAGGCUCUAACUUGGGAAGGGACACAAGUCCCAUAACCACAAAAGGAAGGAGUGAGAAAAUCCCUAAAAGAACAGCAGCCCAUCCCACAAUGGUUAGACCCCUAUAGUUCAUGAAAGUGAGAACAAAAGUCAAAGCUAACGCCGCAAAGGCUCUAGGUAACCCAUCGCCCAAAGCAGGGAUACCAGACUUCAAGUAAUCAAGAAACAGAACUGGGUAUAAAGCAUUAUCAGUAACCCCACUUAGCCAUUUCAUCCAAACUUGCUCAAAACCCCAAUAUGGGCCUAAGGCAGAUGAAACCCAAACCACAUAACCACAAUUUUCAGGAAACACGGUACCCAUCUCGGCAGUAAUUAAAGCUUCAGGGACACUCCAUAUAAUCGGAAACACCAAGAAACCAAGAAGUGCUAAAAGAGGACCAGCUGUCUUUACACUAUCCUCAACACCAAACGGCCCCCCAGAAACCUCAUAGAAUAUAAGGAAAAUAAGUGGCAAGAUUGAUACUUUUUUAGUGCCAUGGACUCUAGGAGAAGAUGGUUGGUCAUUGAUAUUAAAAUAUUCAACAGCAUCAGACUGCCCCAUUUCUACUGAAACUUGCCUAUUUACAGUGCUCCUCAAUUUCUGCAUCAAGUUUAAGCAUAACUAUCAAAAGGGUAUCCGCAUCUAAAUUAUGAAACAAAAUGAGCAUUUACUUAUUAAAAAAAAAAUCAAAAAACAGAAAUGGAUUUCACAGAACACAUGAACUUAAGUUCAACAUUAAACAGGCGCUUAAGAAAACAAAAGGGUCUGUUCGUAAAGCCAUCAGAUUGCAAGAUUGAACAACAUUAACGGAAUCAAUAGAAUGGAUGUAAAGAGAACUGAAAAGAAAAUAAAAUAAAAGAUGAAGAGAGAUAAAACGAACCAUCAAAUAAGUGCAUGCAGAGCAGAGAGGCAGAUACUAGUGAAGCUCCGUCAUGUUAGAGAGAGCCUAAAUCAAUCAGAGCUCACUGAGUUUCUUUUAAACCGACCGGCAAAUUUGGAGUAGCACAACAUAAUAUUUUUGCUUUUAUUUUUGGAACACUUUUGAAUGGAAUUUUUUGUUUUAAAAAAUGGCAAAGGAGAUUAGUAUUUCUAUCGUUAAAAUAAUAAUUUUCCUAACAUUAUUUUUUAUAUUUUUUAAUUUAUUUUUAUAAUAAUUUUUUAUUUAAAUAUUAAUAAAAAAUAAUUAAAUUAACAAUUUAAUCCUAAAAUAAAUAAACACGGUUUUGGGUUUUUUCUUUUGUUCGUUUAAUAUCAUCUGGUUCCCUGAUUUGUGACUAAUUAUCAACGGAAUCCCGUUAGUUUCUAAAUUGAAAUAAUAGAAGGUCAUGAGAUUAUUUACUCCAUUUAGCACUGCAGACUUAGAGUAUAUUGAAAAAGCUUUGUCAAAUAGUAGUAAUAGGGGCAUAAGAAAUAAAUUAUAGCUAUCACAAAUUCGUUAGGAGAAUUUCAAAUUUUUCCAUCAAUAAUGGCUAUGAAGCAAAAUUACUUUAGGUUAUAUUGCAACACUAAUACUUCAAAUCCUGACAAUAAAUUUGAAGAACUUGUUAAAAAGAAAAUGGUAAUGUUAUCAUUUUGAAAGACAAAAAAAAAAAGAGUGAAAGUGGCGUUACCUCAUGGUCAUUAGUGACUUGUUGCAAUGAUAGCUCAAAAUUAAAAAUUUGUGAAGAAUUAGUAGACAACGACGAUAUUAUAUUUAUACAGUCACCAACGUAUUGAUUUUUGUUUAAUGUUUGAUUGAUAGAAACUUUUGUCGUCGUCGCCGUUGUUGAAUUCGUGCUUAGAAUACCACAAGAGAAGAAAAAGGGAUGAAAGGGAAGAGAAGAAGAGAGAAGUGGUGGAUAGCAAAUAUGAUAUGCUAGCUACACACAGGCCUUAGAGAGUUUUUUUUUUUAAUAUUUAUUGUAUUUUUGUUUUUGUUAUUGGUUUGUCAUAUGCUUCCAAGGCAACAAUGCAUUACAUCAUAAAUUGCACCUUUUAGGGGAGGUGGUAAAAAACAUGAGAGCAAUGCAUUCUAGCGCAUACAUGCAGAAAGAGUUUCCAAAUUUUCAAAAGUUUCUUUAUUUCUUCCACCUUUUUUUGCUUAAAAUAAAUUUUAAUUGUAUUUUGCAUUAACUUAGAGAAAAAAAAAUCCAAUUCUAUGCAUAAACGCAUACAUUGAUUAGAAAAUGAGUUUUAUGGACACAAAGGGACAAUAUAAGAGAUUCUUUUUGUUUAUUAGAAGUAACAUAACUAGUUAGUGUAACAUGUAAUUAUAAGCUACCAAUAAUUUGCACUGAUGAUAAUUAACGGUACAGAUUUUGAGCUAUGAAUGUCUUGUGGCUAGUUUAAUUGGAUUUUUGAGUUUUCAGCAGAUCUAUUUUAAUGAUUAUUAAAUUAUUUUCACUUCUUAUGCCUUAAUAAAAAAAAUUCAAUAUUUUUUGCUGUAUUCUAUAUUUUAAAACUUAAUUUUUAGUUCUUUAUAUUGCAAACCAAACUGAGUCAAAUAGAGUAUGCUCUUCAAAUAAUUUUUCCAUUGCCUUCAAGAAGAAUUCAUUUUAUUUUUAUAUAUUAAUUCAACACUUGUAAACCGGGCCGUCAGAUUGCACAUAAAGCAAAUGAUCAAACCGUUACAAGACCGGCCCAGGCCCACUGACUCUAUUUUCUUUAAUUUGACCAUUAAAAAGCUUUUGGCCACCCCCACCAAAUAAAUAAGCUCUUGUUCUCUUUUGUAGGGGUGGGCAAAAAAACCGUAGUCUUAAAAAAACCGAACCGAACCGACGGUUUUUUCUAAUUCGGUUUGGUUUUUAUUUUUUUAAAAAACCGAAAUAUACCAUUUGUAAAAAAAAACCGAAAUGUCGGUUUGGUAUUCGGUUCACUUAGCUGAACCGAAAAACUGAACCGAAAAACCGAAUUAUUUUUUGAUUUUAUUCAAAUCAAACAUGUGUUAAUUUUUAACUGAUUGUGCAAGAUAACUAACAUAAACUUGCAUACACACAAUCAUGAGUAUAUAUAUGUAAGUGUUACAAUUUCGUAAAUCUUUAUUUCCCCCAAAAUAAACCCUAAAGCUAAAAUCAAAGAUUCAAAAUCGAAACCAAAUCCAAAUCACCCACCCCAAUCCACUGCAAUCACAGCCGACGCUGCUCACCGGCGAUAGUGUCACCGUGCAACACGCUGCUCACCGCGAAAGCUGCAGCUUCUUUUCACCGUGGGACAGCUUCAACUCACAGGCCUGAGGCCACCACGCGACAGCUUUGCUCUGCUCACCUGAUUGGAGUGGAAAUUCGAUGGUUUUGAAUGGUUUAUAUAUGCAUGUGAGGUGUUCGGCGCAUAUAAUCAACUUAAUUGUGCAAGAUGGGUUGUCACAAGUGAGUCAAUCAAUAGCUAGUAUUCGAAAUGCGGUGAAAUAUGUUAGAUCAUCUCCGGCAAGAUUACAAAAGUUCAAAACAUGUGUUGAUAGGGAGAAAAUCUCACGUGGAGGGCUUAUGGUGUUAGACGUGCCGACUCGGUGGAAUUCAACAUAUUUGAUGUUAGAAAAAGCGGUAGCAUUUGAGAGGCUAAAGGAAGAUGAUGGCCAUUAUACAAACUGGUUUGAUGAGGAUGAGAGUGAAUAAAGGAGGGUGGGGCCACCGAUUGAUAAGGAUUGGGAAAAUGCAAAGAGGUUAGUCAAGUGUCUUUCGAUUUUUUAUCAUGUGACUUUAAAAUUCAGCAGCUCUUUAACAGUCACUUCCAAUAAUUUCUUGAAUGAAAUGUGGAAAGUUUAUAUUCAUUUGAAGUCACUGGUUGAUUUUGUUAACAUAUAUGUUUUCAUAAUGUUAAUUUUGAUGAUAACAAACAAGAUUAAGAAUGAUUAAUCUUUUAAGAUCAAAUUAUUUUUUAUAUAUUUUAAAUAAAUCAUUAUUUUCACAUUAUAAAUGUUUUAUAUUUAAUGGAAAAAUGAUUUUAUGAAAAAUGAUUGUUUAAAUACAUGAAAUGUUUGUCAUCAUCAAAAAGGGGGAGAUUGUUAACAUAUAUGUUUUCAUAAUGUUGAUUUUGAUGAUAACAAACAAGAUUAAGAAUGAUUAAUCUUUUAAAAUCAAAUUAUUUUUUAUACAUCUUAAAUAAAUCAUUAUUUUCACAUUUUAAAGGUUUUAUAUUUAAUGGAAAAAUAUUUUAUGAAAUUGAUUGUUUUUAUUCUUUUUAAAUAAAUCAUUAUUUUCACAUUAUAAAUGUUUCAUACUUAAUGGAAAAAUGAUUUUAUGAAAUUGGUUGUUUUUCAAAGUUUAUGGUUUAAUUGAAAGAAUUUUGAAAACUUUGAUAUAAACAAGUAUUGCUUGAAAUUUUGGUAAAGGACUUAUUUGAAAAGUGUCAUAGCAUCUUUGGGCGAAAUCAUAAUUUCAGAAAGUUUUGGGAUUAACGAAGAAUUAUUUAGAAAUUCUGAAAUUGGACUUAUUUGCAAAGUUUAAUAACGUUUUGGGCCAUACUACAGUUUUAUAAAGUUUUGGGGUCAAACUAUAAAUUUUGGGAAAUGUUUUACUGUAGCAGUUACUGUAGCAAGCGGCUUACCGGAUACUAAUAAACGGCAAGUCGGAUACGGGGUAGUAAGCACCAGAACGAAAGCGGCUAACCGGAUGUCCAUAAACGGCAAGCCGGUUACGACAAAAAAUGUGCAUAACGGCUAGUAACGGCUAGUUUUUGAGUUCAAACUAUAUAAACUCAAAACCAAUUCAUUUUUGGUAACUCAAGCAAGCAUAAACAAGUGCACACAACUUAUAUUGAGCUUCAAAUUCGAAAAUCUUCAUAGAUUAAAUCUUCAUUGGGCUAUCAUUUGUAAAUCCACUCUUAAAGAGAGUUUUUGUUGUAAUUUUCAUUUCUCAUCAAAUUGUGAGAGUACAAGUGUGAGAAACACUUGGAGUGAAGAGAUUGGAGAUAUAAUCUCUUGUUGUAAAGGUUCAUUGACACCUUGAAGUCAAUUGUAAUCGUUUGAAGCCUUGGAAAGGCUUGGAUAGUGAAAUCCUCAAGCCCGGUGUGCUUGGAGGCGUGGACGUAGGCGGGGAUUGCCAAACCACGUAAAAAUCCUUGAGUUUGCUUUCUCUUCCCUUACUCUUUAAUUAUUGUGCUUUGAUUGAAUUUAUUGUUUUCGAAUUUAUUAAGGCAUUAGAUUGCUUGUUGUGUGGAUUUGUUAGGAUAAUUUUUAAAAUUCCAAUUCACCCCCCCCUCUUGGGUUGCACACUCAUAUUUCAGAUUUUAAUGAUUUUUUGUUAAAUCAAAUGGGUUACAAGAUGGAGGAAAAAUUUGUCAAGUAUUGGGGUCAUUUUUUUGAAAAGGUUAACAUGUUGUUGAUUGUGGCAAAUGUGCUUGAUCCUCGCUGCAAACUUGACUUUGUUAUAUGGUGUUUUAGUAGCUUGUAUGAUAUUAGAAAGGUUGAUGAAUUGAGAGCUAAUAUUAAAGAGUUGUUGUUGAAGCUUCUUGAAAGCUAUGGUGGUGAGAGUAAUCCAAAUAGAGGUGAGAGAUGUACGGCUGUUCAUGAUGGUGCUAGUAGUAGUAUUGAGUUAUUUGAUCCUUUUACACAAUUUAAAAAGAUGAAAGAAAGUUCAAAUGAUGACAUUAGUGGAAAAAAUGAUGUUGAAAAGUACUUGUCAGAGACUUGUGAGAGUGCUAGUAAUCCCCAGUUUGAUAUUUUGACUUGGUGGAAAUUGAAUGGGCCUCGGUAUCUGAUUUUAUCUCAAAUUGCCAAAGAUGUUUUGGCAAUUCCGGUGUCUACUGUGGCUUCUGAAUCAGCAUUUAGUACAGGAGGGCGCAUUCUUGAUCCUUUUAGGAGUUCUUUAACUCAUAAAACAGUCGAGUCAUUAAUAUGCACUCAAAAUUGGCUUCGUUCAACUCUAUUAGGAGAGCGUACAAUACAACCAAGUCAGGAAGAAGCUGAAUUCUAUGAAUUAGUUGAAACAUGUAAUAUUGUAAUUUAUUAUGUUAUUUUUUUCUAUUUCACUUAUAACAUUUUGAAUAUUAGAAUUAAUUAUUUUAAUAUAAUUGUUUUAAUUUCUUGAAGAAUUUUUUAGGCCAAUGCAAUCUCAAGAACAACAGCAAGUAGCUGAGGAGUAAAUGACAAUUGAUUGAUGUUGCUUACCAGUAAGUUUUCUUUAUUUUUUUUAAACUAGCAUCUUAUUUAUAUAGAUUGUUUAUUUAAUUAUUUAUUGUUUAAAUUUUUUUUAUAGAUCCAAAUAUUGAGUUGGAAAAUGCCUAAAGUUGAUGUUGAUAUUGAUGAAGAUGGGAGAAUAUUGUUGGCAUUUGUUUGCAAUUUUUUUUUUAUUUUGUGUUGUAAGUUGUAAUUGUUGUUAUUUUUAUUUCUCUUUAUAACAUUAUGAUUAUGUUUAUAUAGAUGGAGUAUUGGAGUUUGGUUAUGUAUUUUGAAAUUUUAAUAUUUCAUAUUUUGGGAGUAUCUUAUUAAUAGUUAGUAAGAUAUUAGUGAUAAAAUGUGUUUUGAAUACUUUGUAUUUAUUGUUAAUAUUUGUAAUAAAAUUAGAAUAAAUUAAUUGUUAAAAAAAUUAUUACAUUCAUGAGGCCCAAUGGGCUAAAAAUUCAAAAUAGGCCCAAUAGGCCCAGAAUCGAAAAAACCGAACCGAACCGAACCGAUCCGAAAAGAACCGUUUGAGUUCGGUUCUUAUUGAGUUCGGUUCUUAUUCAGUUCUUUUGAUAAAAUAACUGAUUUAAAUCGGUUCUACUUAAUUUCGAUCCGAACCGAACCGUGCCCACCCUUACUCUUUUGUUCCCUCUCAAAGGAAAAUAUCUAAUCACCGGAUAAUGAUUCCGGUGACACAAAAGAUCGAAACACCCCCUAAAUUCCCUAAAUUUAUGAUAAUACCCCACCAUGGAUGAUUCCGUUGAAAUGCCGCCUUACGAUGAAAGGCCUAAAAAGGGUUUUAACUUCACCUCCAUGCGCUUGAUCUUAACCCUCGUUUUCCCAAUUUUAACUUGCUUUUUGUUGGCAUUUUUUAUUGGAAUCGUAGUUGUUUUAUUCGGCGAAUCAUCAGUUUCCAGUUCCAUUUUUGUCCCUUCCCAGUGCAAGAUAGUGUCCAACAGUAAGCUUUUUUUAACAUUUUCAAUUUUUUUUCCAUUUAUGAAGUCCAAAAAAUUUAUUAAUUUUGAUUUUUUUGAAUGAUUUUUCAGGUGUUGAUAUAAGGUCAUCAAAAGUUCGUAAACUUGGGGUGUUCAAUUAUAAGGCGAAGCGCGUGUUUUAUCCAUUUGAAGCAAGUAAAUUUCGCUGUCGGUAUGAUUACUAUUGGGCUUCUAUCUUCAAGGUAUUCAUACAUUUUCCCCUGUACUAUAAGCUUCUUAGUGGCGGUCUUGUGUGCGGAAGUGAACGGUGUGGCUGACAGCUUCUUGAAAAUUAUAAGUUUGAACAGAGCAUGUUAGAGCACCACCAAAAGGCUCUUUAAAUAAGAUUUUAUUAUUUAUUUGAAGAGCCACAUCAAUAUUGAAAACUUCAAAAGACACUUCAAUUAAAAUUCUUCAAAUAAGAAUUGAUUCUCUCUCUUCAAAUUUGGAGAGUUAAUUUAUUCCUCUUCAAUUUAUAUUUUAUUACUUUUCAUUGAAGAAAGAGAGAAGUGCUUUAAUUGCUAUUGACUUUUCCUUUAAAAAACUAAUUAUAUGAUUAAAACAAUAUUAACUUAUUUAUAUUUGAAGAGUCUUUUGGAGAAUAUCAUAUUUUUUCACCCUUCUAUUUGCCACAUAGGUAAACAAAUAGAUAUUUAAAGAGUAAAAUUUAUAGAGGCUUUUAGAGAUGCUCUUAGACUUUUGUUGACCAAAUUCGAAAGCCAAAUGGCACAGCUCAGAAGCUUUUGAAUUGAAUAACUUACUAGGAAGCUCCAAUUUUUUGUUGGCUACAGUAAAAGGAUGUUGUUUUAUUCUUCUUAUACUUUACGCUUGCAUCAGCUUAAAUCACUUCUUAAACGCUUUGCUUUAACUCCACUGCUUCGCUGGGGCGGAUUUACCUUGGAACAAGUGGGGACUUAAGUCCCCACUGAAAAAAAAAAAUUGUUUUAAUAAUUAAUUUGAUUUGCCAAAACUUCUCAAUAAAUUUUUCUUAAGCCCCCCAUAAUUUCUUUCAACAAACAAUUGAUCUAAAUGAGUUAUUUUCUGUCAGUUGUAUCCAAAUGAGUUCUCUGCAAUUGAUAUCAUGGCACUUAAAAUUCAACUUGAUACAUAUAUUUUGGAUAUGCGCACUAGUGCGAGACUAAAAGACAUAAGGUAUAUCCAUUGGUUUACUUGUUAAUAAUAUUAGCAUUGACUUUACCUGUUGCCACUGCUAGUGUAGAGAGAGUAUUUUCAGCCAUGAACAUUUUGAAGAAUUGAUUAUAAAGCUGUGAGUAAUGGAUGAAUGAUAGUUUAAUUAUUUACAUAGAAAAAUACUUAUUUAAUAAUAUUGAUAAUGAACUUGUAAUGCAACAUUAUUAAUGUAUGAAAACUUGAAAGGACAAUUGUAAACAUAUAUUGAAGUAUGAUAAAUCUUUCAAAUUUAUAUAUUUAUUACUUUUUAAAUUUUUUUAUAUUGCCGUUGAAUGAGCCCCCAGUCAAUCAAUAUGUUGUCUUCGCCCUACUUCGUACUCUUCUAUAUAUGUAUCGGGUAUGCAGUUUUAGUUAACAGCUGAGACUACGUGUUUGUUUGACGUGGUAGUUACGUUACGAGUCUGUUAAACAUUCAAUGAUUAAAGUAUUAUCAGUUAUUUCAAAGGGACAAAUAAGAUUAGCUACAACACACCCACUAGUUUUAUAAAAUUCGAAUGAGAUGGAAUAAAAUAAAAAAAUAAAUAAGUAAAUUGACUUUUAGUUUUAGUGGUUGAAUAUAUUUUGCAUUCUCUUAGGGCACUGCUGUAAUUAUUCCUUAAACGUCAGUCAUACCCACAUAUAAUAGACACAAGAAAUGAAAUCUAAAAUCACCUGUUUAGUUAAAGAAUCAUCAUGAAAAAAUUUUGCCAUUUUGAUUUGAGGAUCCACAUUUUGAACAACCAACUUAUGUUCAUCAAAAACGGAUCAUGGCCUGUGAGUAGAAAAAUUAUUUUUGGACAAAUUAUUUUUUUUAAUAGAAUAAUUUCUCAAGGGACUAUUAAAAUUACUAAUAAAAAUGUCAGACACACCCACGUACCAUCGACACAAUUGACUAUGAGGAUCCAUGUUUUGAACUGCCACAUAAUGUUCAUCAAGAAUAGAAUAUGGCUCGUGAAAAGAAAAUUUUCUGAUUUUGGCCUGGAACAAAAAAAAAUUAAAUUGAAGGAGAAUCUGCUACUUUCUCAUUAAGAAAGGCAGACAGGGUAUACUAUGGUACCAUACAAUAUAAAAAGUCUCCGUUCUCUGGCUUUUCAAACUCUGAAGGGGGCAAUAUUCCCCAAUUCCCCCUUGAAAAUUCUGAUUACGACAUUAUUCAUCACUUGAUACAUAAGUACAAGUAGUGACAAAAUUAGGAAAAAUAUGACUCAUAAGUAAUUACUAGGCAGGGCUCUUGAGAGCAACAUUGUACUAGGCUUUAUAUGCAAACAUGGUGUGGUACAUAGAGCACGUUGAAUUCCACACUAUAACACAAACCCAGAAAGACAAGUAAUAUCUCAACUGAUAUAAAGACAAAAAGAAGAUAAAAUGAUACAGAACAAAGAAUUUCUAAGAGAUAGCAACAUACAAUAGACUGAAGCCAGUUGAUCUGCUCAUUGAUUGCAGCCUUAAACUUGCAAAUGUUUACUGUAGCCUGGUGCUCUAAGAAGUGAAAAUGAUGCAAACCUUGAUUCCCUGUUUACUUCCAUUUACCAUCAAACAUUCUAUUCAUAAGAAAAAAAAUGUUUAGAUAUCUUGCCGUAAAUAUAGCCAUUUGAUUGUCUUAAUAAAGCCACACACAACCAUUCAUAUUGAUCCACAUUGCCACAUAGCCUGAUUUAAGCAUACAACACCUGAAUGUAUACUGACUCCUAACCUUAUCAAUACAUUGGCGACAACUUAAGAAGAAAACUAUUUCUCCAUCUCUUUUUUGAAAUUUCACAAUAAAAUAGCACAAUGUAAGAGCUGCAAUGAAAAUGGACCAUCUGGAACUAUGGCGGAAGCUUCAACUAGUGUAGUGAUUUGACCUUCUUAUUAACCUAGCGAGAUCAAACACUGCCCUUGAUCUUGAACAGAUCAAUACGAUACGCACAACUUAUGAUUGAAUCCAGAAACAAUCAAAUCUUUAGCAAGAAUAAUUAAUCAGAAUCAAGAAACAAGUUUAAUGAAUAUAAACCUAUAAUUGGAACAAACACAGCAAAAGAACCCAAGAAUGACACAACCAGCACCAAGGGAGAAGCUUUCCAGUGAGAUUAUAUUGAUGAUCAAAGAAGAAUCUUUUUACAAAGCUAACAAAAGAGAUUUCAGAGAAUAAGCUAUGACCCUCUCUCUUCUCAAUCUCUGUCUAGUUUGUUAACAGUGAUGACCCCAAUCUCCUUCGUUAGCCAGCUUCAUAACUGCGUCAGUGACAAACUAGCAAACCCAGAUUGAGCAGACUAACGACACGUGCAUAACGGCUUUAACGAACUUGGUUAAAGAACUGCUCACAUGUUCGUCACGCGUGUUGCUUAAAUGAUAGCCAAAACGACUUCAACCAGAUGCCGUUUUGAAGCUUAUGAAUUAUAAGUGAAAACACGUGCUUGUCUCGUGACAUUUAAAUGCAACAACAAGCCCAAAACACUGCCGGUCCACUAUGUUGAGUUUGCCAUCUCUAAGCUUCACAACUAGCAGCGGACAAGAUGAUAAUUUAAUUGACUUGGAGAGCUUUUAUAUCACUUUUACAACAUUCUAUAUAAUUGUGAUAUUGGGAAUCGUCGGUGUUGUAUAUGUGAACCCUCGUUGGCGACACUGGUGGUUUUAUCUUUAUUGAAAUAUGGAUGACUUUUCGUUACUAUUUUGUUGUACAUAACCUUAUUCUCAGGAGAUUUAAUCAUUGAAAUUAACAUGUUAGUUUCAUUAGAAGGCUGAGUGGUUAGGGCUGCUACCUUCCAACUUGGAGGGCAAUAGUUUGAACCCACAAGCGCAAUGUGGGGGUAUUUCAUUCUUUAAUUACAUUGUAUAAUUGAAUAAAGAUAAUAUUCUCUCUUACCCAAGUGUGAGUGGAGUAGACAUCCUUCGAAUAUUAGCGAGGGUUAAAACUUGGGCAGAGCUCAAUAAGUAUUGAUGUAAGUUGGUCCUAAUAAUAGUCUGAUUUGUAAAUAUCAGUUAUAGUCUCAUGUUUCCUUCCUUAAUUAUAUUGCAUAAUUAAGUAAAUGUACUCUUUUCUCUUACCCAAGUGUGAGUGGAGUAAACAUCUCUCGAAUAUUAGUGAGAGUUAAAAUCUGGGCAGAGCUCCAUAAGUAUUGAUGUAAUUUGAUCCCAAUAAUAGUAUGAUUUGUAAAUACCAGUUAUAGUAUCAUGUAAUAUGAGUUGUAAUUUGAGUAAUAAUUUCAUGUAAUUACAAAAAAAAAUGUUACUUUCAUUACUUUUUUCUUCGUUAAAAUUCUCAAGUAUCAAUUAUGUUUGCUUAAGAAAUAAAAUUUCAUUAUGAAAAUUGUAGCAGUAUUUCCGAGCACCUCACAUUUUCAAUGAUUUUUCAUAAAUCAAUUAAUCUGCCAUACCAAUAUCAGGUUUAGUUUUUCAGACUAAAUGAUCAAGAAAGCAAACAUACAAAUUCACAUUUUAGAGGGGUAAACUAGCUUUUAGAUUUUAGAACUAGGCUAGCUACCUCACCAAAUUCCAAUCUGUACAGUGAACUACAAGAUUAAGAAAAUAAUGUAUUUAUAGUUUAAUUGAAUCAUGAGAAAACAAUGUAGUCAUAGCUCAAUCGGACAUGAUCACGGAGAGGCAUAUUCUUUUCAAGUUAAUUUGAUCCAUUUAUAAGAAAUGAAGUGGAUUGAAGUUAAAAGUUCAAAUAACAAAUCCUUGUUCUUGAGUUUUACGACGUCGUUACUCCUUCAAGAGGCUGAUUAUGCGAGUGAAUGAGGAAACAGAAUGCAUUAUCCAAUUUCACUCAUAUAGAAAAUUAAUUUUUUAUAUAUACUAAUCAACACUAGAUUGAUUAUGUUUUGUAUGUUUAUAUGCUAAUCAACAAUAAAUUAUAGUAAAUGAAGAAAUGCUUCAAAAUUUUUUAAUUUAAUUUAGAAAAUCAAUUAUUAACAUUAAUAUUCCUAAUAAAAAUUAUUUUCCAUCGGUAUUCAAAAUUUUCACUUAUAGAAAAUGCGUUUUACGUGAAUACAAGUUAUUGUGUAAAUUUGAAUGAUAGCGAAAAAUAUUUUUUUUAAUAAUUGUAAAAAUAAUUAACCAUAACAAAUCGCUUGCGUAAAUAAUAAUCAUUAUUUAAAAGGUAGAAAGAUGGUUAGUGCACAAUCAAAUUUUAAGCCCCUACCUCCUCGGCCCAAUAUUCAAACUUAGAUGAUCAGCCAAAUAAAAUUAUUUGAAAAUCAUUCAAUCAGGUUCUCGGGGCAAAAAUACAAGAUCCUUAUUUGCAUGAUAUAUAUGAAUUAAUGUAAUUUAUUUGAAUUAUCCAAAUUCAUUAGAGAUAAAACUAUAAAAUAUACGAAAAAAGUUAGAAGGAAGGGUGUGUUGGGAUAUUUUACAAACUAUAGGAAUCUGGUGAGAUUUUGAGCCAAACUGUAGGGAGUUGAAGGCAUUUGCCCAAUAUGUUUAGCCGUACACUAACCGUUAUUUGAUCUUGUUGUUGGUCCCGGAUGAGCUAUAGUCUUAUUUUAAUUUUAUUUAAACUCACCAUAAGAUUCGCAGAGCUCCUAACUAACUUAAAUGACUCUGCAGAGCAUGUCAACACAUAGCAUGUUUAACCGUUUUAUUUGUAGAAGAAUUUAUGAUUUCCCAUUAGCAUUAUUAUUGAAGUGGGGCGGGUCAAAUCUCAAUUGCUUGAAAAUUUUAUUUAUUAUUAUUAAUUUUGAAGUGGGGUGGGUAACGGUUCGUUCAAUUCGAGGGAAUCAAAUAUAUCAUCCAAGGUAGAAUUGUGGAAAAUUAAAGCAAAAUAAGAAAUAUGGACAGAAAAGAAGAAAGUUAAUGCAUGAAAGACAUUUACAGUUGAAAUUGAUAAUCAUGUUUCUAUUUUGUUAACUAAUCAAAUGGAAAACUGAACUGUAAACAAACAUUAAAACGUGUGGACCAAGCUAGCUGCCCUACAAGUCUACAAUAAUAAUUGAGUACUUUGAUUCAUCCUUCUAUGAAUUUCUACCCAUAUUGACUCCUCCGAAAUUUCCACAAAAUAAAAAAAAAAAAAAAACUGAAUUUCCACAAAAUGCAAAACCCGUAGAACUUAAUUUUUGGUCAUGUGAACUAAGAUGUAAAUUAAAGAAAAAGUAUAAAAUUAAAAAAGAUAAAAUUUCUAAAAUGUGUGGAAGGUGAUUCAUAAUUCACUGAAAUUACUUGCCCCAGAUAUAUAGGUAAACCUAUCUAAUUUCAUUAAAAAUAGUUGGAAAAAAUUAACUAAUAGAAAGCUACGGAAAUUAACCCCCCACAAAAAUAACUUUUUAUAGAAGAAUUUAUGUUUUUUAAAAUAUGUUAUCAAAGUGUAUUUGAUCAAAUCUCAAUUGCUUAGUAUGCUUAGGAUUUUGUGAACAUCACUAAAAAGCGAAAGCUAUGAAUGAUAGGGGUGAUGCUUGCAAUAUGAAUAAAUAAUGGACUGAUUCAAUUGAUGAUUACAUUUAUAUAUUAUUGAUUAUUUAUGAAUUUUCAGACUUGUUACGAUGUAUAACUAUGUGAUUUUGAAACUUGAAACCGUGGCAAACAUUGAAAGGAAUUAUAACUUGAAAUCAUGACUCACGGGGUAUGUCAUGAUUCACGUGCACAAAAAAAGGUAGAAUUGUGGAAAUUUAUAACCCAACGACAAAUACGGAAAGAAAGGAAGAAAAUUAAAAGACUUCGGGCCUAGCCUGCGUGUAUUAAUUAUUAGAUUAUUUUUUUUUUAUAAGGGUAAUCAUCAAUUUACUCCAUAACAAUCUUUAAUUCAUUUCUUAAAACUAUCAAAACUUUAAUUUAUCUUUUAAACAUCGUUACCUCUUCAUUGGUUUUAAUAGUUCAAAGGGUAAAAUUAUGUUUGCAUAUUUUCUUGACCGCCAACUAAAUGAUAAAACUCAAAAUUCAAUCUUGUUAUCUUGUUUCAAUCCUCUAUCAAUCAAAUAAGAUUUCUAAAAUAUGUGGAAGAUAUUGCAUGAUUUCCUCAACCUACCUGGCCCGAACAUCAAGGUAAAUAUCUCUAAAAUAGUUUAUUAAAUCUCAGUUGCUAAGUAUAGUAAGGAUUGUGUGAACAUCAAUCAAAACUAUGAUUGAUAGAAGUGAUCUUUGCAAAAUGAAUAAAUAAUUAACUGAAUCAAUUGAUUUACAUAUUAAAGUUUAUGAAUUUUCGGACUUGUUGCGAUAUAAUAAUAGCAUAUGAUUUUGAAACUUGAAACAGUGGUAAAUAUUGAAAGGAAUUAAUUUGAAAGCAUGAUCCGUGGGGAAUGUGAUGAAUCGUGUUUACCAAAAAGGUAGAAUUGUGGAAAUUUAUAACAGAACGAUAAAUAUGGUAAAAAGGAAGAAAAUUGAAAGACUUGGGGCCUGGCCUGGGUGUAUUUUCUAACAGUCCAAUGGACAAAAUUAUAUUUGUAUACUUUCUUAACAGUCAACUGAUUGAUAAAAGUCAAAACUGGUCUCUUUUUUUUUUCCUUGUUUCAAUCCCCUCUCAAUCAAAAAUGUUUCCUUGUCUAAGCAAUGAGGAAUAUGGCUGAAAAGAUUGCUAUUAGAAAGAUUUAUCAAUUGUAAUUGGUUUAAAAUUGAAUAGACACUUCAUUUUUAAGAUUGUUAUGAGUCAAUAUAGGUCCUAUUUGGGAUUGAGUUCUUGUAAUUUUUAAGCUACAGCGGCUGUGGAAAAAAAAUUAUAAUUAUGAAAUAAGAGUUAAAAACAUGUAAUAAAUAUAAAUUUUAAAUAAUAGUUUUGACAAAAUUAUAAAAUAUAUAAUAUAUCUUUCAUAAUACAAGUAAAAGAUCAUAUCAACAUAGAUUGCAAGCCACAACAGUUAGUGUUUACCAAACAAUUUAGUGCUGUAACUUUCAAGUUACAGCUGCCCAAUCUCAAUUUCAAAUGCACUUAUAAAGUGACUUGCUUCAAAAGCCUAGCAACCCAAAUUGGAAUGCUUUCAUUCAAGUGGCUAUAACUAAGAUAUAACGUCCCUAAGGAAGAGUAAUUAAAAAAUGUACCUUCUUUAACAUGUCCGUAUGGCAUUUUUUUUUUAAGUGAAUUUGUGUGAUAGAGAGAGGAUGUCAGCAAGAUAGUAAACUCCUAAAUAUAUUAUUGUUUGUAAUGUCUAAAAUUUGAAGAGAAUCAAGCUAAUAAAACUCCAUUGAAAUUAGACCUUCAAGAGUACGGUUCUUGGGCAUUAUAAAAUGUUGUAAUGUCGAGAGAUUACCCAACCAUUAUGGAAUCCUACCAAGAUGAUUGUUACCACUAAGAUACAAUCCUUCUAGUGAACAACAAUCAGACAAAUUUUUUGGGGAUCUCUCUUACAAAGUGAUUACCAUCCAAUCGCAAUUUUGAAUGAAAAUAAAUUUUUUUUAUUGGGAGUUUGACCUUAACAUUAAAUUUAGACAAUGAAUUUUAACUUUCUUCAAUUAUUAAACAGUUUACAGACAUUUGACAAAUUUGAAAACACUUCAUCCAUAGAAAGUUAAAAUUAGAGAUGGAAGCUAGGUGCUACAGCUAAUGGGAACAUUAAUUCCUGUCCCUCAUCACACUUUAUUUUGGGUCUAAUAAUUUUACGGCAGCAUUGACCACUGCUCAAGGUAAGUAAAACUUACAAAUGUGUGGCAAAAUAAAUAAUUAAGUGCAUAAAUUGUUAGCUAAUUUUCUUGAUAUAUACAGCUAAAGUAGUCGUUCCCCUUUAAAAAAAAUGUUAAACAAUUUCGGCUGAGCCUGCUUGUGGUUUUGAUAAAAAGGAGGGGCUGGCUUCAAAUAUUUGAAUAGGCAUCUCCGCCGUACCUCAAACAAAUCUGUCAUUAUUUGUGCCAUGAAACAUGUUUCGGCCGUCGAAGUCACGAGAGGGUUGAUGACGCUACUACGUAUGAUGACACACCAGCCGACAGUGUAGUAACAGCUCAAAAACAAAAUCUACCAAAAUCAACGAAAGUUAAUAAAAAUUUAUUUUAUUAAUAAAAAUAAAUAAAUAAACUUAUUAUUUUUGGAGACGUGUGUAUUUGAGUCUGUGGACUGAAAUGGAAAAUAUGAAGAAGUUCAGAGUCGUUGUGCAGAUUGACUUCAGUUAAAUGGGUCUAGUAGAUAUUUUAUGCUGACGUGGCACGAAUUAGUUAUAAUCUGUUACAACGUUUCCAGAAACAUCAGUAUAAAUAGAAGCUGAUGAGCAGUGCCUGUUGUACGAUCCUUUUUCUUCGUCAGUUGUUCGUCAAUUUUCAUAGAAUCUGUUUCAUUGUGAUCUGUACAAAGUCUUCUGUAAAUCCACUUAUGUUUGAUUAGUUGUUGAUCACUAACGAAGUAAAUUUUUCCUUCAAAUCUUGCUGGUUCGUGCCCCUGUUUCAGUUCUGGAUUUUUCUUUUUCUUUUUUUAGUUCUGGUUUCUUAAUUCAAUUGAAUUUCUUGGUGCUUAAUUCAUCAAGAUUCAGUGGAAUCGACUUGAAAAGGAAAACAUUAUCCACCUGGAACGACUUCAAGUCCAAAGUAAAAGACAAGAGUGGCUCCCCGCAAUUUUCUUGUUUUCAGUAUAUUUUCUCUUUUUCUUUUUUAAAAUCUUUUGACGCAUGCAUAAUAUACCCUUGUUUAUUAUCUCUACUUUGCUCUGCUCAAGUCCAUUUUUUUCAAAUAUUAUUUUAAAUAAUAAAUUUAAUAAAAGUACAUUUGUGUAAUUAAGACUCUGCUAUUAUAUCACACAUACGCAUAUAAUAUAACUAAGCAUUUGUUAUUAUAGCAAAGAUCCAUAGCAUGAAAGUGAAUAAAUUUAACUAAAUGGUUAAUUAAUCAAUUAAGUUUCAUGAGCUUUAAUCGAGUUAAAACCAAGUACAAACAUCGUUAACAAAUACUGAAAUUGAGUAAAUUAAAAAAAUAAAAAAAAUUAAUUCAAGUAAUAUGUAGUUUUUACAUGUUGAUCAGCAGAAUACAACAUUAAAUUUUGUCAUUGACAAUAUUGCAUACCAGUCAUCUAAAGCAUUACCUCACGAGGUUUUAUGAGAAACGAAAGAUAAGUGUUUGCUCUGAACAAUUAAAGUUGCUGCUACCAACCUCCCCGAAGACCAAGAAGACGGAACAGGAAGCUAAUGCAUCAAUGUCUUCUUCAUUAUAGCUGCUGCGUAGUUAGGUGUAGUUUCCUCAUUUGAAGCUGUCUAUACAUAGGCUUUCCCCCUGCUUAUGUACAAAUAAAUGAACAGCCUUGAAGCUUUAUUAUUCGCAACAAAAGGGAUUACCAAUUGGAGAAGACUUUACAGAGUUCCUCUCACACACUCUCUCAAUUUCAUCUAGAAGUCCCUCCGAAAGCAUCUCCCAAAACAGUUAGUCAUCUUUUAUACUCUGUUUUCUAGAAACAGAGUCCUAACUAAAUUAAUUGACUGUACAGUGCAUUUCAACAUAGCAUAUUUAACCGUUUUAACAGUAAUUUUAACCGUCUUCUGAGUUAUCAUCAACAAAUUCAUUCAUAUUUCUCCAGUCUUACGGACGAUAUCAUAUGUUUAAUAAUGAAUGAAUAGUCUUGGAUCAGUGUUUUGCAGCAAAUUCACAUCAUAGUUUUGAUUCUUUAGAUAUGAAUUCAUCACAUUACCGAAAAGAAUAUGCGCUAAAAAAUGAUUCCAAGACUAUUUGACUACCAAAAGCUGCUGUCAGAGUGCACUGAAAUCUUGACUCCUCUCAGCGAAAAAUAUAUCAAAGUUUAGAUUAUGUGUUCGAGCUUUAAUAAAUGCCUGAGUUAAUAAUAAUAACAACAAUAAUAAUAAACUAAAAAGCAAAAUUACUAUUGAAUGAUCGGAAAAAAAAAAAUUUGAAAACGUGUGAACUCCAAUAACCACCCCACAAAUUUAGUGGCGAAUUUUGGAGAGGGCAAGGCCGGGCUUCUCAGAAAAAAAAUGACGAGUAGAAUUGUGGAAAAUUAAGCAAAAUGACAAGUAUGGAAAGGAAGGCUGAAAGUAAGGCAUGACGAAAGGCUUUGAGAAGGCUGAAGACUACCAAAGAAGACAACUGAAAGCUAGUUGGGGCCUGGGUGUAUAAAUUGUAGAUGUGUUUGUUAUAAAUAACAUAGAGCCCUUUUGUUAUUUAUAGUUAUAGAGAAAGAGAGAAUGUGUGUUUUUUAAUAGUUAGAGAUAUAGCUAGAAUGGGUGGUUCAAAAUCCAAAAUGGUGACAAUGUUAGUUCUCGUAUUAAUAAUAUUAGGGAGGGGGGGGGGGGGGGGUGUGGAGUGAGGGAUGUUUGGAGCAUGAGGAAUUUGCUCAUUUUCGGCUUAAACAUUUCUUCAAUUCCCCUUAUAGACUUCAAAACUGGGUAGGUGAACAAAGGGAAAGGGUUGAGUGCAGCAACUCCACAGGCCGAGUGGUACAACUACACCUUAGUCUUACUAGGAAUAUCGAUCUGGGAGUGUGGUAUCUGAAUGCUUCUCUAUUUACUCCCUUUCAACAACUUGGUAACAAAAUAGCCGGCUGCAUGCGUUGAGAAUGAAGGUCCUUCAUUUAAUUUAAUUUACUUAAUUUCUCCCUCCUAAUUAAUGUCUAUAACCAUUAGGAGGAACAAGGGAUUUUAUUAACUCAAAUAUAUCUAAUGGAGCUCAUUCUUUGGUUUUACUUGCAGGUAUAGAAGCAGGUGUCAUCUAACAGCUGCUUUGAUAAUUUCCCACCCCUUCAUCUUUGAUGGAAAGAUGAAAUAAAAACAAAAUGGUGAAAAUGGUAUUGGUACCUGAGGCUAUGUAAUCUAAUUCAAAAACUGCACCAUCAAAACGAUUACAUAAGUCCCAGAAGAAUCAAACGUUAGUUUGCAAAAUAUCAAUUGCUGGAGUUGUUUCGGUUGCACGUUAAUAUCAAUUCCGCUCUUGAUUUUUAUGGGCAUGUUGUAUUGUACUUGCAUACGAAAAUCAUAUUUUAGUUUACUUCACUCAACACUUGGAUUAAAGUUUUAGGUGGGGAAAAUUGAAGGAGACUAAAAUGACUCAAAAAAAUAGUUGAAUGAGUGAGGGUUUUGUCUUCAUUUAAGGAGCUCUUUAUAAAUUUUAGGAUUCUUUUUCCUGAGAAAAUUUAUGCCAACUCAUUCUUUGCUUCUUUUUUGAAGGGACACAUGCAACCGAAAGUAUAUUCUUGAAUUCUCCAGGAUAAGAGACAUACGUUUAGAUUCUGGAGCAUUUAAAACAAUGUCAAAUUUUAGAUUGCUGAAAUUUUAUAUAUCCGAGUAUGAUGGUAUUCCAAUUAUAAGCUCCAGGGUGCAACUUCACUGAGGUUUAGAAUGCCUUCCUAUAGAAUUGAGAAAUCUCCAUUGGCCUAAAUAUCUUUUGAAAAUACUGGCAUCAGAUUUUGAAUUGGAGAACCUGAUUGGACUCAGCUUGCCUUGUAGUAAGGUUAAGCAAAUUUGGAAAAGAGAAAAGGUAUAAUGUAUUACUAUUACCAAAGUAUCUAUUUUUCUUUCUUUAAGUAUUUAUAAUGAAUAACUUUGAAAUUCAAUGAUGCUCAUUUAGUAUAGUUAUGUAUCUUUGGUUAUAGGAAGCUGUCAAGUUAAAAUCUAUAGACCUUCACCACCCCUCUAUCUCAAUAGGAUCCCAGAAAUACUAAAUCUUAAAAAAAUAAAUCUUUCAAAUUGUGAAAGCAUGCUUACGUUACCCCCGUAUAUCCACAAUUUCAACUAGCUGAGUAUGUUGUGUUUCAGGGAUGCAAAAUUCAUUUUGUUUCUCAUGAAAGGAUUGACUUGUCCGGAUGUAUUAGGGUUAAUAAACCAACUAAUCCCAUAAUUUGUUGAUGUAGUAGAUUGUAGAUCAGUACACUAUUCGAAAAUGUAUUUGAUCCACACAGUGAAGUGGAUAUUGGACCAAUUUGAUGAUAAUGAUUUUCUUUCAAUCUCAAUCUUUUUUCCUUUUAGCAACAUGACUAGUCAUUGCGCAAAUUCAAACUCUGACAAUGAUUUCUCAAUCGGUUUCUAAGAUGAUGACCAUGCAUGUAUAUGUAUAUGCGUGUGUAUAUGUGUGUGUGUGUGUGUGUAGAGAGAGAGAGAGAGAUCACACGUGUGUGAUUUCCUUUUGCCAAUAGGAUAUGCAGAGAGCUUGAUCUUACCCAAUAGCGAAACAAACUUCCUAAUAAGUGAAGGUUAGUAUAAAUACUUACACUUUCAUGUUAUUUUGUUCAUCAGUAGCUUGAUUAUUUUAUAUGCGUCUUCGAUUUUAAUUUUCUUUCCCUAUAAUCACUAUUAUCUUUGAACUGGUCGUGAUUUGCGUAUAAGAUUUCUCAUGUUGUUUUGAGGUGCAAUGGAUUUUGAAUUUAGUGACGAGCGGUGGAAGCCAGAAGGCAGAUUAUGAAAAUGGAUAAAGAUCUAUAAUUAGCUGUUAUGGGAUGUCACAUAUCAUAUUGAUGGUAACAUUAUAUAUAUGUACAUAUAAUUAAUGGGGUUGGCUCACGAGCCCAUUAAUAAUCAUAUAUUAGCUUAAAUACUUCAAACAAUGUACCAUGAAGCAAUUUCACAAACACUUUUUAGCUUAUGUUGAGCUUUAUCAAUAAAAUGCAGGUUUGCUAUUUUACGUACAUGGUUAUGGUGUGUGCAUUCUUCAUAAGGCUAACUACUAAUUUAUCAAUGAAACUUGAAAAAUGUGACAGAGAGAUGUCGAUAACAGCCGCAAAACACUGAGAUCGAAAAUCAGGGCUACUAAAUACUAUUAAAAGCUCUUAAAAUAGACAGUGAUCAUCCUUAAUCGCAAAGUUAUGCACUAAUAGAACUAUUGACUACUUAUCUUUAGCAGAAGGUAUAUUUUUAACUACAGCUUUCUGCUUUGUUCUAAGAACUAGGCAAGUGGUAUAUCUUCAAUCCAAUCAACGCAUAUACCACUUAUCUUCCUCUUCACUUUUGUCUAUUUUGAUUUCCACUUUAUAUCCUGCACUUGCUGCUUAGAAAUAGUCUUAGUCUGGACAUUGAAAGUAGAAAAAGUACUUGAAACAAUCAUUGGCACAGCCCGAGAUUCCAUUGAAUCGUGGACUCCAAGCUUUCAUAGUUCUAUAAAGAAAAUGACAUAACUUUAUACAACUGGCAUUCUGCUUUUAACAUUUGAUCAACCUGAGCGAGUUAGCAAGCCUCUUGUCGCGUUCCCAUUGAAUAGACCUACUUCUGUUAUCCACAGAAGAUCCACCACUCAAAAUGUUUAUCACCAGGCUAUUCUUAAACUGAGCCUAAACUGAGUAGAAAUUUCCGCACAUCUCUCAACAUUUACAUGAAGAAAUCGACAACUAUCCUCAUCUCUCAGCACAUCUCUCAGCAUUCUACAAAGUUGCAUUUCACUAAGCAAUCUAUCCUCUCCAUUCCUAGCAAAGUGACAUUGAUUCAUGUAUUUGUAAUCGCCUAACUUGGGUUUUGGGCAUAGCGUGGUCUUAAAAUUACCACCCAAUACUUUGUUCAGUGCCACUGGCAUCCACAAGCUCUAGCCCUGUUAGCUGAAUCAUAUUCAAUGGGAGAGUGAGGCAGCAUUUCACUAACAUAUUCAAUUUGACUACUUAUAUUGAUGCAAAUAUUAGAAUUUGAAAUCACUUCUUUUCUUGGAAUAUUAUAUUAAAAUGACCCCAAAUGAAAGUUCUUUAAUGGAAAUUAUUUUUAUUUAAUUUUCCAACAGAUUCAAGAAAACCCAGAGAACACAAAAUUUACACAGUAAUAUGAUUAAGAGCUGAGAACAUACAUGUAGUAAAUGUCUAUCAAAAAACACCCAAGUGUUUCUUUAAAAUUAGAAACUAGUAAACAAAAAGAAAGAAUCAUUUUACAUUUUUAGCAACUUUGGGGUGAGUGAGUGAGUGAGUGAGUGAGAAAUUGAAACCCUAAAGUGAUGACAACAGUAAGAUUCAGUAUGAAGUGAAACCCCAAUUUGAAAUGUAGGCAUGAGUUGCUGAGUCAGUAGAUGAAGCUAUAAAUAGGCAUUCGGUUUCCUUCUUUUCGGUUUGGAGGGCCAUGGAAUAGUGUAUUGGAGUGGGCUCCAAGUAAUAGCCUCUAUCACUGGAACGACACAUCUGUAAAACGUGAUACAUGGGGAAGGAUUGGGCAUUAUAUUCUUAGAUUAGCGCCUUAUUUAGGGUGUAUAUUAAGCAAAUUAUAUAUUACAUGGAGAUGGAGUUUAUGAAAUAGAUUAAAAAGAAAAGGAAAUUUCGGUGUCUAAAGUUUGCUACUUGGAAUAUUUCGGUGUCUAAAAAUUCACUCACCACUUAUUUCAUGUUUGAUUAUAUGUUGAAAAGAUAUUAAAAUAGUAUAAUGCUAUUAAGGCUUAACGUAUAUUUUUUAUUAGUAGAGUGUAGAAUUUUUAAGAAAUAAAUUAUUAAAUUAUUAUAACUAACAUAUUAUUUUAAAGUUGUGUUAUGAAAAAAAUGAAAUAAAAAUGUACAAUAAAUAAGAAUAUUUUAAAACUUUUAUCUUUUUAAAAUUAGUUUUUAACAUAAGGUGAACUAUUUUUUUUUUUAAAUCACAUAUUCUAGUUAAAAUCAAAUAUGUAUUUAUAUGAAGCUUGUAAAUUUUUUUUUUUAGUACUGAUAUUUGAAUAUUAUCAAUAAAAAAAAGGGUAAUGUUCAUGCUGCAUUAUUUUUGUAGCACACAAAAGGACAACAAAGUUUAUGUUAUAAUACUAUCGCUUCUGUUAUGAUAAUAUUUUUUUGUGGCCAAAUAUCUUUUUUUUUUUUAAGUAAAAAAAAGUGGACAAAAUGCAAAUCAGUUUUUAAUCCUCAAUCUCUCCCAAAAUAUAAAUUCGUAGGUCCAUGGGUUGUUAAAACUAUAGCCGACAAAAAGUUACUAACAAAAACAGAAUGUCCAUUUUAUAACUUUCUUAAAAAACUUUCCUUAACUUUUUUAAAAAGUUACCAACAAAAAGUUAUUUCUAAUUUUUAUUUUGUUAUAAUUUUUAUAACAAAAUUCGUAGUUAACUAAACUCUUCUUAUUCCCUUUCUCAACUGCCAUACCCUAACCCGAGCAAAUUGCGUAGGAUAUACCUGUUUUCCCUCAAAAUACUUAAAAUAUACCUCCAUAUAUUAAAAUUGCUAGCUUUACACAUUUAUACUUAAAAAGAUCAGGGAAAAUACAAAAAUAACCUUAAUAAAAAUACUCAACUUAUUAAUAUGCUUAAUCGACUCAUUUAAUAUUCUUACUCGACUUUUUACCGGACCAUACACUCGACUUAGUUAAUAUGCUUACUCGACUUAUUUAAUAUUCUUACUCGACUUCUUACCCGACCAUAUACUCGAUUUAUUUAAUAUGUUUACUCGACUCAUUUAAUAUUCUUACUCGACUUCUUACCCGACCAUAUACUCGACUUAUUUAAUAUGCUUACUCGACUCAUGUAAUAUUCUUACUCGACUUCUUAUCCGACCAUAUACUCAACUUAUUUAAUAUGCUUACUCGACUCAUUUAAUAUUCUUACUCGACUUCUUACCGGACCAUAUACUCAACUUAUUUAAUAUGCUUACUCGACUCAUUUAAUAUUCUUACUCGACUUCUUACCGGACCAUAUACUCGACUUAUGUAAUAUGCUUACUCGACCCAUGUAAUAUUCUUACUCGACUUCUUACCCGACCAUAUACUCAACUUAUUUAAUAUGCUUACUCGACUCAUUUAAUAUUCUUACUCGACUUCUUACCCGACCAUAUACUCGACUUCUUUAAUAUGCUUACUCGACUCAUUUAAUAUUCUUACUCGACUCAUUUAAUAUUCUUACUCGACUUCGUACCCGACCAUAUACUCGACUUCUUUAAUAUGCUUACUCGACUCAUUUAAUUUUCCUACUCGACUUCUUACCCGACCAUAUACUCGACUUAUUUAAUAUGCUUACUCGAUUCAUUUAAUAUUCUUACUCGACUUCUUACCCGACCAUAUACUCGACUUACUUAUCUCUAAUUCUUACUCGACUAAAUUCUCGAUUUACCCGACUUCUUCCUGCACUGAUUCUUCAAUCACUCAUAACUUAAAUGUAGUCUUAAAUCCCUACAUUGAAAUAGUGUGUGUGUGCAAGCACAAAAAAUGAAUAAUGUACUACUAAAAUUCAUAAAUCAUUAGGAAGUACACUUAUAAGAAAAAUAGAGAAUGGUGAGAGAAGCCCAAAAAAGAGAAGCAAUGGGAGAAGAGAGAUGUGAAUUCUUAGUUUUUUUAAGGUUAUUUUUGACUUGUCCUAUCUUCAUAAGGUAUAUGUGUGUAAUAGGGUACAAAUUUGGCAUUUAAGGGUAAAUUGAGGGUAUUUAAAUAAAAAACCCCCUAACCCUGUUCCCCAUGUCCCCACUAAACCACGCUCAAUUAAGGCCAUCAGAUUCUCCCGGGCCCACAUUAAUCCAACUGCUCACAGAGACCGACAGCCUCUCUAUCUCCAUUUCAAGCUCCCUCUUCAACUGGCUUCUGCUACCGUCCUACUCUUUCUCGGCUUCGGAGUCCGUAUUUGCUCGGCCUGUCCCACGAAGCUCCCUCUCACUCCAAUUGUCGCCCCACAAGACCAAUUGCUUAAUCAAGACACCGAACAAGAAGAGGAUGAGAAGUUGAAACAAGAAUUUGAGAAUUGGAAAUCAAAAACGUUUGAGAGUCGUUUCUCUUCAGAACUCAGCGCCUCAAUCUUGGGUUAAGGAUUUUAGAAGUCAGGGAAAGAGAUUGAAGUUUCAGAUGAAUUUGUGUGCUAGCAUUGAUGGGAUCUUUAACAAUUUAUCUGUGCCCUUUAACAAAGUUAAGUCUAAGUCAGCUUCUUAUAUGGCUGCUGAUUUGGUUAGUGUUGGUGAUUCAUGGCUUAGUUUUGCCAUUAAAAAUAGAUUGAUUGAGCCAAUAGCUGGAGCUGAAGACCAAGAUUGGUUCAAAUGCUUAAGUCACAAAUGGAAGGUAACAUCUUUGUCUUUGAUCCUCGAGGUAAAAUAUGGGCGGCACCAUACAGGUGGGGCACAACGGUGAUAGCCUGCAAGAAAAUUAAAUUUCGAAAGCAUAAUUUGGCUCCGAUUGAGGUAAUAAUUUUCUUUAAACUCAUUUAGUUUUAUAUCAAACAAAAUCAAGAAUGCCUUUCUCUUCAAUAUUUUUUAUGAUAAUAUCUUUAGAAGCAUCUCAUUGACGGGUAACAAUGGCAUCCCUGAAAGAGUCUAUAAACUCAAUGAUAUUAUCUUCUACAAAUGGUUCAUUAAACUUUGUCGUUGUACUCAAAUGUACACUCAGAGCAAUGAGAAGCUAUGCCACUUUAGCAUGUAGUGAUGGCACUUAAUAAGUGAGUUGCUAGGAUGUGAACUAGAAAAAUUAAAUAUUGUCUCCUUGGGUAUGCUAGCUCGUAAGUCAGGGUUAAUAUCAGAGCUUAAGAUAGUAUAACCGUGAGAACCUAUUGACUGCCAAUUAAAAUAUCCAUUAAAAUGUCUAGGGAGUUAUGAAGGUGGAGGUAACUUCCGAUUUCUAGGGCCACAUGGUAGACAUCAUCCAGGAUUCUAGGAAAGUGCAGUUAACUUCCUGCUCGAUGCAAUUAAUAAAUUUGGUCAAUGCCACUGAAACCUGCUAACUGACAUCACAAUGUGACAUGAGCACUUCAAAAUGGGACAGACGGUCAGUAGCACUAAUUUUUUCUUGGCUAGGAUUGAGCAAUUGGUCUAACUACUAAUCCCCUAUUGUAGGUUGAUCAUUAUUUUUUAAAUUAUGUUCAGUUUGACCCAAAAAGUUGCAGAAUCUUGAGCAGAAUUUUGUCACUGAACACUGUCAAUGUCAUUUAGCAUAGCCCACUAACUUGAUGUUAAAACAAACACACAGUGUGUCUCAUGUCUCACAAUUCAAAUUAUCAUCUGUAAUGAUGGAGAAUUUUUCCAAUGUAUGAAGUAUGCUUUGAUAUGUGGGUUACCUUGGAGAAGAUAUCUCAAAAUAAAGAAUAUGGGGAGAAAACAGUUCAGUAGUUUAUUAUUCUGUAGUCAAGUUUUGUCUCGAAAAUGGUCAAAAUUUAAAUGAAUAAGGACAGGGGAUCUUCAUUCUUUUUUCCCUUUUUUAUACCAAGAUAUCUCUCAACCUUUAUAUAAUCCCCACUGGAUAUCUGCUUCUAAUAAUUAAAAUAAAAAUUUCACCGCUCUAACAAUAAAAAGUAACAUCUUUAGUCAAAUAAUUUACAGUUCCUCAUCAUCUUAGUGUGAGACUAUCAGUACAUUCCAAAAACAUAAUAAAACUGGUUUGAUCCUGUUUAUUGAUGUUUAAAUGUUGUUCAUUGUGACAUGUAGAAAUGAUGAGGCGAAGUUUAUUUGGACAUCAAUUAGUAAGAUCUUGUUUGAAGUUGUUUUCUGAAAUUUCUGAAAUGAACUGCCAAAUGGUAGUUUUUUUGGGGCAUUUGAUGGCUCUUUUUUUUCCCUCAUUUUCAACAUGUGCCUGCUUGGAACAGGAAGGAUUAGGCUGCAGAGUUGUUAUAUAUUUUGAGAUGCUCUGGUCAUUGCACAAUUUGUUCACACUGGAAAUUAGAAUGAGAAAUUUGUUGAUGCUGUUUUGAGAGAUCUGCAUUCUAUGCACAAUAACAUGAUUAAUGAAAAUGCAUUGUAAGACUGGAAAGAUCUGUGGCAGCCUGAGCUCGCAGGAAGAAUUUCAAUGGUUAAUUCUCCCCGAGAGGUUAUUGGUUCAGUUUUGAAGUAUAGGGUAGCAUCAUACAAUUCAAAUGAUAUUGAUUCGCAAGUUGCUGGUGGGAAGAUUGCUGUUCAGCAGAAUCUGGCAUUACUGGCAAACCAGGUACUCUUACAGAAAUGAUAUCUGCUCAUUGCAUGUUAUUGCCUGACAACUGAUUUUGUUUGUAAAAGUCUGCUUCUUCAUACAGAUGAAUGCAUAUGUUAGUGUUUUCUUCUCCUUUUCAUACAUAUAAAUGCAUAUGUUAGUGUUGUCUUUUCUUUUUCAUACAUAUUAAUACAUAUGUUGGUGUUCUCUCCUGAGAUGGAUGCAAUAAAGGCUUUUGCUCCUAAAUUUAGCUGAAGAAAUGGCAAGGGAUGUGAGAUUCUGUCUCAUUAAAUUAACAAAAACCCAAAGCAAUGAAAAUCCAUAAUAAUGUGGUGUGGGUAAAUUGGCUCCAUUUGGUUUGUUUCCUUAAUGUGAAUGCGCGAGCAAUAGAGACUAACAAAAUGAAGUGACAACAAGAAGUCAGUGUCCUUUGAUGGAUGCAAUUUUAGGCAGAAAUCAGUGUCCUUUGAUGGAUGCAUUUUUAGGCAGAAAUAUGUUUGUAAUUGACCAAAUUUGUCUGGCAUGCCAAUUUCAAAAAAAUUAAAUUAUGUGGUUAUUAGCUGUAAUGAAGGAGGAUAGUAGGUGCAAUCAUGUGGAUCCAGGAAAGUUCGACAAAGUUUUGGUAUGGCGUAGUGAAAUUGGUUUGUGCAACUCAGGAGCCUUUCAGGUGAACGAUGAUAGGUUUUGAUUUAUGAAUAUUAUAAAUCUACUGUGCAUAGUAUUCUAGUAGAAUCAUCUACAAGUUCUAGUUAUUGAAAUUGUAUACUUUGCCCGGUUUGAGUUAAGGGCACAUGUAAUAUGAAAGAUAGUUGUCGCAUCUUUUAGGUUACCUAACAUUUGAUCAAUCCUAUUAUGGGGGCUUCAAGAUGUCUAACAAUAUGUAGAAUGCCCAUGCUCCUCCCCAUUGUUUAUCUUCUACAAUAAUUUGUUUUAAAUGCUAAUAUCUUUGUCGAUACCGGUAACAAUAUUACAAUAUCUGCAUUUAUUGGGUUUUACAUAGGUUCGACUGUUUGACAGUACACACUAUCUGAAGGCAUUUGCAAUUGGAGAUGUAUGGGUUGCUGUUGGGUGGAUUAGUGAUGUUCUUCCUACUGUCAAACAUAUGUCUAAUGUUGCUGUUGUUGUUCCCAAGUCUGGUGCUAGCUGCCUGCCAUUCUACUUCGAUAUUCACAUUGUUAUCUCCUUCAUAUUAGCGAUCAGUAAACACGAUAAUGUGGCUAAUAAGUUCGUAUUCUCUUUAUAGGCAAUCCCUGCUGCCUCAAGACUUGAAACAAAACAAAUUGGAGGGCGAGUCAGAGGUCCAUCUCCAUUAAUCCAUCAAUGAAUAGAAUUCUGCUUGCAAACAGCGAGAUUUUUGCCUUGCAAGCAAGAGGUUAUCCCGGGUGCAUCUCCCUCUGCCCUUGAAAGUACUCUGGUUAAGUUGCCUGAAGAACUUCUGGAGGGUAAACCAAGUCUGGAUACUAACUUAAUUGCUGGAGUACUCCCGGCUGAAAUUCUGGCCAGAUGUGAGUUUUUGGAGCCAUUAUCUGAAGCUACUUUGUCAGAUUAUGAGUGGCUGGUUGUUAAUCUGCAAAAACCUGCUCCUGUCUUGAUGAAAAGGGUGCAACAUUACUUGUCAUCAUUAAUCUAAAGCUUUCUAGCAAGAGCUACACUGAAAAGUUAAUGGCGCUGCAUGCCAGUCAUUAUAAUGCUGUCAGGGCAAUUGGGUCAGGGCAAUUAGGUCUGAGCAUAACUUCAUUAGGAAAAGAGGCUUCAGCUACGUUAAAUAUUACAGGAUGUACUGAGAUGGCUGAAGUUCUGAAGGUUUUAUGAGAAGCGAAAGAUGAGUGUUUGUUUGAACAAAGUUGUUGCCAAUCUUGCAGAGUUCGGAAAGAAAGAUCACGGAGCGAAUGCCACCGAUUUCUUCAUCAUUUUAGCCUCCAUAGUUGAAGUUUCCUCAUUUGAAGCUGUUUAUGCAUACGCUUUUUCCCUGCUCUAGUACAGGAAAUUGAAGAAUUAACCAGAUGUGAUAUGCUGAAAGAGGGAAGUUUUCUUCCUUGAAUGUGGCCUUUGUGAUUUGUCUUGAAGGAAUAGGAUGAUCACUGGCAAGAACCCUAUCAAGGUAGAUUUUAUGGUGUUAACAUAUUAUUAGGCAUUUUGUUACAUCAUGAAAGUGUUUAAAUUUAACCGAAUGAUCUUGAUUGAUCAAUUAUGAGUUUUAAUCGAGUAAAAACUAAAUACAAUAAUCGUUAACAAAUAUUGAAAUUGGGUAAAUAUGAUCUUGAUAUUGAAGAAUUUGAAAUCACAACCCACACAGGAAAUCACCCUUCGCGUGGGGAUGGAGAUGUUUACUGCAGCGAUAUUGAAUAUGUCCACUGCUCUUUGGGUUAUGGUGCGACUUGCGAUUUCAAGGUUGCCAUGAAACAAUGGAAAAGAUUAACAUACCCUCCAAUGAAUGAAAACGGGUGGACUAAUUCGGAUUACCUAAUUGACUCAGGAUCAAGAUCGGCUGGCAAUAAUAACAGUUUAUUAACAAUGCACAGUCCGAGUACCUUUCCAGGAUCAGAUACGACGUGGUCUAAUGUUGAUAAUAAUAGUUUAUUAAAUGACAAAUCGUUGUUCUUGGGUGUUGAUUUCAGAAAUAAAAUACAUUCUGAGAGAUGCUGGUCUACUAUUGCAAGCCCCCAGAUUUAAGAAUAUUUUGAUGAUAAUUUAUCACCGGCAACUGUGCCGGAAGAUUCAAGUAGCACUGAAAAAGAUGAUAAUUUAAUUGAUAUGGACAGUUUCCAUAUCACUUUUAAAUCAUCUUAUGUAAUUGUAAUGUUAGGAAGCAUUAGUGAUCUAAAAGUGAACUAUUAUUGGUGUCAUUGGUGGUUUUAUCUUGUUAAAAUAUGGAUGAUAUUUUAUUGUAGACAAUCUUAUUCAAUUAACAUAUGGUUUAAAACCAUUAUGUUUUAUAUAAAUCAAUCUACUAAUUUUCAUGAUAUUUAACUGAGUUAAAAUCAAGUGCACUCAAUAAAUGUCUUUUCCUUUAAAAAAACAGCUACGCUUUGAUUUUAGUGCUUAAUAUUUCGUAACUACAAAUUAUAUAAUUGCGAGUUGCUGUCCAUAGCUGCUAAUUUGUAGUGAUUAUCUAAUUGCCUGAGGUGACAAUAAUUCUUUUAUCUUCAAUAGCACAAUGUGGAAUUCAAUAAUUAAAUUCUCCUAUUUAAUUUGUUUCAAGUUAAAUUAUUAAUUACUUAAACUCUGUUUUAAGUCUUUAAUUUUAUGUGUUUAUGCAGAAUUGGAUUCUUGAGCGUGUUGGACAUGACCAACAAUGAAAUUGACAGUAAACAAACAUUACAACGUGUGGACUCCGGUAAGCACCAAUGAAUUUCUAGCCCUGUUGACUCCGCCAACUAAAGUUUUGUAAAAUAAAAAAAUAAUACAUAGAAUUCCACCAAAUGCAAAACGCGUGAAAUUUAAUUUUCGGCCGUGUGGACCAAAACAUAAUUUAACGAAAAAGGAAAAAAAUAAUAAGAUUUUUAAAAUGUGUGGAAGGUAAUCCAUAUUUUACUGAAACGACUUAUUAAAUUUUUCAAGGAUUUAGAAUAUUUGAUCAUAAAUUACGUGCAUGUUAAUUUUUCCGCCAUUGACUAUCAUAUUCUAGACUUAAUGGUACCUUUCUUGAUGAAGGGUACUUAGUCUCUCUUCUCCUCUUAUAAAAAUUAUAUUAAUUGAUUUCUUGUUAUAGUUAAUAGACUUUAAGAACGGAUAGAUUUAUUGUUUUCAUGACCAAAUUAUGCAUGCCUAAGGUUGCAACUAUUAAUAAAAUUAAUAUUUAAUGUUUAUGUUAAAAGAUAUAAGUUUUUAUGCAUUCAUUAAUUGUUAUUAGCUAAAGGAUGAAUUAUUUUUUCCCAAUCAGUUGAUGCAUCUGCAAUAGUUUUUUUUUUCUUUUAUUGACCAUAAUUAUAUUCCGGGUGCAAUAAAUUGUCUUUGGUGCUUGGAAAAUAUGACAUCUCUCCGUCAACUUACUGGAAAUAUCUCCUCAUCUACUCGCAUUUAUCUAAUAUCAAUUGAAGAUCUCAUAUUUCCAAACUAUGACUUCCAAAUCUCAUUAUCAUUUGAGCAUUCAAAACUAAUCAAGUGUGGAAAUAAUCAAAUAUAUGCAAAAAUCGAGUCACAAUCUUUGGCCCCUCAAAAUUCUAAUUAUAUAACUUCUAUAUAUCUCAUACAUUUUCCAAAUUCCUCUUCCAUCAACAUCACUAGGAGUAUGUUCAUCUCUCACACAUUAACUUGAGUGAAGAGUUUCUAAAUUGAUUGUUAGAAAAUAAUACAAAAGCUAGACACGCUUGAUCUGUCUAAUAAUUCUCUUUCUGUAAAAUUAAUUAAUUUUAGGGGAAUUUAGCCAACCUCUGUAAUUUCAGAGUGAUCAUUAAUUAAUUAAACAAUACAAAUAUCUAAAGUGAUUAGAUGUUUGCUGACAAUACAAGUUCAUGGCUUGAAAUUUGAUCUCUAUCGAUUGACUUACAGAUGGACGUACUUGUGCCUUUCUGGUGAUAAUUGAACCAGAGAUGUGAAGCUGUAAGGAUUUGGCAGUAGUAAAUUGUUAUAAAGACAUAAUGACAAAUUCCCAUGAUUAUUAUUUUUUCCAAAAACUUUUUUACAACAAAUUCAUCUCGCCAAAAAUUUUAUUUUGCUAACUAACAAUAAUUGAGCACUUGACCGCAUUGACUCCACGUCUCCACCUACUUUCUAAGUAAAAACAUGGAAAUGUAAUCUCUACAAAAUGCCAAACGUGUGGAAUUUAAUUUUUGGCCUUGUGGACCAAAAUGCAAAUGAAAGAAAAAGAGAGAAAAAAACAAGGCCCAAAGACUUCUAAAAGAUGUAAAAGCUUUGGGCUUUUUUAUAAUGGUGGAUUUUUUAAAAGGAAAAAAUAACAACACUUCUAUGGUUUGUUUUGAUAAUCACAUUUACAUAUACUCUCUAAUUUUCAAAAUAGACACAUAAAUAUUUUUUUUCUACAAAUGUAUAUUAUUCAUAUUUUUUUAUUAUUUUUAAUAUCAUAUUAUUAUUUAUUAUAAAUGUUUAAAGUAAAUUUUUAGGUUGAAAUAUAAUAAAAGGGGAUAAUCGUUCUCCUAUUAAACACCCAUACUUUUAGUUUCUAUCCAUUUGUCAUCUCAAUCUCUCUCGAUUAUUCAUUCUUUCUAGCUCAAAACGCGUUGCUGUGGAAAAUUAUAGCAAAAAGACAAAUAUGGAAAAGAAAAAAGGGAAGAAAAUUAAUGCAUGAAAGACUUGGAGAAAACAACGAAGUAAGUCAACUAUAAUCUAGUUAGGUAUAUAAAUUGUUUGAUGCUUUAUAAGCAAAUAACAUAUAGAGACAGACAGUGUGUGUUCGUUUUUUCAUAGUUAAAGAUAUAGUUAGAAUGGGUGGUUCAAAAUCAAAAAUGGUGAUAAUGUUUGUUAUGUUAUUAAUAAUAUUUAAAAGUGGGUGGAGUGAGGGAUGUUUGGAUCACGAGAGAUUUGCUCUUUUGCGACUUAAACAUUUCUUCGAUGAUACUGGUAGUUAUCUUUACGACUGGGCCGAUGAUGAGGGAGCUACUGAUUGUUGUCAGUGGGAAAGGGUUGAGUGCAGCAACACCACAGGUCGAGUGACAGCGCUAGACCUUUCUGACACGUAUUCGGGAGAGUACGGCUGGUAUCUGAAUGCUUCUUUGUUUACUUCCUUUCAACAACUUGAGUCACUUGAUUUUAGUUUAAACAAAAUAGCCGGUUGUGAUGAGAAUGAAGGUACUUCGUUUAAUUUAAUUAAUUUACUUUCACUCUCCUAAUUUAAGUGGAAUAUUAAGACUGAGCAACUAUAUGCAUAUACAUUAGUUGACAAUUUUGACAUAUUUUUUGAAGUGAUUAAUUAAUUUUGAAAUUACACCAAUAUCUAUGAUCUUUUUUUUUUUUUUAAUUUUGCUUGCAGGUCUAGAGAGGUUAUCAAGAUUGAACAAUUUAAAGAUGCUUAAUUUAAGUUAUAACUGGUUCAACAAUAGUAUCUUAUCAUCUUUAACUCGUCUUUCAUCAUUAAGAUCAUUAAAAUUAUAUGCGAAUAAUUUGGAAGGAAGUAUUGAUGUUAAAGGUACAUAUUUAAAACUUCUCUCUUCCCCAAGCUCUUUCAUUAACCUGCUAAAAUAAGAUUCAAGGCUUUGAAUUCAAUUUUUUUAUGAUUAAUAUUUUAAAAAAAAGUUUUAAGCAAUUUAUAAAUACAAGUUUUAAUGUUUCUCAUAAUUUCAUCUUGUACUUUCAUAUGUCUUGAAUUUAAGAUUAAAAAAAAAACUCUAAUAGCGAACCAAACACCUCCACAACUUAUUAUUAUUAUUUUUUAAUUUGUGGUGAGGUUUGAAACAUUCAAGUCAAUUUGUACUUAUUACAGAAUUUGAUUCUUUGAGAGAUUUAGAGGAGCUAGACAUUGGAUGGAACAUGAUUGACAAAUUUGUGGUCUCAAAAGGUACUACAAAUACCAUAAAAAAAUGCCAACUUUUACAAAUAAGCUGGAUUCUUUGCCAUUUGGUUUAUUAUUUUACAGGUUUGAGUAAGUUGAAGUCUCUCGGUUUAGCUGGUAUCAAACUCAACCGUAGCAUCUUAUCUUCUCUGACUGUCUUUUCUUCGUUAAGAGAAUUACAUCUACGUGAUACCGGAUUCAAAGGAACAUUCGAUGUUCGAGGUAAGUCUAAGCCUUGCUUUCUCAUUUUAUAUAUGCCAGCUAGAUUUGUGUAUCAUUGACAUAAUUUAAUAUUUAAUUUGAUUCGUCUGAAGGAAUUACAUGCUAAUUUAAACAUACUUUUAUUUACUUUGUCAAUUAAUUAAUUAAUUAAUUACUAUUUGGCUUGGUUUGGAUGAAAUUCUCAUGAUGUUUUAAUUUCUUUAAAUUAAUUAAUUAAUUAACUUUGUUUUUAAGUCUUAAGUCUGGGCAUGUUUGCAGAAUUUGAUUCCUUCAAUAACUUAGAAGUGUUGGACCUGAGUUGGAACGAAAUCGACAAUCUUGUGGUUCCUCAAGGUAAACAAUUAAAAUGUUAUUUAAUUACAUUAUUUUAAUUCAUUUGAUCUGGGAAGGCCAAAAAGGUAAAAAAAAAAUUAAAUAAAGAAACAGAGAAUUUGUAUUAUUUAAAAAACAGAAUGUAAUAAAGAUUUGAUUCUAGUUCUUUAAUCUUUAAAGCGAUUGAAAAACAAUGUUGCUCUUUUCCCAAAGCAUAAAAUACGAAUUGAAUGCCGAUUAACUUAAUCAUUCAUUUUGUUUAGCUCUAAAUUUAGACAAUGAAUUUUUAUAUUAUUUCAAAAACAGGACGUAAUAGAAUUUUUUUUAAAAACAGAUUGUAAUAAAGAUUUGAUUCCAAUUCUUUAAUCUUUACAGUGAUUGAAAAACGAUACUGCUUCCCAAAGCACAAAAUACGAAUUGACUCCCAAUUAAAUUAAUAAUUUAUUUCGUUUAGGUCUAAAUUUAGAAAAAUGAAUUUUGAUUCUCUUCAAUCCUUUCCUAAUUAUUAUUAAUAAACAGGUUACAAAGGUUUGAGGAAGUUGAAAAGCCUUGAUCUAUCGGGAGUUGGAAUUAGAGAUGGAAGCAAGUUGUUACAGUCAAUGGGAUCAUUCCCAUCCCUCAACACUCUUCACCUUUUGUUGAAUAAUUUUAACAAUAUAGCGACAGCUACUCAAGGUAAGUAAAAGUUGGAGAUGUGACCAAAUUUAUAAAUAAGCUGUUAAUUAAUUAAUUAAUUAAUUUUUCCGUAUUAUUAAUUAAGCUAAAUUCCUUGCUCCUUCCUUCUAAAUCUAAACAGAGUUGCACACUUUCACCAACUUGGAAUAUUUGACAUUGGACCAUUCCUCCCUCCAUAUAAGCCUUCUGCAAAGCAUUGCGUCAAUAUUCCCUUCGUUAAAAGAUUUGUCGAUGUUUGAUUGCAAAGUCAACGGUCUUGUACGCGGUCAAGGUAAAAGAAAAGUGUCGAUUGUGAACUCACUCAGUGUUGUCCUACGUGUUCAACAUUUUUAUUUAUUUAUUUUAUUGUUUAAUGUUUCUGCUAGGUUUUCCUCAUUUCAAGAGUUUGGACCAUUUGGACAUGGUUUUCGCGCGCACUGCACUCAACACCAGCUUUCUUCAAAUCAUCCGUGAAUCAAUGCCUUCUCUUAAGUACUUAUCAAUGUCAGAUUCUACUCUUGGCACUAACAGCAGCAGGAUUCUUGAUCAAGGUUAAUAAUAUAAAUAUUUAAUUACACAAACGAAUCACUUAUUAUAAAAGAAUAAUACGCAUUCAUUAAUUUUUAUGUUGUAUUAAUUGAUGAAUUUAAUAAAAUUUCAGGCCUCUGUUCGUUGAUGCAUCUGCAAGAGUUGUACAUCGAUAAUAAUGAUUUGAGAGGUAGCUUGCCUUGGUGCUUGGCAAAUAUGACAUCCCUCCGAAUAUUAGAUGUUUCUUCCAAUCAACUUACUGGAAGCAUCUCCUCAUCUCCCCUCGUUCAUUUGACAUCCAUUGAAGAACUGAUGCUUUCAAACAAUCACUUCCAGAUCCCAAUUUCACUUGAACCACUUUUCAAUCACUCAAGACUCAAGAUUUUCGAUGCUGCGAACAACGAAAUAAAAGCUGAAAUAACUGAGUCACAUUCUUUGACCGCCCCAAACUUCCAAUUACAAGCUCUCUCAUUGUCUUCCGGUUAUGGAGAUGGUGUCACAUUCCCCAAAUUCCUUUACCAUCAACAUGACCUGGAGGAUGUUCGUCUCUCACACGUAAAUAUGGAUGGAGAAUUUCCAAACUGGUUGUUGGAAAACAACACAAAAUUGAGACAACUUUAUCUCGUCAAUGAUUCUCUUACAGGACCUUUCCGAUUGCCAAUCCAUUCACACAGAUGGUUAAGAUUCUUGGAUGUCUCCAACAACAACUUCCAAGGCCACAUUCCAGUGGAAAUUGGAGAUAUUUUACCAAGUUUAAUAUCCUUCAACAUUUCAAUGAAUGCUUUAGAUAGUAGCAUUCCCUCUUCAUUUGGUAAUAUGAAAUUCCUCCAAAUUCUGGACUUAUCCAACAAUCACUUGACUGGUGAAAUCCCCGAGCACUUGGCCGUGGGUUGCGUCAACUUGCAGGCUCUUGCAUUAUCAAACAACAACUUAAAAGGUCAUAUGUUCUCCAGAAACUUUAACCUGACAAACUUGAGAUCAUUACAAUUGGAAGGCAAUCACUCGUAGGUGAGAUCCCACAAAGUUUGUCUAAAUGCUCCUCACUAGAAGGAUUGUAUAUUAACAAUAAUAGUCUUUCGGGUAAGAUUCCACGAUGGUUGGGUAAUCUCACAUGGUUACAAUAUAUUAUAAUGCCCAAUAAUCAUCUUGAAGGCCUUAUUCCAGUGGAGUUUUGUCAGCUUGAUUCGCUUCAGAUUUUGGACAUUUCAGACAACAACAUAUCUGGAAGUUUACCAUCUUGUUUCCAUCCUCUCUCUAUUGAACAAGUUCAUCUUUCAAAAAAUAUGUUACAUGGACAGCUAAAAAGAGGUACAUUCUUUCAUUGCUCUUCCCUGGUGACAUUAGAUCUCAGCUAUAACCGUUUGAAUGGCAGCAUUCCGAAUUGGGUUGAUGGGCUUUCUUAGUUAAGCCACCUUAUCUUAGGUCACAAUAAUCUUGAAGGUGAAGUGCCAGUUCAAUUGUGCGAACUGAACCGAUUGCAAUUGUUAGAUCUUUCUAAUAAUAAUCUUCACGGUCCUAUUCCUCCUUGCUUUGAUAACACCACACUUCAUGAAAGUUACAGCAAUAGUUAUAGUCUUGAUGAGCAAUUUGAAAUAUUUGUUUCCAUCGAAGGCUCUUGGGGAUCGGUAGAAAAGUAAAUCCAUGAAAUUUUUGAGUUCACAAUAAAGAACAUUGCGUACAUUUACCAAGGAAAAGUUCUUAGCCUCCUAUCAGGACUUGAUCUUUCUUGCAACAAGCUAAUCGGUCAUAUUCCUCCUCAAAUUGGAAAUUUGACAAGGAUUCAAACAUUGAAUCUAUCACACAACAACUUGACAGGAUUGAUCCCAUCAACAUUUUCAAACUUGAAGCAUAUCGAAAGUUUGGAUCUUUCCUACAACAAAUUGAAUGGGAAAAUCCCUCAUCAACUUGUGGAGUUAAAGACAUUGGAGGUUUUCAGUGUGGCAUACAAUAACUUAUCAGGCGAAAUUCCAGAAUGGACAGCACAAUUUGCAACCUUCAAUGAGAGUAGCUAUGAGGGAAAUACUUUUCUUUGUGGAUUGCCAUUGCCAAUUUGUAGAUCACCAGCAACUAUGUCGGAGGCUUCAAUUGGCAAUGAACGAGAUGAUAAUUUAAUUGACAUAGACAGUUUCUUUAUCACAUUUACAACAUCGUACGUAGUUGUGAUAUUCGGAAUUGUUAUUGUUUUAUAUGUAAAUUCUUAUUGGCGACGUAAAUGGUUUUACUUUGUUGAAAUGUGGAUAACUUCAUGUUACUAUUUUGUUGUAGACAAUCUUAUUCCAACAAGAUUUUGUCAUUAAAAUUAAUUAGUAGUUUAAUUACGAUUCUUUAAGUUCUAAUCAAGUUUGCUUAGGAAAUAAAUUUAUUUUUAUUUUUUAUUAAAAUUGUAGUAGUAUUUAGCGUUACAUAGCUUCCAACUUCCAAGCACUUCACAUUUGUCUCUACACUUCCAAACCCAUAUCUAUCCACCAUAACUUAUACUUCCCUAUACUGUGCAGCCUACUUAAAUAAGAGAACCAUCUCCAAUGUUAAAACCAGCCACUCUAUAACAUUCAUUUAGAAACUAUAUUUAGAAUAGUUUUAUUAUCAUACACAAGAAAUGAAACACCUAGAUGCACUUGAUCGCCUAUUUUACUUUAAAAAACAAUAAUUAUCGUGCUAUCAUCAUCUUCUUCACUAGCAACAUUAACACCAAAUCCAGCGAUGGACCCAGACAUUUAAUCAAGAAAGGUAUAUAUAUAACAAAGUUGAAGCUUGACAAAAAAUUCAGGAAGAUUAAUGCCUCGGUAUAUAUAUAUAAUAAAGUUGAAGCUUGACAAAAAAUUCAGGAAGAUUAAUGCCUCGCCACAACAAGGGGCACAACAACAUCAAAGUAGAGAUGAAGCAAUAUUCUCAAAGCUAAAACUCUCAAAUCCACCCACCAGAAUUUCAUAUCUCCUCGACAAUUUUAAGAACUAAAGAUAAUUAGGAUUUAACAUUAGUUUUUUAUAUAUUAGUUUCAUAAUUUACAAAUCAAUGAAGAUGAAGAUUAUGCUAAUGAAUUCAAAUUAUACCAUACAUUCUAUAGAUGUUACCAAAAAUUUCUAAGUCAAUCCCACAUAUUUCAUAAUUUUAAGACUAGAAAAUUUCAUUAGUUAGAAGUUUCAUUACCUUCAAGUGGAAGAUGAAGAACAUUAUACAAGUGAUUCAGAUUAUAUCAUACAUACUCCAAAUGCAACUAGAAAUUAACAAGUUCAUGCGCACAGAUUUCAUAACAUUAUGAUUGGAAAGUUUCACAAAGAGAAAUUCUAAAUUCAAUCUCUUGCAUCAAGGUAGUUUGAUUGAUUUGAGUUACUUUCUGAUCAAGCUACUAAUAUAACAUUCAAGUUAGGGAGAAAGUAAAUUAAAACUGGGAAGAAAUAACAGUAAAAAUUUGUUGCUAAACAUGAUGUGUAUUUUUUUUAAGGCAAUUUGGAAACACAGUUGUUACUACAGAUAUUCUCCUCAACUUGGAGACAAAUACAAAUAUUAAAAUGCAUAUGAUCGCACAUACUACUUGGAGCUUAGUAAGAUUUCAUUAAAAGAAGCAAUCAAACCACUUAUCAAUUGUCGCAAUCGUUCUAUAAACUAAAAUAGCAAUAUAAUACAAGAAAAAGAACAUAUAGAUACUCGGCAAGAGUUCAUUAAGAAGUCGCAUCACAUUAGGGUGAGGAGUUUGCUUCUGAUAUCUUGCUAGCUGGGGCUUUUUCUUGUCUUUCUACGUAUGCCGAGGGAAACCAACCAGCUAGGCCCUUGCAUUCACCUUCCGACCAUCCAGUAGGAGCCACCUUGAGAAGUUAUAACUAAAACGGUGAAUUAAAAAAAAGUUGACAAUUCAAAGACCUAAGGGGAAAACUAAUUCUUUUACGUAGAGGAAGUGAACUAGUUGUGAUCACUGAAAUAAAAAAAUAACUAUGGAAGCAUAACAAGAUAUAAAUUCACAUGUCUAUAAGGGUAAACAGGGUGGUUUAGAACUGAGCUAGCAACCCUACUAUAUUCUGAUUUGCACUUCAAUGUAAAAGGGAAUAUAUGGUAGGAAGAAAAAAAACCAACCAUCAUUUGUUAACUUAUUGCUUUUCAAUCAAAAUUUUAAGAACAAAAUGCCAUGUGCUUUGAACAUCAAAUAAGUAUAAGCAUUAGUUCUAAAUUCCACAUAUUAUAAGUUGUUAGAAGGAUAAGUUAAUAGCAUAGUAGAAAAAUCUAUGUGUUGGUAUUUAGAGGGGAAAGUACCUGGCGAACCACAACAUAAUCAUCAAUUGAAAGACUUAGCUCUCCAUUUGCUUGAUCAUCAAAUGGAUGUAUAACCUGCAAGAUAAUGGGAUAAAUAGAACUUAAAAAAAGCAUAACAAAAGCAGCAACAGCAGCAGCAGCAUUCAUUGUAACCACUAUGAUCAUGGCCAACAAAGAUAUAUUAGAAACAAAAUUCCAUUUUUACUACGACUUUAAUAUGUACUAUACGAUAUCAUGACGAUUGGGUUAUCAAGUGCUAUCAAAGUCUAAUAAGUUCUGUAUAACUUUAUAUAGUUAUUUUAAUUAUGGAUCAAAUUUUAAAUUUGAAAUUUUGACUGCUCUCCACAAAAUAUGGCCUAUGCACAAGAAAGUCAUAGAUAAUGAGGAUUACAAGUGUCCGACAUCUUUUGAGUGAUGGAUUUAACAUGAGAGCUUAUGGUCAGUCAAUUUCCUCUGCCUAGCAAUAUAAGCUUUCUCGGCCAGAUUUAUCAUCAAAUACAUAGAUUGCCCCCAAGUCACAUCCAUAUAAACAUAGUUUUCUAGGUAAACCAAGUAAGGAGAAUCAUAAUUUAGACAUAAUCAUAAAAAGGCCCAUCUAACUUAAGAGAAAAUCUCAAAAAGAGGGAUGUUGAGCUAUCAGUCUUGUAUCUAUAAGCAAUAUCAAGACUUUACAUCACCUGCUACAUCGUGAGUGGCUACACAACUUUCAGUGGUUUGUCUUUCUUUGGCAUGCCUAACUCAGCUUUGAUGUUGCUGAGAUAUUGAUAGUAGAGACACAUGAUACUUCUAGCUCAUGCAUUUUAUCUAGCUCAUCCGACAACUAUUUCUUUUUUAAUUCAUUAGUGUUUGCUAAACCUCAUGCUCAAAAGUCCUGUUCUCCUAAACAAAGUUUCCUAAGAAUGACUUCCUCAACACAACAUUUGGACACUUUUAGAGCAAUUUUAUUUGGAGGAAAAGAAUUUUCAAGGUGUUAACUAAUAAAUUUUAAAAUAUAAUUACAAUUUGUCCUACGAUCAUAUGACAAUUUAUUUGGGAUGAAAGGAUACAGACAGACAUCUUCCACUUUCAAGACUAAUCACUACUUCCGUAGAUGUUGUGCAAUGAUACAAAUACUUGACCAGAUGGUAGUGAUGGUAGAAAAAAAUUUAUUGCUCCAAAAUUAAAAUAAGAAUGCAAUAUGUUAAGCAAAAGACUGUGCAACAUCAAAUUAAUUGAUGAGUUUGUAAUUCAGUAAAUUAACAACUUUCAUGGUAAAAUACAACAAGUUUCUUUUAAAAAAAAUAAAUCUUAAAAGACAGCAUUCAUUUUUGUGCGCAUGUUAUUUCUUAAGAUUUUUCAGGAGGAGGGCAAUAGAGGGACUUUCACCUAUGCAAGAGAGCAGAAGCCUUACUUUUGCUAUAAAGUAGACGUCAUUCUGAUUAAUAUGCGUUUGAAUCAGCUCCGUUUGCUAUAAAGUAGACGUCACACAUGAGGCAUUUACAUCCAUUUCCAAAGUCACAUGUUGCGAGGAGGACUCAUUUGAUUGCUCCUCUAGGAUCAUCUAAUGCAAGUAGUAAGGGUUGGAAGAAAAUAAAAAGUCACAAUUAUUCUUUUGCGUAAGUGAGACGAAAAUGAUAAAUGCAAUAUUAUCAGCAGUAAACAAGAAGAGAACGCUCCAAGGAAUAGAUAGAUGCAGACAAGCAAGUUAAAAUGCAUAGUCCCAAACCUCCGCAUACAACUUCUCUAAAAUAGCAAUAACGUGUUGAUGAUAUGUUUUCUCAGCAUCUACCUGCAAAGGCCCGAGACCAGGAAAACGGCAAUAAAACCACUAGCUAAAGGAGAAAGUAAAGAAAGAAAUACACUUGACAUAAAUCUUGACAAGAAGCACAGUUUAAACCCCAAUCAUAUUGUUUAGAACUACCAUUCGUUAUUGUAACAUUUCGAACAAGUGUUGACUUAAUUCAACAUUGUUGGAAAGAUAGGCUUUUAAAAGCGGAAGAAAGCCACUCAAACCAAAGUGAUUGUCCUUGUAUUGAUCAAGGGAUGUAAACAUAUUACAUUUGCAGGAUAAGUUUUAAUUAAUCACUCCCCUGAUUUAUUUGGGUUGCAGUUUAAUUUGUGAAUUUCGUUAUUGUAACAUUUCGAACAAGUGUUGACUUAAUUCAACAUUGAAAAAUUAUUCAAUAAAUUAUGCAAACAUUAAAAUAGAGGACAUAUUAAAAAGUUUCUAAUUACAAUGUUAAUAUUUCCUAUAUUUUAGCAUUUGCAUAUUUUAAUUUAUUUAAAAGCUACGUCGAUCAACUUUGGGCGUGAAGAUUUUAGCUUCUACGAGACUUGAUUGGAAUAUGCAUAAGGAAGAGUGUUAAAAUAUGAUGCAUCCAACGAAAGACAAACCACGUGUAGUCUUUUAAUUAAGCCAAAGUAGCAGCUCAAACAAAUGACACUUGGACCAACAUGCAAUCAUGAAGUGGCCGGAAAAAGGACAAAUGCAACUUUGGCUUAAAUAAAAAAUAACAUGUGACUUGACUUUUGCUGGACAUGCAUCAUGUUAUUACAAGACAACAGAAAUCAGUAUGAUAGUACUAAAAGUUGACAAUAACAUGAAGAUAAGAGGCAGAAUAUCAACACAUGCAUAGGCACACACAAGGAAGUAUUAACUUAUAUACCAUAGCAAAAAGUCUUUGAUAUGUCAUCUGUUGCUGCUGUGAUUCAACUGACAGCAUGGCAGUUGUCGCUUCUCUACCAAGAGCCAUUAUUGUAGAUUUAAGCUCGGUCAAUCUUGCUUCUGCAUUUCGAAGCUUCACAGCACUCUCUGCUGAUAUAUCAGAUUCCCUAAUCUUUGAUCGGCGCCUAAAUACUUCAGCUGCCUGGUGAAAAUAUUCAAUAUAAAUCUAACAUAAUUCUAAUCUUGCCUUAUACAUGCAUAUGUUAACUCAAAGCUUACCUGGGCUUCAACUUCAUGUCGAAGUUUGUCAUAACGAUGAGUCAGGUGUCGAGCAUCUUCCAAAGGUGCUCCGUUGAUUAACGCCCGUAGUGGCUCAGAUACCUACAUGUCCAAAAACCUGUAACAUAGUUAGAAAAAUGAAAAGAAAGAGCGAAACCUCAAUUAAAAAGUUCCUCCAACAUAAUCAUGGAAUUUGGGCCUACUUCAAGGACAUAUAUAAGGAUAAUUUAUGCAAUUUUGGGUCUUAGGAUGAUUGGCAUUAGGUUAGUGUUCUUCUCUUCUGUAUUUAAGGUUAAAAUAGAAAUAAACCUAUGAAAAUAUCUAAAUUAGGGCUGUAAGACUUCCACAUGCAUCCUUCAGUCUCAUGGAUUUGAUUUUACUAUAGAUGCAAGUGUCUUUAUCGAAAAUGCUUGGAGUCAAUUGAGAGAACUCACGGCCAAUAACUUGUCACACGCUAGUCUUUGCUAGUGAUGUAAGAAGUCACAAGGUCUCUUCAACAUUUGAACCCAUAAAAUUAUUAAGUCAUGGAUGUCACUAGCAAUGAUUUUAAUAUAAAACAUUAAAUAUUUCAGAGUUGUAACGUUAAAAUUCUUUUAUUCAAUAUCUUAGAACUAAGUUUCCUUAUGAGAAGAUAAUAGUUUCAGUAGUAAUUUACAUAUAAUUUUCUAUAUUUGAAUUAUUUUCUAGUUAGGGAUGAACUAACCUGAUCACCAAGAAUCCCAAGCAAAGUUUCCCUCUCAUUUUCCAUCAAAUCAUGUGAAGUGCCAAAUUGAAGAGCAGCUCUUGCAACGCAAGAAUUGUCACUUUGAUUCUCCGCUCCAUACUUGCAACAAUCUUCAGCCAACUUUCUCGCUACAAUAUUUGAAUACAAAAAUAUUGUGCACAAGAACUAGUCAAGAAAAAAAAAAUCAAAUAUUAUAACGAAUGCAAGAGCAAACAAACAACCUAUUUCCAUUUGUUUCAAGCUUACUGCAACAAGCCCUUCAAUGCCACGAACAAUAUUCCUCUGAAAAUGCUGCGCUACAGAGCAUAUAUUCCAAAUUAUUGUUCAGAUAAAACCAUAGAAACCAUCAUAAUUAUUCAACAUACAUUAAGCUCCGUUUGGUAAAUACUUGCAACUUCAGUCUAGAGAAUACAGUUCUAUAUAUGUAGCAGUCUAAAGGAGGAUGGUGCCUUAGCUGCCCUGGUGGAAUUGUAUAGAUUUUGAAGUUGUUGGUGACACUCAAUUUCAGCUUCAUCAACUGCCUGUACAAAUCAUAAAAAACUAAUGAAAAAAAUAAAUAAAAUCGAGAAAUUUCACUAAUUAAAAGUCUAAAUAUAAUUUUAAAAAAGAAAGAAACGCACUUGGUGCUGCUUGGCGACUUGUUCUCGGAGCUUGAUUGCCUGUUUCUUGAUAGCUUCCAUACUGUUUCUUUCAAAAAGCGGCGACGGCUCAGCUCAUGGAAGUUGGGGAAAAAAAAAAGUGUGAUCAAGAAAAUAAAAAGGCAUAUUAUUGUUGACAAAAUGUGAAAAUAAAAAAGAAAAAAGAAAAUUAUAAGUUUGAAAGGAGAAGAUGAUAGUGGAAGAGUGCGGCGUGGCUGCCAGCUACUUGGAUUGUAUUGUCGGGUAAGGUAAUUGUAGAAAAUUAUAAGUUUGAACAGAGCAUGUUAGACUUUUGUUGACCAAAUUCAAAAGGCAAAUGGUACGGCCCAGAAGCUUUGGAAUACAGUAACUUACAAGAAAGCUCCAUUUAUUCUUCUUAUACUUUACGCUUGCAUCAGCUUAAAUCACUUCUUAAUCGCUUGCUUUAACUGCGCCGCUUUGUACUGUUCUAUAUAUGUAGCAGUUAUGCGGAUGUAGUUCACGGCUGAGGGUACGUGUUUGUUUGACGUGGUAGUUACGUUACGACGUUACGAGAGUAUUAUUAGUUAUUUCACAGGGAUAAAUAAGAUUAGUCACAAUAAACCCACUAGUUUUAUAAAAUUCGAGUAAUAUAGAAUAAAAUAAAAAAUGAAUACAAAAUUGACUUUUAUUUUUUAUGGUUGACUAUAUUUUGUGUUCUCUUCUGGUACUACUACAAUUGUUCCCUGUAUAUCACUCAUACCCAUAUAUCAUUGACACAAGAAAUGAAAUCUAAUGUCAGAUGUUUAGUUAAAGAAUCACUUAUGAAAAAAUUUUACCAUUUUGAUUUGAGGAUCCCUAUUUUGAACUGCAAGCUAAUGUUCAUCAAGAACAGAGUAUGGCAGUUGAGUAGAAAAACUAUUUUUGGACAAAUUGUUUUUAUUGAUAGAAGAAUUUCUCAAGGGACUACUAAAAUUAUUAAAAAAAAAUGUCAAACACGCCCAUAUAUCAUCAACACAAUUGGUUUUGAGAAUCCAUACUUUAAACUGCCGCCUAAUAUUCAUCAAGAGCAGAGCAUGGCUUGUGAGUAGAAAAUUUUCUGAUUUUGGCCCCAAAUAAUCCAGCACUUUCUCAUGAAGAAAUGCAUACAAAGCAUACCAUGGUACCAUACAAUACAAGGAGUCUCCGUUCUCUAGUUUUUCAAACUCUAAAGGGGCCAAUACUCCCUAAUUCCCCCUCGAAAAUUCUGAUUAUGACAUUAUUCAUCCCUCGAUGCAAUCAAAGUAGUGACAAAGUUAGGAAAAAUAUGAGUCCUAAGUAAUUGCUAGGCAGGGCUCCUGUGAGCAAAAUUGUCCUAAGCAUUAUAUGCAUACAUGGUGUGGUACAUAAAGCACAAUGAAUUCCACACUAUAACACAAACCCAGAAAGAGAAGAAACAACUUAAUUGAUGUAAAGACAAAAAGAAGAUAAAAUGAUAUAGAAAAAAAAAUUCAAAGAGAUAGCAACAUACUAUAGACUGAAGCCACUUGAUCUGCUCAUUGAUUGCAGCCUUAAACUUGCAAAUAGUUACCGUAAGCUAGUGCUAUAAGAAGUGAAAAUGAUGCACACCCUGAUUCCCUUCGACUUCCAUUUACUGUCAAACAUUCUAUUAAUACAAAAAAAUUGUUCAAAUAUCUUGCCAUAAAUAUAGCCGUUUGACUGGCUUAAUAAAGUCACAAAUAACCAUUCAUAUUGAUCCACAGUGUCACACCGCCUGCUUUAUGCAUACAACAGCUGUAUGUAUACCAACUCCUAACCUUAUCAAUACAUUUGGCAAAAACUUAAGAAGAAAACUAUUUCUCCAUCUCUUUUUUGAAAUUUCACAAUAAACCAGCAUAUUGUAAACGUUAUGUUGUAACCUUAUGAUAAAUGCUCUAGACUCCAAAUGAAUUUUAUAUAUGAGGGUUUGUUGCAGCAGAUAUAUUGACUUAUCAAGUAUGAAUCAUUGUCUAGAAGAACUAUCUUUAGAUAAAAGAAUAUUAGAACCAUUCUAGAAUAUCUUUAGGUUGCUAGUUCUAACAGGAAUCUGCAUGUGGCAACAGUUGCCAGAUCCACAAUUCCCCAACUUGAAAUACAUAGUUGCACACCGUGAGAUAGUGCUGCAAUCUACUGAGAUCUAACUUAUAUGAUACUUUAAGCUACUAAUGUUUGCAUAUUUCUACAUGUUAAAUUGACACUACCAUCUAUAAUCACUCUAAAACGACAGAUGAUAAGCAGCUUUUGGCUACUUAUUACUAGCAUCCACAAUUAAUUUUUGUUCAGCAAUCAGCUUAUUUUAUAGAAAUUGAUUUAGUCAGCAACAAACACUAUAAUCCUUGAAAUUAGUUCUUGUUCUUUGUAAUUUUCUAUGAUUUUUCAUACAUCAAUUAAUCUGCAGUGCCAAGAUGAGGUUUGGUUUUUCAAACUAAAUAAUCAAGUAGCAAAAAUACAAAUUUAGAGAUUAGGGGGUGAACUAGCUAGGUGGUUUACAAAUAUUCCUAUUUGUAAGGUGAAUUAAUUGAAUCAUGAGAAAACAAUGUGACCAUAGCUCAAUAUGAGAUGAUUUCGGAGAGGCAUAUUGUUUUCAAGUGAAUUUGAUCCAUUAAGAGAUGAAGUGGAUUGAAGUGGAAAGUUUAAAUAACAAAUCCUUGUUCUUGAGUUUUACGACGUUGUUACUCCUUCAGGUGGCAGAUUAUGCAAGUGAAUUCAAAAACACAAUGCAUCAAUCACGGGGAUGCUACACCAAAAGACGGGAUCAUAGUCUAUGCAUUGAACAGUUACAGUUGCUGCUACCAAUUGACUCGGCAAAGAUCAAGAAGACUGAACGGGAAGUUAAUGCCAUCAAUGUCGUCUUCACUAUAGCUGCUGGGAAUGUAGGUGAACUUUCCUCAUUUGCGGCUGUCUAUACAUAGGCUUUUCCCCAGCUUAAGUACAAAUAAAUGAACCUGCUUUGAAGGCUUUAUUAUUGACCACAAUAAGGAUUACUAAUUGAAGAAGACUAUACGGAGUUAAUCCCACACUUUCGUUCUCUCAAUUUCUUUCAGAAGUGCCUCUGAAAAUAGCUGCCAAACCGUUAGUCAGCUUGUUAGACUCUGUUUUCUGGAAACAGAGCCCUAACUAACUGACUGUACAGAGUAAGUCAACAUAGCAUAUUUAAUCGUUUUAAUUGAAUUGUCUUCGUAGCGAUCAUCAACAAACUCAUCAUGAGAUUUUUGAAGCACCCAAGGACUAUCACUGGGUUUCUCUUCUGGUUGAUUAAUUAAUUAAUCAAAGAACGGUUGGAUACCCAAGGACAAUUAAAAUUAUUCGACUUCUGGAACUGGGAAUGAAGUGCAAUGAUGGAGCAAAAUUUACAAUGUCUCCGGUUUCUCCUACCAUCGGACUUUUGCAGUGAGAACAUAUAACAAAAAGGCCUUCAUCAAAAUUUGUAGACUCCGGGUAUGGAUUGGAUCGAUUUUUUUGUUUGAUAUUGAAGAACCUCUUUACUAUCGCGAUAUAGAUUAUGUGCAAGGAGUUGUCUACUGUUCUUUGCCUUGUGCUAUGAUCGGUGCUCUUGAGGCUGCCCUGAAACACAGGAAAAUACUUCGAUAUCCUCCGUUCGAUGAUGCAAAGAACCGGUUAAUGUAUGAUUACCUAAUUGACUCAGGAUCAGGUAACAACAACAACAAUUUAUUAAUAUCACAAACGAAGAAGAUCGCGGAGAGGGAGAUGUAUGCCUAUACUGUUUACAGGUUUGAUCCAUUGGGGAUGAAGUGGUCUCAAGUCGAAAGUGAUUUAUUAAACAACAAAUCAUUGUUCUUGGGUUAUACCUCAUGAUGUCAUCAAGUGGAAGAUUAAGAUUAUGCAAGACGAAGAUCGUUUGAUAUUGAAGAAUUUGAACAGAAAGCCCAUAGAAAGUACUUAAAAAAGCAUAUUCUUGUUGGGGUAGAAUAUUGAGAAAGGAGUUGUCUACUGUGUGUUGCGUGAUUAUGCUAUGAUCUGUGCUUUGAACAUUGCCCUGAAAACAGUGGAAAAUACUUCAUAUCCUCGACAUGAUGAUAAAAAAUUGGUUACCGAUUACGUAACUGACUCAGGUGACAACAAUCCAUUAAUAGCACAAUUUGAGGUGAUGCCGUUUAGGUAUAUGGUUAACAGGUUUGAUUCAUCAAUGAUGAAGUGGGCUUAAAUUAAAAGAUCAUAUAAUAAGUCGUUCUUCUUGGGCAUAUCGUCAUUACUACUUCAAGUGAUCAAAGAUGAAGAUGAAGAUGAAAAUUGUGCAAGUGAGUUCAAGAAUACCAUACAUCGUUACUUGGGAUACUUCUUCAAAUAUGGAUGGGGUCAUAAUUUACUCCCACGAAUUUCAACCCAAUUUUAUGAUUGGAGUGUCCCACCAUGACUCAGAAAAAUUUUGAUUCAACCUCCUCCACCAAUGGAUUUUGAUUAGUCACUUUGUGAUCAAGCAACUUAAUUAAACUCAGAGAGUCAGAGUUCGAUUUUGCUGGCACCGCAUUUUCUUUAAAAUGUGGCCAUGUAAGGAGAGCGGCACAUAAUGUCACUUCCUUAUCAAGCACUUUAAAGAGGGAUUUUAGAAGAAGAUACAACUGCAAUUGUUUUCGUAUGUAUAUAUAUAAACAACAGCACACAUUCAGUUCAUAAAAGAAAUUUUUGCUAACCAUGAUAUGUGGUAGUGCUUUUUAGGCAAUUUAGAAACAGAGUUGUUCAACUUACAGCAGGUAUUCUCCUCAAGUUCGACGUAAAUACAAAUAUUAAUUAGAAUCCAUAUUAUAAUGACACACAUAACUUGCUUCAAAAUUAUCAGAAAUUAAAAUUGCUGAUUCAUAAUGCAGAUAACUUGGAUGAAUUGAUGUUAAAGGAAAAAUCACAGGCAUAACUUGGAGAGCAAUUGCGACAGCAGCCAAGUAUAUAUUUUUAUUUGAGAGUUGAGAAGAAUAUAUUUAAUGAAGCUUGAUAACAUUUGAUGGGAUAGCAAGUAAGGGUAAAUAAGAUAUUUUUAUUUGUUAUUUAUUUGAAUUAUAUCUAUUUUGUUCAAGUUAAAAUACUAAAUAUAAAUUGGAGGUAGACAUUUUAACAGAUCAUCUAAGCUCUCAAAUCUGAAAUUUUGUGUAGAUUUAAAUUCAUAAUUUUAGUUAAUUUUCAUUCAUUCAUAUAAACAAAUUUAUGAGAUUUUUCUUUUCAGCAUGUUAUAUUUUGAAACUUUCAAUGUAUUAUUCUAGCUUUAUUUAAACAAUUAAUUUAUUUAAUUUUGAAUUUGAUCAGUAGUAAAAUUAUUUUUAUAUCAAAUUUUUUUUAUUUAAAUAGUUCGUGGAUUGGACAAAAUUAAAAAAUUUUAAUCUACAAAAUGGUGGAUUAGAUAUGAAUUGGGUUAAAUCCACAUUCGAUUUGCAGUCGUAUGAAUUUGAUUUGGAUUGAAUUUCAUCAAUCCAUGGAUUAGAUUGGAUUGAAAAUUUAUUAUCCGCAAAAUCGUGGAUCGAAUAUGGACUGAUGUCCAAUCAGCAAAAUCCGAUCCCCGAACACGCCUCUAUCAAAAUUUUCAAGAAUAUGUUUUAUCUUACAAAUUUUUUUUUAAAGUCAUAAUCUAAUGGCAGCCCAAUUUUAUAAAGUCACACACAACCAUUCUUAUUAAAUUAGAAAGAUCAAACACUGCACUGGAUCUUGAACAGAUCAACACAAGUUGCACAACUUGCGAUUGAAUCCGGCCUGAAACAAUCAACUCUUUAGCAAGAACAAUUAAUCAGAGUCAAGAAACAAGUUUAAUGAAUAUAAACCUAUAAUUGAAACAAACAUAGCAAAGAAAAAAAAUACAGAUUUUACACGGUUCAGUUGUACCUAGGAUGGCACAACCUACACCACGAGAGAAGCUUUCUGGUGAGAUUUUAUUGAUGAUCAAAGAAGAAUCUUUUGACAAAGCUAAUAAUAGAGAUUUCAGAGAAUAAGCUAUAACCUCUCUCCCUCUUCAAUCUCUCUCUAUUUUGUUCCCAUUGAUGACCCCAAUCUGCUUAGUUAGCCAGCUUUAUAGCUGCAUCAGUAACAAACCAGCAAACCCAGAUUGAGCAGAUUGACGACACGUGGAUAACGGCUUUAACGAACCUGGUUAAGAACUGCUCACAUGUUCGUCACGCGUACUGCUUAAAUGAUGGCCAAAACGACUUCAAACAAAUGUCGUUUUGAGGCUUAUGAAUUACAAGUGAUAACACGAGAUUGUCUCAUGACUUUUAAAUGCAACAACGUGCCCAAAACGCUGUCGUUUUACUCUGUUGAGUUUGAUUCAUUACUAAGCUUUACGACUGGCAAUGGAGAAGAUGAUAAUUUAAUUGAUAUGGACAGUUUUUAUAUCACUUUUACAAAAUCCUAUGCAAUUGUAAUAUUGGGAAUUAUUGAUGUUUUAUAUGUGAAUCCUCAUUGGCAAAAACUAGUGGUUUUAUCUUUGUUGAAAUGUAGAUUACCUCUCGUUACUAUUUUAUUAUAAACAUAUAGUUUCGUAAGUGAAACUAUAUAUUUAUAAUAAAANNNNNNNNNNNNNNNNNNNNNNNNNNNNNNNNNNNNNNNNNNNNNNNNNNNNNNNNNNNNNNNNNNNNNNNNNNNNNNNNNNNNNNNNNNNNNNNNNNNNCAUUUCUGCCUCAUUAAGAUUCUCAAAUACCAGUCAGGUUUGCUUAAGAAAUAAAAUUUUUCCAUUAAAAUUGCAGUAGUAUUUCCAAGCAUAUCGCAUUUUCUAUGAUUUUUCAUAAAUUAAUUAAUCUGCGGUGCCAAUAUCAGAUUUAGUUUUUCAAACUAAAUAAUCAAGAAAGCAAACAUACAAAUAUACAGUUUAGAGGGGUAAACUAGGCAGGUGGUUUAGAUUUUAGAACUAAGGCAGCUACCUCACUAAAUUCCGAUUCGUACAGUGAACUGCAAGAAAUUGAGAAAACAAUGUAUUUAUAAUUUAAUAGAAUCAUAACAGAUGAAGUGGAAUGAAGUUGAAAGUUUAAAUAACAAAUCCUUGUUCUUGAGUUUUUACGACGUCGUUACUCCUUCAAGUGGCAGAUUAUGCAAGUGAAUGCAGAAACACAAUGCAUCUUCCGCGGGAUGAUACAUCAAAAGGCGGGAUUUGUUUAUGCCUUCAGAUUAGCAAUUUCACUCAUAUAGAAAAUUAAUUUUUUAUAUAUACUAAUCAACACUAAAUUGAUUAUGUGUUGUAUGUUUAUAUGCUAAUCAACACGAAAUUAUAUUGAAUUAUUAACAUUCAUAUUCCUAAUAAAAAUUAUUUUCCAUUAGUAUUCAAAAUUUUCACUUAUAGAAAAUGCAUUUUACGUGAAUACUAGUUAUUGUGUAAAUUUGAAUGAUAGCAAAAAAUAAACCUAUUUGAAAACUGUAAGGGUGUGUUGGGAUAUUUUACAACUGUCGGAAUCUGGUAGGAUAUUGCACCAUUUGCCCAAUAUUUUUAGACGUACUCUAACCGGUAUUCAAGAUAAGUAAAAUUUACAAGCGUGGCAAAAUAAAAAAAAUUAAAUUCGUAAUUUGUAAACGAAUUUUCCUGACAUGUAUAGUAGAUGAAGUUGUUGACCCUUUCUUUGGAUUAUUUCAGCUCUGGUUGUUGGUCACCGAUGAGCCGAAGUCUUAUUUUAAUUCUAUUUAAACUCAUCAUAAGAUUCGUGGAGCACCUAACUAACUUAACUGACUGUGCAGAGCAUCUCAACAUGGCAAAUUUAACCAUCAUUCAAGUGAUGGGUUUAAUAAGACUGCUUUUGUUCUACCAAGUUCCUCCGCCUCUAAGCAGAAUUACUAUUGAAGGGCCAAAUGGAAAAUGAAAACGUGUGAACUCCAACAACCACCCCACAAAUUCAAUGACGAUGCUCGGAGAGGGUUAGGUUGGGCCUCUGAGAAAAAAAAAAAUUAUUUAGUUAAAAAGUUACCCUUAUUGAAACCUGUAUAAAAAUUUUAUAUUAAUUAGUUAUGUUGCCUCUUCAACUAUGAUCAAAUUUUUAUCUGAGCUCAUCAUUUAAUGAGUAAACAUGUAUUUUAAUGAUCUCAAUUAAUAUUUAGAACAAAUAUUUUAAGAAGUAAAGCUCAUUAUAUCCCCCAUUAUUAUGUAUCUCUGUAAUGUAUUGAAUUAGAAGAAAAAAAAAAUUCAACUCACUCAAAAAAAAAAAAAUGCUGGUAGCUUCGUAAUAAUUACUGUCUUGACUGCACCAGAUAAAGUUUUGUAAAAGAAUUCUGAUAUUUACCCCGGGUCAAACCCCGAAAAUAACUUAAACGGUGUCGUUUUGAUUUUUUUUUUUUUUAUACUCCAAAACGUUCUUACCAUUUCCGUUUCACUUACCAUUUAAUGCUCACAACUCAAAUAAAAAGCCCAGAAACUAGAAUCAAACUUUACAGAAACUAGAAUGCCCAGAAACGUUGUAUAGCAGGAACGUAUGUAAAGAGAGUAAACAAGAGGGAUUAAACAGAACAUACGUUUUCUUCACUUAUUAUUAGCAACAAACACCCUACACAACACACAUUUAAUGCUCACAACUCAAAUAAAAAGCCCAGAAACUAGAAUCAAACUUUACAGAAACUAGAAUCAAACAAUACACAUUUCAUUUCUUCAAGGUUAGGGAGAGACUCAGGGGAGUGAUUAAUUAACAAAAAUAAGAAUAAUAAUACCAACAUUUGUACAGGUCAAAUAAGAAUAAUAAUACUCAACCUAAUACCCAGUAUAUACAAACAAAUGCCCAGGCCAUCGUUCCUAUUUUGCCAUAACCUAAAGAGGAAAAAGCGAAGCACUACCUCAGGCUGUGAACUUUGCCGCUUCGUGAGUUUAAUUUCCCGAACAAGUUUCGGCUACCAGCGUUACCAGUGUUGACGGUGACCGUGGCUGUCAGCGUUGACGGUGACCGUUGGUGGAUCCCGAAUGCCUGGACCUUGGUCGAGGAAGGAAAGUAACGAAUUUUUUGAACAAACGAAGAAACGAAGCACCGAAGAGAUUUACGGUCAAACGGAACAAGACCAACUUGCUCUUCUAUCUAUGGCUUUCCCAGUUGAAACGAAGAAACGAAGAGGAAGAGGUUUAAUUCUUCUCAAAAUCGUCCAUCAGAAACGGCAACGUUUUGGAGUAUAAAAAAAGAAAAAAAAAUCAAAACGACGCCGUUUAAGUUAUUUUUCGAGUUUGACCCAGGACAAACAUCAUUUUCCUUUGUAAAAUAAUAAGUUCUCAUUAGUGGUUUUUAAUUUUUAAUUUUUUUUUCGGCACACCUGAUCAAGAAUUCUAUUUUGUUAACUAAUAAAUUGCAAAGCAUAAGUGUUGAACGGUACAAAAAAAUUUGAAAAAAAACACUUAAAACGUAGGGAAAUGAGAAAUAUAGAAAGAAAGGAAGAAAGUUAAGACAUGAAACUGAUCUGCCGUGAAAUUGAUAAUCAUGUUUCUAUUUCGUUAACUAAUCAAACGGAAAACUGGAACUGUAAACAAACAUUAACACGUGUGGACUCUGCUAGCUGCCCUACAAGUCUACAAUAAUAAUUGAGUACCUUUGAUUCAUCCUUCUACGAAUUUCUAGCUGUAUUGACCCCAACUGCUAAAGUUUUGUAAAAUUAAAAAAAUAAAAAAUAAAAACUGGAAUUUCAACAAAAUUCAAAACGUGAGAAAUUUAAUUUUUGGCCAUGUGGAACAAAAUGUAAAUUACGGAAAAAGUAUAAAUCUCAAUUGCUUAGUAUGGUUAGGUUUUGUGAGCAUCACUAGAAAGUGAAAACUAUGAAUGAUAGGGGUGAUGUUUGCAACAUGAAUAAACGAUGAACUGAAUCAAUUGAUGAUCGUAAUUAUAUAAUGAACAAAAUUUACAAAAUCAACAAAAGUUAAUAAAAAUUUAUUUUAAUAAUAAAAAAUAAUAAAACUUAUUAUUUAACGGCGCUCUAACCAUGGAGUGCCAUAAUCAUAUUCUUCUUUUAAGAAAAUUAUAACUUAUUUCAAAUAGCACCAUAACAUAAUUCUAGAUAUUUAAAAGAAAAGCAUUAUCCACCUGAAAUGACUUGAAGUCUAAAGAAAAAGAGAGAGUGGCUCCCCACAAUUUUCUUGUUUUCAGUAUAUUUUCUUUUUUUUUUCUUUUUAAAAUCUUUUGACGCAUACAUAAUCUACCCUUGUUCAUUAUCUCUAUUUUGCUCUGUUCAAGUCCCUUUUUUUCAAAUCUUAGUUUAAAUAAGAAAAUUGAAUAAAAGUACAUUUGUGUAAUUAAUUAGUAUCUGUUUUUUUUGGGGGGGGGGGGGGGGGGGGGGGGGGGGGAGGGGGAGGAUAUUUGGUGUAAUGUUUUGCUAUGUAAGACUCAGCUAUUAUUAAACAGUUCCUUAACCUGUUUCGCAGUUUAUUUGCUAUCUUUGUGGAUCUCAUAGGCGUUGCAGAAUUUAAUAAUUUUAUUCGUCAGAAGAAUAGGAUACUGACUUCAAUAAAUUUAAUUUAAACCAACUUUUAUUUACUCCAUCAAUUAAUUAAUGCCAUUUUGUUUUGAAAAAUUCAAUAAUUAAAUUCUCACGUUUUAUGUGUUUGAAGUUAAAUUAUUCAUUAACUAGAACUCUGUUCAAAAUUGACUGUCUUGUGGUUCCCAAAUGUAGUUGUAAUAUUGAAUGAAAGUAAAAACUUUCUAUGGCGAGUUUAAAUCUAAAUCUGAACAAUGAAUUUUGACUUUCUCAAUGCUAUUCUAAUUACAAAAAUUAUAUUGAUUGAUUUAUUGUUACAGUUACUACCCUUUGAAAAUGUAUGGAUUUAUUGUUUCCGUGACCAAAUUAUGCCUGCCUAACGCUGCAACUAUUAAAAAAACUAAUAUUUAAUGCAUGUGUUAAAAGAUUUAAAAUUUUAUGCAUUUAUUAAUUGUUAUAAUCUAAAAAAAUUAAUUAGUUCAGGACAAUCUGAGUUGGUGCAUCUGCAGAGCCUUUUUUUUUUCCCCCCUUAUUGACCAUAAUGAUCUAAGGGGUAUAAUACGACCUUGGUUCUUGGUAAAAAUUAAUUAGUUCAGGUCAAUCUUUUAUGCUCUGUUUUCUAGAAACAGAGUCCUAACUAAAUUGAUUGACUGUACAGUGCAUUUCAACAUAGCAUAUUUAACCGUUUUAACAGUUAUUUGAACCGUCUUCAGAGUUAACAUCAACAAACUCAUUCAUAUUGGUCCAAUCUUACGGCCGAUAUCAUAUUAUCAUAUGCUUAAUAAUGAACAAAUAGUCUUGGAUCAGUGUUUUGCAGCAAGAGCAACUCGACACAAUCUGGAUUCAACCUCCUCCUAUCUAACAGGGGAUUUCGAUUUGAGUUACUUUGUGCUCAAGCAAAUUCACAUCAUAGUUUUGAUUCUUUAGGUAUGAAUUCAUCACAUUACAUAUAUCAGAUUAAGUGUAACAAAAUUUUUAAUUUAUUGCGAAAAGAAUACGCGCUAAAAAAUUAUUUGACGACUAUUUGAUUACCAAAAGCUGCUGUUAGAGUGCACUAAAAAUCGCCAUUGGCAUAAAUAUUUUUUGAAAAUACUGCCAUUAGAUAUUUUUAUUAUUCAUACUUCAUUGCACAAGGCAGCACCUAGCUUCUAUUUCCAGCCCUAAUAAUGAUCCGCUGCUGGAAAAGAAUUUGUGCAGCAUGUACGCUCCUUGACCACAACAGCAAAGUUUAUUGAUGUUAUUUCAUAUUCUGCUGUGACUCAAAUAAAAAUUUACCAUGCCCUUUCGGCAUGGCUUGCCUUUCAGCAAAAAAAGAAAAAAAAAAAUCUUUCAAAUUGUGGAAGCAUGCUUACAUUAAUCAGCUCAGUAUGUUGUGUUUCAUGGGAUGCAAAAUUCUUUUUGUUUCUCAUGGAAGAAUUGACUUGUCUGGAUGUAUUAAUCUCAUAGAUUUUCCACAGAUUCGUGGGAAUAUAACAAAGCUAGACUUAAGUGAGACCCCAAUAGAAGAAGUUCCGUCAUCAAUAGAGUGCCUAGCUGAUCUUAAAACGUUGCGUUUGAGUAAUUGCAUGAGGCUGAAGAGGCUUUCCAUCAAGCAUUUGUAAAUUGAAAUCUCUUCUUGAGCUUUAUCUCUAUAACUGCUCAAACCUUGAAAGUUUUCAAGAAAUCAUGGAGAAAAUGGAACGUUUAAAGAUAUAAAUUUAAAAAGGACGGCCAAUUACAGAGCUGCAAUCUUGAUAGCCUUCGGGAUAACAUUAGAAAUUUAAAAUCUUUGAGGUACAUCUCUACUAAUGGAUCGGCCAUUAGUCCUCUGUCGCAGGUUCGAUUGUACUUAAAUAUCUAUCAUUUUCUCAAUGCAGAGGUUUGGUAUCAUUGCCUCCAAUAUUAUUUUCAGGUUUAGUUUAUCGAAUUUGUUACAGCUAAAUUUAAGGGACUCUGCUAUAAUGGAAAUUCCCCAAAAUAUUGUUUGUCAAUCCUCAUUGAAAAUUUUAAAUCUAAAGGCUUGUUUGUUAACUACUUGAAGUAUGUAAUUAAUGCUUUUUUUUGUGUAAUUUAUGUUUGAUUUUGAGAUAUUUACAUUUGAAUAAAAAAAAAAAACUUUUGUUACAUUUAUCUAAAUAAGAAAAAGGCUGAAUGAGAAGUAAAUAAUCUCCUUUUUUGUUUUAACUUAGAAAAACAUAAACGUUAACUAACUAUGUUUAAAAAAAAUUUUAUUUAUGAAAAGAAACCAAAUACUACUUAUAUUCAUAUAUCAAAAAAUGAAAAACAAACAUAUUAUUCAUACGUGCACGCACAAACUCAUUCAGACCUCAGCUACAUACAAAUCCAUUUAGAUUUCAAACAAAAAAAUAAAUACUUCCUAAGUGGGAAUAACUUUGAGAGUUGACUUGCAAAUGUCAAGCAACUUGCAGGGCUAGAAUAUCUUGACUUGAACGGUUGCAAUGAUUUCUCAUCAUUGAGAGUUUAUCAUUGUGCUUCAUCAUCAUCAUCAUCAUCAUUAUUAAUAAAAAGGUAAGCAAUUAAGAGUCAAAUUAAACCACUUGAAAAUCACUCAUCCACACUUUUGGGACAUCAUCUGCUCAUUAUUUUUAUUCCGUAUCUUCAUUGUUUUAUUUGGUAAUUAUUACCAUUAGUAAAUAAAGGGAUUAGUUGAUUAUUGUGAAGUAACUAAAUGGAGCUCACCCUUAAAUGUCGGCUUAUAUCAAGGAGGCGCCUUAGGGUUAAUAAAUCAACUAAUCCCAUAAUUUGUUGAUGUAGGGUCCUAACAAAUUAUUGCCGUAGAUCAGCACACAGCUCGAAAACAUAUUUGAUCCACACAGUGAAGAUGAUUCAAUAUUAAGCAUGUCAUAUAAUCUGGAGUUGGAUAUUGGACCAAUUUGAUGAUAAUGAGUUUCUUUCAAUCUCAAUCUUUAUCUUAUUCGCAACAUGACUAGCCAUUGCGUAAAUUCAAACUCUGAAAAUGAUAAGUUUGUGAUAAAGGAAUCUAUGAGUACAAUGGGAAAAUUACAUGAACUUAUGUUAUCAAUCAUUGUUUUUCCUUCUCGUGAUAGAAUUCAGUGCAACAUAAAACAUGAUAUAUUUGUACCUUACCAUGCCAUGUUGUGAACCUAGAAGCAAUGCAAAUUGCAAGGAACAUUAAGCUAUCCACUGUAUAUAACAAAUUCUUAUUAGCCCACAAUCUUGUGCCGCCACAUUGAUCAAGUAACACUAUUAUAUCAUUUCCAAAAUGGCAUAUAUAAUCUAAUGUUGAACAAACCAAAUUGGGAAUCAUCAUUCCUUACAUUAAGUUGACAUUCGUACCUGCUAGUCCAUGAGCAAAGUUGCAUAUAUUUCUACACAGGCCGCUCCCCUUAUCUCUCGGUUCCGACAGAGCUUUGUUUUCCCAUCACCAGCUUUGGAUUCAUUCGAUCACUGGUGCUCCGAGUUAGAACGGUCUACAAAGCUGCAUUUCGUUAGGCAAUCUAGUCUCUCCAUUCCUAGCAAAGUGACAUUGAUUCCCGUAUUUGUAAUUGCCUAAUUGGGGUUUUGGCAAUAGCCUGGCUUAAAAUUACCACCCAUUACUUUGUUCAAUGCCACUGGCAUCCUCUGAUUAGGAACAUUUUCACAAUUUUUGGUCCUGUUAGUCGAAUCACAUUCAACGGGAUAGUGAGGCAGUAUUUCACUAAAAGAUUCAAUUUGACUACUCAUAUUGAUGCACAUAUAAGAAUUUGAAAUCACUUUCUCUUGGAAUAUUUAAUGACCCUUGAUGAAAGUUCUUGAAUGGAAUUAUUUAAUUUGAUUUGAUUUCCAACAAAUUCAAGAAACCCCACAUAGUAGCUAAACAAAAAUCAACCAAUAAUACGCAAUGGGUUUCUUUCUUUUUGCCUUUGGAGGGCCAUGGAGAUCUGGAGUGGGCUGUAAGUAAUAGCCUUUAUCACUGGAAUGACAGAUUUGCAGAAGAUGAUACAUGGGGAAGGAUUGGGCGAGCAUAAAAAUGGGUUUACACUCUUGGAUUAGCGCCUCAUUUAGGUUGUAGGCUUGUAGCGAGAUAAAGAUAUUAAUUAAAGUUUUAUAAUCCCUGUUAUGAUUAAGGCUUCACUUAGUAUAGCAUAGAGCUUUUUGAGUUUUACCAGAAAAUUUUUUUAAAAUUAUUAUUUAUCGGAAAAAGGAGACUUACACUCCAUGGUCUAAGGAAAUAGUCACAAAGAUACUAAGUUUUCAAUAAAAGACACCAAUUUUUUUUUUUUUUUCAUAAUGCCCUUUGACUCCAUAAAUUUCUAAAAAAAUAACUCCAAAAUUUUAUAAUAAAUGAAAAUAUGGCAUUAAAAUAAAUGCAGUAAUAUAUACAUUUCAAAAUAAUUUUAAUAUUUAGAAAUAUUUUAAUAUUUUUCAAUCUAUUAAACCUAUUUUUAAGCUGUUGACCUAUUAAAGUAAUUCUUAAUAAUGAUAGAAACAUAAUAUUAAAAUAAAUUAAUUAAAAUUAAAAUUAAAAUUAAAAGUAUUUUGAAAUUAUAUAAAACUAAUUUUAAUAUUAUUAAUAGGUAGAUUUUUAAUUGUAAAAUCUAUUUAACAAAAGAUUUAUUCAAAAUCUUUAUGAUAUUACAAAUAUAUUGUUAAAAUAAAUAUAAUAAUUUAAAAUUUUAAUAUUAUUUUAAAUGUAAAAAAUAAUUUAAUAUUAUUAGUCUACUAGAUAGAUUAUGUUAUUUAUAUUAAAUUUGUUUUAAUUAAAAGUCUUUAAAGUUAAUUUUUUAAUUACUAUAGUGAAAGGGUAUUAUGGGCAAAAAAGUGUCUUGGUAUCCUUCUUUUAAAACUUGAGAGUUUUUGUGACUAUUUUCCUAAAUCUUAAAGGUAUAAGUGUCAUUAUCCCUUAUUUAUUUGGUUGUUUUGCUCUCGAGAGUUUUUAAAGCUCCAAAAUCUUUAAUCAGUACUUUUUUUUUUUAAGUAAAACUUUUAACAAAAAAUUAUUAUUCAUUUGAUUGUUUACGAGAGUUUUUAUUAGAAGUUAUAUAAAGUUCUUUAAUUUUUUUAUUGGUGCAGCUUUUUACAUGUAUAAUUUUUAUUUUUUAACAAAAAUUAAUUAAAUAAUAUUAGAAAUCCUAAUAUUUGAGUCCCAAUAUCAUAUAUCACUCAUUUUUUAGAUGACAGAUUUCAUAACUUAUAAAAUUAUUUAACUAACAUCCAAUUAGUGAAUGUUACUAUAGUGAAGACUCAAAUUGAAAUUUAAAUGUUGGGUUGCGUGACAUUUCUCUUAUUUGGUUGUUUAUGAGAGCUUUCUUGUACAAAAUAAUUUUUAUACAAAUUGAUAUAGUCUAAAUUCAUUAAUUAGAUUAAAAUACAAAAUAAUAAAAAUAAAUAAGUUUGUAUAAGAAUAAUUCAUUCUUUAAUCCAUCUAAUUGAAUUAUCCUAUGUCUAUUUAUACUAAAUAAGUUUAUAUAAAAAUUUAUAGUUUUGUUUUUAGAUGUGCAACUAAAUUUUUAGUCUCUUAUUCCUCGUAAAAUUCAAAUCUGAGUGGCUCAUCAAAUAAAAUUAUUUGAAACCAUACGGUAUGGUAGCUGGAACCCUUGAAACCAUCGAGGUCAUGAAAUUUACCAGCCAAAAGAGUUUUAAAUGUCUAUUUUAUAAACUUUUAAAAAAAUUUUUAUUUACCAUUUUACCAUCCGUAGUAAAGGUGUCGCAUCGACAUUGAACAGAUCAACAUAUCAGUCAUUUCUCAUUCAGCCAUUAGGAAUUUACGUUUGGGGUAUUUUUGUAAUUAUAAGAAGGUAAACUAAUCGCAAAACUCGUUUGGCUUGCACUUGCUCGCCUGUGCUCUGUGACUCUGUGUAUGGUUAUGGCGUUAUCAUUAUCAUCUUCUCCACUCCUACUGACGCCAGACCUUAACAGUUCAGAUUCCCUUUCUCGACUGUCAUACCCUACGCCCCGUCUCCGUGUCUCCGAUAAACAGUGCUCAAUUAAGGCCAUCAGAUUAUCCCGGACCCACAUUGAUCCAACGGCUCACAAUGACCGACAUCCUCUCUAUCUCCAUUUCAAGCUCCCUCUUCAACUGGCUUCUGCUUCUGUCGUACUCUUUCUUGGAUUCGGAGUCCGUAUUUGCUCAGCCGGUCCCGCACAGCUCCCUCUCACUCCAAUUGUCACCCAACAAGACCAAUUGCUUAAUCAAGGCACAGACCAAGAAGAGGAUGAGAAGUUGAAACAAGAAUUUGAGAAUUGGAAAUCGAAAACGUACGCAUUAACCGUGCCUUAAAGGGUUGCUUCUCUUCAGAAUUCAGUGCCUCAAUCUUGGGUUAAGGAUUUUAUGCGAAGUCAAGGAAAGAGAUUGAAGUUUCAGAUGAAUUUGUGUGCUAGCAUUGAUGGGAUCGUUAACAAUUUAUCUGUGCCCUUUAACAAAGUUAAGGCUAAGUCAGCUUCUUAUAUGGCUGCUGAUUUGGUUAGUAUUGGUGAUUCAUGGCUCAGCUUUGCGAUUAAAAAGAGAUUGAUUGAGCCAAUAGCUGGAGCUGAAGACCAAGAUUGGUUCAAAUGCUUAAGUCACAAAUGGAAGGUAACAUCUUUAUCUUUGACCCGAUAAUUUUUAUUGUCUUACAUUGAAAUUUGGUAAUGUAAUUUGUUCUCUAUCUGUAUUACCCUUUUUAGUCGUUUUAUUUAUUUGUUUGUUUGUUUAUUUGCUUUUAUUUGCACUAACGAAGUCUCGGGUAUAUCUACCCAGGAAUGAUGCAGGAGAAAUUGAUCCUCGAGGUGAAAUAUGGGCGGCACCAUACAGGUGGGGCACAAUGGUGAUAGCCUACAAGAAAAGUAAAUUUCGAAAGCAUAAUUUGGCUCCGAUUGAGGUAAUAACUGUCUUUAAACUCAUUUAGUUUUAUAUCAAACAAAAUCAAGGCUGCCUUUCUCUUCAAUAUUUUUUAUGAUAAUAUCUUUAGAAGCAUCUCAUUGACGGGUAAUAAUGGUGUCCCUGAAAGAGUCUAUAAACUCAAUGAUAUUAUCUUCUACAAAUGGAUCAUUAAACUUCUUUUUUGUAGUCAAAUGUACACUAAGAACAAUGAGAAGCUAUGCCACUGUAGCACGUAGUGAUGGCACUUAAUAAGUGAGUUGCUAGGAUGUGAACAAGAAAAAUUAAAUAUUGUCUCCUUGGGUAUGCUAGCUCGUAAGUCAGGGUUAAUAUUAGAGCUUAAGAUACUAUAACCAUGCGAAACUAUUGACUGCCAAUUAAAAUAUCCAUUAAAAUGUCUAGGGAGUUAUGAAGGUAGAGUUAUCUUCCAAUUUCUAAGGCCACAUAGUAGACAUCAUCCAGGAUCCUAGGAAAGUGCGGUUGAUCUCCUGCUUGAUGCAGUUAAUAAAUUUGGUCAAUGCGACUGAAACCUGCUAACUGACGUCGCAAUGCGACAUGAGCACUUCAAAAUGGGAUAGACAGUAGCACUAAAUUUUUCUUGCCUAAGAUUGAGCAAUUGGUCUAAAUACUAACCCCUAUUGUAAGUUGAUCAUUAUUUUUUCAAUUAUGUUCAUUUUGACCCAAAAGUUACACAAUCUUGAUCUGAAUAUUGUCACUGAACACUGUCAAUGUCGUUUAGCAUUGGCAACUAACUCGAGUUUAGUAAAACAAACAUACACACUGUCUCAUGUCUCACAAUUCAAAUUAUCAUCUGUACUGAUGGAGAAUUUUUCUGAUGUAUGAAGUAUGCUUUGAUAUGUAGGUUAAGCUUGGAGAAGAUAUCUCAAAAUAAAGAAUAUGGGGAGUGAAUGGGAAGAAUCUGUAGUCAAGUUUUGUCUCAAAAAUGGUCAAAAUUUAAAUGAAUGGACGGGGGAUCUUCAUUCUUUUUUCACUUCUUUAUACCGAGAUAUCUCUCAACCUUUAUAUAAUUCCCACUGGAUAUCUGCUUCUAAUAAUUAAAAUAAAAAUUUCAACCACACCAAUAAAUAAUCAUCUUAGAGUGAGACUAUCAGUACAACCCAAAAACAUAAUAAAACUGGUUUGGUUCUUUUUGUUGAUGUCUAAAUGUUGUUCAUUGUGACAUGUAGAAAUGAUGAGGUGAAGUUUCUUUGGUCAUCAAAUAGUAAGAUCUUGUUUGAAGUUAUUUUCUGAAAUGAACAGUCAAAUGGUAGUUUUUUUGGGCCAUUCGAUGGCUCUUUUCUUCCUCAUUUUAAACUUGUGCCUGCUUGGAACGGGAUGGAUUAGGCUGCAGAGUUAUAUAUUUUGACAUGCUCUGGUCAUUACACAAUUUGUUCAUACUGGAAAUUAGGAUGAGAAAUUUGUUGCUGCUGUUUUGAGAGAUCUGCAUUCUAUGCACAAACAUGAUUAAUGAAAAUGGAUUGUAGGACUGGAAAGAUCUGUGGCAGCCUGAGCUCGCAGGAAGGAUUUCAAUGGUUAAUUCUCCCCGAGAGGUUAUUGGUUCAGUUUUGAAGUAUAUGGGAGCAUCAUACAAUUCAGACGAUAUUGAUUCACAAGUUGCUGGUGGGAAGAUUGCUGUUCAGCAGAAUCUGGCAUUACUGGUAAACCAGGUACUCUUAAAGAAAUGAUAUCUGGUCAUUGCAUGUUAUUGCCUGACAACUGAUUUUGUUUGUAAAAGUCGGCUUCUUCAUACAUAUGAAUGCAUAUGUUAGUGUUUUCUUCUCCUUUUCAUACAUAUGAAUGCAUAUGUUAGUGUUGUCUUUUCCUUUUCAUACAUAUUAAUACAUAUGUAGAUUUCUUCAUCAUUGUAGCCUCCAUAGUUGAAGUUUCCUCAUUUGAAGCUGUUUAUGCAUAUGCUUUUUCCCUUCUCAAGUACAGGAAAUUGAAGAAUUAACCAGAUGUGAUAUGCUGAAAGAGUGAAGUUUUCUCCCUUGAAUGUGGCCUUGUGAUUUGUCUUGAAGGAAUAGGAUGAUCACUGGCAAGAACCCUAUCAAGGUAGAUUUUAUGGUGUUAACAUAUUUUUAAGCAUUUUGUUACAUCAGCAAUGAUGCUUUCAUAGCAUGAAAGUGUUUAAUUUAACUGACUGAUCUUGAUUAAUCAAUUAUGAGUUUUAAUCGAGUAAAAACUAAAUACAAUCAUCGUCAAAAAAUACUGAAAUUGGAUUUGGAAACACAAUCCACACAGGAAAUCACCCUUCGCGUGGGGAUGGAGAUGUUUACUGCAACGAUAUCGAAUAUGUGCACGGUGUUGUCCACUGAAACAAUGGAAAAAAUUAACAUAGGGGUAUUUAAAUAAUUAAACUCAGACCUCUUUGUAUAUGUUAUCCUAACUUUACUUACCCUUGUUUGUAAUUUUCACUUAACAGUUGAUGCCUAAACCAUUAAAACCAAAUGACCAUAGGGGUAUUUAAAGUAUGUAAAAAUAAACAAAAACACGUAAAAAAUUUCAAACAAUUAAUAAUUACACUCUAAAUGUACCACUUAACUCUUAAUAAUAGCCAUACUCUAAAACAAUCUACAACCUUUGAGGGGAGUAGCUAUGAGGAAAAUCCUUUUCUCAGUGGAUUGCCAUUGUCCGAGAGUUACAAUGAAAAGAGACCACCAGCAACUGAGUCGGAAGAUUCAACUAGCACUGAAAAAGAUGAUAAUUUAAUUGAUAUGGACAGUUUCCAUAUCAUUUUUAAAUCAUCCUAUGUAAUUGUGAUGUUAGGAAGCAUUAGUGAUCUGUAUGUGAACUAUUAUUGGCGCCAUUGGUGGUUUUAUCUUGUUAAAAUAUGGAUGACUUCCAGUUACUAUUUUGUAGUACACAAUUUUAUUCAAUUAACAUAUAGCUUAAAACCAUUAUGUAUGUGCUUUAUUAAGAUUCUCAAGUACCAAUCACGUUUGCUUAAGAAAUAAAAUUUUGCCAUUAAAAGCGUAGUAAUAUUUCCAAGCGCUUCGCAUUUAUCUCAACAUUUUGAAGGAAUUUUGAGAAAUACACGGGUCCAAAAGUCUAGUCAUCAUCCUUAUUUUUCUAUCGUUCUUUUGGGUUUGCAGUUGGUGGUGCUUUCAAUGUUUCCCUGAAACAUAGCAAAAGAACGUACAUAUUCUUGGUAUGAGUUGAUUUUUAGUGAUUAUCUAAUUGACUGGGGUGACAACAAUAGCACAACGUAGAAUUCAAUAAUAAAAUUCUCUUGUUUAAUUUGUUUUAAGUUAAAUUAUUAAUUACUUAAAAUUCUGUUUUAAGUCUUUAAUUUUAUGUCUUGGCGUAUAUGCAGAGUUGGAUUCUUGAGUGAGUUGGACAUGACCUACAAUGAGAGUGGCAGUAAACAAACAUUAAAACGUGUGGACUCCGGUGGCUGCCCUGCAAGUCCACAACUCUACAAGAAUAAUUUCUAGCCCCGUUGACUCCACUAACUAAAGUUUUUUAAAAUUUAAAAAGGUACAUAGAAUUCCACAACAAGCAAAACGUGUGGAAUUUAAUUUUUUGCCCGUGUGGAACAAAAUACAAUUUAGCAAAAAAGGACAAGAAAAAUGGUAAGAUUUCUAAAAUGAGUGGAAGGUGAUCCAUAUUUUACUGAAACGACUUGUCCCGAACAUCACGACGAUUGAUUUUUUUUAUUUUAUUUUUGAAUAACAUCAACUUUCAUAUUUUUCUAACCCCCAGAAUAUGCUCACGUUCAAGUCUAUCUUGCUAAUUUAAAAAAAGAAAAUCAAAUCAACACCAAAACAAUGAAAAGUAAAGCUUUUGAAUUUCAACUCCAGCUAGCAAACGUAUUCAGCGUUUUCAAAUUCUUCCCAUUGCAUAUCUUCUUCCUCCAUCAAUGCAAUAUUUGAACGAUUAUGAAAGAAUUUAAGAACAUAAAAAAUCUCCAAGGUUUAUACGGUAUAACAAAUUUAAAUUCUCAAUUACAAUAGAUAAUAAUUAAACUAAUAAUUUUUUAUGUAUUUAUUUUAGUAAUUUCACCUAAGAAUAAUAUUGUAAUUAGAAAAAAAAAAUCUAAUAAGUAGGGUGGUCUUAUACAAAAUCAACUGCAUACAUUUACGCAGAUGCAGAUAAUAAUUUUUAAUUCCUUUUUUUAAUAAGAAAAUUGUGUAUUGAGAUGAAUAAGAUGUUUAAUUUAAUUAAUUUCCUUACUUUCGUAUGCAUUGUCUUUCUAUCUAGAGAAAGCUUGGUGUUCAGAACGACAUGAAGUUGCGAGUUGUCGCCCAUGGCUGCUGAUUAAUAAUAAAACGAGACAAAUUAAUUGAACUCAGGCCCAUAUGUAUAUGUUAUCCUAACUUUACUUGCUCUUGUUUGUUAAUAUUCAUUCUUAGAGAGGUGAAAAAAAUUUCAAGUCUUGAAUAACGAGGAGUUAGUUGCCUCUAACUUUACUUGGCCUUCUAUAAUCUCAUUAAUAAUACAGAGAAUUAAUUAUCUUUUUAUUAUUAAACCAUCUUCAGGAAGAUUUUCCUCAAUUUGCUCCAGAAGAGUUGGAGCUGUGGUUCUGAUAAACCAAAGAAUUAGUAGCAAUAUUAAUAUUGCCCACCCAAGAAAUAUGAGUGAAUUAAAGUAUUGACAAGACUUCGCUCAGAGGAGCAUUUAAACCACUUCCUUAUCAAUUGCGGCAGCCGUCUAUUAACUAAAACGCCAAUCUAAUACAAGAAGAAAGAACAUUUACAGACUUCGCUCAGAGGUCUAUUAACUGCGGCAGCCGUCUAUUAACUAAAACGCCAAUCUAAUACAAGAAGAAAUAACAUUUCCUUUUGUUAAUAAUUUUAGUCUAAUUUCAAUUGUACUGUGACCGCUUCUCAAGGUAAGUGAAAGUUACAGAUGUGGCAAAAUAAAUAAUUAAAUUAACAAAAUGCUAACUAAUUUUCCUAAAUACCUAGGGUUGUACAAUUUCACCAACCUGGAAGAAUUGACAUUAAUGGACUGGUCUCCUCCCCAUAUAAUUAUAAUCCUUCUAGAAAGCUAAUUUUUAUUAAAUAUUUGCUUUUAAGUUCAUUUCAAUUAAAAAAUGUUUUAAGUUAUUGAGAUUCUGAAUUCCUUUCUUCCAAUAAUAAUGAAAACGUAUUAAAUUAGAAAUGAAAAAAUUGGUGUUGAUGAUUCAACCUAUUUGGAUAGAUUACGUGAAUAAAAUUGAAAUUUUGAUUUAAUUUUUGUUUAUUGUUAAUUUUCAGGCUUAGUUUCAAGAAUUUAGAAUAUUACUUUGUUCAUGGAUUCAACUCGUGAGUGUCAUAUUCUAGACUUAAUGGUACCAUUUUUGAUUGAGGACAAUGACUCUCACUCAUCUUGUAAAAAAAUAUUUUCAACUAUUUUAAUGACUUAAAAAUUGAUAGAUUUAUUGUUGUCAUGAACAAAUUAUUCAUUUUAAUGAAAUAUAAUUAAUGCAUCAAAGUUAUCAGGUUUAUGUUCUAUCUUAACGCACUUUUUUUUUUUUUUGGGUUAUCAGCUAUGCCCCUGAGGCAUUUUGUAGAGUAUAGCUUCUGCCUACCUUUGUUUCAUUUUUUUUAAUAAAAAAACAAGGGAAGGUUUUUCCGAGUCAUCCAUUAUUUGAUUACCGUCAAUCAAGAAAACGACCAAAUUAAUUUCUCUCCAAAAUUUCCAAAAGCUAGAAAAUUUUGUUAUUUGAAAAUAACAUCAUUAAUUAUAGAGUGGAUCAAACCGCGUUAUUGUCUUUCAUAAAAUUGAUGUCUUUUUAAGAGUCAAUACUUUUUAUUUACGCAAACCAGUCGACAUCAACUUAAACUUCCAUAUUUUUAUUAUUAUUAUGUUAUUUAUUUUAAUCCCCGAUUAUUUGAUUAGCCACUAUAUAUAUCAAGAAAGCGACAAAAUUUAUUUCUCAUGACUUCCAAAAACUAGAAAAACGACAUCAUUUAUUAUUUUUUUGCAACCCUAAUUGACAUCAACUUUAACUUUAUUAUGUCAUUAUUUCAAUCCCCCAUUAUGACCUUUCUAAUCCUCCAUUAUGCAUCUUUUAUAGUGCAAAUUUAAUUGCACAUAUAAAUAAAUUGAUUAUUGUUACUCCACCACCAAUAUUUCAAAUAGUCACUAGACCAUUUCUGCCUUUAAUUUUCCCUUAAGUUUAACUAUUGACUGCUUUUAGCAUCUUAAAAUAUACAUUUAUUCCUCGAUUAUGUGAUAAAAUUAUGAAAAUAUCCAUUUUAGCUUAAAUUAAUUGGAAUAACCAUAAACAUAACUUAAAUUAAUAGAACAAAAUUAUCAAGUGUAUGUUCUAUCUUACUUUUUGAAGAAUUUAACAUAUAUAAUGCUAUACUAUUAAUAAAUUUAUCAUUUAAUAUAUAUGUUCAAAUAUUUUAUAUAUUUAUUAAUUGUUAUAUACUCAAAGGAUGAAUGAUUUUUCAGGUCUACAUGAGUUGGUGCAUCUGCAAGACUCAAUUUUGACAACAAUGAUCUAAGGGGUAAUUUACCUUGGUGUUUGACAAAUUUAACCUCUCUUCAAGAUUUACUUCCAAUCUACUUACUGUAAAUAUCUCCUCAUCUCCUCUCAUUUAUAUGAUAACCCUUGAAGAUCUCACAUUUUCAAACAAUCAUAUUAGGGUUUUUAUUAUUAGCAUCAUUGUGUCAAUAAUAUAUGUUGCAGUAAGAUUUUUUCAGACCAGUUCCCUUCUUCAAAUAAUAAUGGAAAAGUAUCAAUUUAAAAAUAAAAUGAAUAUGCAUUGAUUAAUUAUAUCCUGAUUUUGAUCGAUUAUAGCGAGAGUUUCUCCAAAUCAACGCCCUGAUUCAAAUAAUACAGAAAAAAUAGUAAUUUAAUAGUAAAAUUAACAAGUGUUGAUUAUAUAUCCUAAGUUUCAUCGAUUAUGUGAUCAAAGUGGCAUUGUUGAUUUAUUUCUUGUUCAAUGUUAAUUUUUAGGUUAUCUAAAUUUCAAGGAUUUAAAAUCUUUGUUCAUGGAUUACACGCUUAUUAAUUUUUCUGCCAUUGACUGUCAUAUUCUAGACUUAAUGGUACCUUCCUUGAUCAAGGACAAUUACUCUCUGUUCUCCUCUUAUAAAUUCCUCUUCCAUUAACAUCACUAGGAGUAUGUUGAUCUCUCAGACGUUAACUUCAGUGGAGAGUUUUCAAAUUGAUUGUUAUAAAACAACACAAAAACUAGACACACUUGAUCUGUCUAAUAAUUCUCUUUCGGUAAAAUUGAUUAAUUUUAGGGGAAUAUUCUACCAACCUAUAUAAUUUUAGAUUGAUCAUUAAUUAAUUAGACGAAAAAAGUACUUGUGCUUUUGUGGCGACAAUUGAACCGGAGAAGUGAA
rnacentral:lncRNA from 1 species